UGCUUACUUCUGAGUACUUAUUCUGCUGCUAGUAGUUCUUCGCUAAGGAAUUUCCUCACCGGCAAAUUCCUCAGUGAAGAAUUCAUAAAAAUCGCCUAUUCACCCCCCCCUCUAGUCGAUAUAACGCACUUUUAGUUUUGGUGUACCACAUCAUACACUCGCCCUCCAUACCAGGUGAGCUUCAUGAUUUCUUGUCUCGGGAGGACGUAUACUUCUAUGGGGCAGCCAUCGAACGGGACAAACAGAAGCUGGAGCCAUACAACCUUGAUUUGAAAAGCAUCGCUCACCUACAAACCAGAAUCAAAAUUCUUGUAGAAGAUUUUGCUAAACAAACACCAUCCCUAUUCGAAGUAGCAAAUUUUGUGCUCGGUACAAAUCUUCAGAAGGGUGACGAGACGGUGGCAUUAAGGUCGUCUGGAUGGGAGAAUUAUCCCUUGACGUACAAGCGGAUAAAAUAUGCUGCCCUCGAUGCCCGUGUGAGUUUCGAGAUAGCUGCAAGGUCCAAAGAGCUUGUUNNNNNNNNNNNNNNNNNNNNNNNNNNNNNNNNNNNNNNNNNNNNNNNNNNNNNNNNNNNNNNNNNNNNNNNNNNNNNNNNNNNNNNNNNNNNNNNNNNNNNNNNNNNNNNNNNNNNNNNNNNNNNNNNNNNNNNNNNNNNNNNNNNNNNNNNNNNNNNNNNNNNNNNNNNNNNNNNNNNNNNNNNNNNNNNNNNNNNNNNNNNNNNNNNNNNNNNNNNNNNNNNNNNNNNNNNNNNNNNNNNNNNNNNNNNNNNNNNNNNNNNNNNNNNNNNNNNNNNNNNNNNNNNNNNNNNNNNNNNNNNNNNNNNNNNNNNNNNNNNNNNNNNNNNNNNNNNNNNNNNNNNNNNNNNNNNNNNNNNNNNNNNNNNNNNNNNNNNNNNNNNNNNNNNNNNNNNNNNNNNNNNNNNNNNNNNNNNNNNNNNNNNNNNNNNNNNNNNNNNNNNNNNNNNNNNNNNNNNNNNNNNNNNNNNNNNNNNNNNNNNNNNNNNNNNNNNNNNNNNNNNNNNNNNNNNNNNNNNNNNNNNNNNNNNNNNNNNNNNNNNNAAGAAGAAGAAGAAGAAGAAGAAGAAGAAGAAGAAGAAGAAGAAGAAGAAGAAAAUGUUGCACCAGCAGGAGGGCACUAUGGAUGGAUGAACUAUUUCCUCUCUUGUAAAAAAAUUUAUUCCCUCUCGCUGUAUAUUGAUAUAGAUGGACUAUUUCGAUGGUGUGCAUGUCUUUGGAACAGAGCAGUAGCGUGGGUCAGCUUGACUAUAAGGAACUAUUUAUCCGCAUAUAUAGCUUUCUCUGCUACUCCUUCCAGUGAUCAGUAUGCAGUGCAUGUGUCCGUAGACAUGACAGCUUGUCCAUGGAAGUUCAACUACGGUGACCAUCACGUUUCAUCUCACGAUUCCCAUGAUGGCUCUCCAACCCACGGCACCACGCCCCCUAGACGUGCGCCUCACCCCUCUCGGCCGCAGUGCCCCUCUGCCUUUGUGUGCAUGACAUGUGGGCCACCUAAAAUGCGGCGAGCAUCAAGUUUCUACCACAGCCACACGCGAUUCCCACGACGCCGCUCGAACCCAUGAAACCACACGUCCCCCGACCUGCAGCUCACCCCUCUUGGCCCCACUGCCCCUCUGCCUUCGGGAGCAUUACAUGUGGACCAGUCACCUAUCGGGUGCACAUGUUAUUGACUCAAAGGUAGGUGUAGUAAGGCGCCGAAGCUCAAUCACGACGGCCUUGAGAGGGAAAUGUAACUCCUGCGCCAGGGCUUGUGGUGCUCCCGCAGCACGAACUCGUGCCAAACUCGAGAUUUGUUUCUUUACUAUACAUGCACGCAACAAUUUAAUGGACAUUGUAAUCUCAACAUGUGAUGGAGAGCUCUAAAUUUGAAUUUGAAACUUAUAAAACGAAAAGAUUCAAAACAAAUAAACUGGGAGAGAGGGAGUAUAUCGUAGGAUGUGUCCCAUACAAAAUUAGUCCCCUGGUUUGUCACCACGAAGAUGCGGUUAGAAAGGAGCACAACAUCUUCCUACUCAUGCGGCAACAAAUGGGCCGCAGACAGCAAGGUCCGACUUUGACCGCCAUGUGCAAGGUUCGUGCUAUCUUAUUCAAUCUCACCGUGGUUCCAUCGUACCAAUUCAUGCGGUGGCCCGUUGCAUGGCUGAUCCUAAUGUUGGACAAAGGUUCUACGGGAAUGGUGUCACCGUUGUAAAUGUUGUGCAAAUUGAUGUUGGUACCCUCCUGUACAUAUGCAAGCCAAUCUCAACUCGCACCGAGCCUAACCUGUGAAACAGUGGACAGGGGGAGAAUUAGGAAAUGGACACAGAAGUAGUCUUAGAAUGCAUUUACUAUGUGAUCAAACUGAUCUUACCUGCUCAUCGGAGGAAAUCCGAGUGCCCCUCAACGUCGGCAUCUCAAUGGGCGUCAACUUGCAACUACGACCACGCCGCGCUGGAGAGACCCCCAAGGAAACAUCCUCGUGCGUUCCAUGGAACAUCAAGAUGCAUUUGUAUGAGUAGUUUAUCUUGUGAGAGAAAAGGAUGAACGAGGGAAGGCCUCUAGAGAUAGAGAUGGACACUACUACUACCUGUCGGAUUUCGGGUUCCGGCAGACCCUCAAGGUUCGAACUCUAGGGUGCGCACGGAGAUCACACCUCCUACCUACCUACGUCUUGUCCGCUCGCAAGGAUAUAAACUACACGAAGAACAACACAAGGGACACGAGGUUUAUACUAGUUCGGGCCACCAUUGUGGUGUAAUACCCUACUCUAGUUUGUGGUGUGGUAGAUUGCCUCAGGGGCUGGUGAGGAACAAUACAAAGGAAGAACUGCCUCGCGAGGGGAGGAGUUCUUGUGGUGGUGAUGCUUCUUGGGAAGGAUUGAACCCGGAUCCCCUUUCGAUGUCCCUACUCUGUGGUGGCUAGUCCUAUUUAUAGAGCGAGGCCUUGGUCCUCUUCCCAAAUAUUGAGCGGGAAGGGCGCCAACAAUUGGCCAUUUUGAAGGGGAACAUCUAGUACACUUAUCCUGGCUAAAGUCGGUCCUGGCAUGCCAAAGACUUUGAUGGUGACGCUAGCUUGGGCUCCACAAUGACCUCCAUCAUGUCGUUAUGCUGGUCUUGGUCUUGUUGCACUGGAAUGGUUGCCUUUGCUUGAUACUCUUGCCUGUGCUUGCCCCCUUUGCACCAAAGAGGAAACACAGACUCUGCGCAGGCCGGCGCCCGCCUGGCGCCCGCCUGGCUUCGGUCGUCAUGGCUUGCGUCAUGGGCGCCUCGUGAGGUACCCUUCCUUGAUCUCUCCGCCUCCUAGCGAGCCAGCCUGACGAGGCUGUGCCCGAGGAAGCUUCUUGUCAUCCGCCCCGUGAGGCUUGGCCCCUCGCGAGGGUGUUGAGCAUGUGUUGGUGAAGAUGGGCCAUACUGGGCCACUCCUUGAGCCACGCCGCAGGCCGCAGGCAGGCAAGUCUGGGUACCCCCGUUCCCAGAACACUGACAAUAGCCCCCGGGCCCAAGGCGCGCCUGGACUUGGCUUAGCAGAGAAGCGAAGGGGCAAGUGUGAAGCGCCGCGGGCCCCAUCAGCCUGCGGCCUUGGGCGCCGCGUGGCGGUUGAUUGGACGUGGGCGUCCCUGCUUCCACACGACGCCUCGGCAACUGCACGACUUGACAAGUCCCUACACGCAAAACGGGUCAUGAUUACCUGUGAUCGUGGAGGCCGGCGGUUGGCCUCCCCCGGCUAUAUGUACGGAACGGCGCCAGCCCUUCCAGUCCAUCCCUUCCUACUACUCCCCUUCUUCUUCCUAGCCGCUCGCCAUCCCCAUGGCCCCGACGAAGAGGUUCUCGGCCGCGGAGAAAGGAAAGGCUCACCAGGAAGGGCCCAGCUCUCCUCCGGCCAAGCGUGGCCAGGGCCGCCCUCGCAAGCACCCUACGGCCCCCGCUGUGGCCUCCCGUGGCUGUGGAAGCAGCCCUCUGCGCGGCGGUGGGCGCUCGGCUGCUAACAAGAGGUACGCUGGGGCUGCGCGACCCCUAGGCCGCGUUCUCGCUCGGUGGAGGAGCUGCCGGAGUUCGUCGUGUGGUCGGCGGACCCGACCGGCACCUGGCUCCAGCUCCCCCGCUUCUUUCUAGGUGAACUUCUGGCUGGUGCCCCGUGCGGCCUUUGGCUUCAGGCAGAUGGUUGCUGCAGCAGGGCCUCCUGGGCUACUCUGGAGGUCUCCAUCACCGAGGAGGCGGCCCUGACCCGCGGCUGGCAAAUGUUUGCCCGCGUGCGCGGCCUGAGCUGAUGGUGCACUCUACACUUUAAGUUCGACGGCGACGCCAUCCUCUACGUGAGGGUGUUCGGGGAAGACGGCCACCGCGCCGGAUGCUGCCCCGAAGAUGAUGACCGCGGCCGUGCGCCCAGCCCCGGCGUUGGUCAGGAUGAAGGUGGUGGGAGACGCGCGGGCAACGGUGCCCGAGGCCCGCCAAGCUUUGGUGACUCCCCAUCGGACGGCAGCUCCUCCAGCGGUGGUCGCGACCAGCCCCCUCGUCGUCGCGCUUGCCUGGGAGAGGGCAGUGGGUCGGCCCGACACCGUGCCUCAGUGAAGCGGGAGGCGGAAUCCAGCUGAGCUCCGGAGGCAGUACGAGCCCUUACCGAGAGUUGGUGCCGGGCAAGUCAUGCCCAUUUUGCCUUCUUUUCUUUCCUGCGCAAAAAGAGUGUAGUCUGGUGCCCCACGGGAGCGUGUUGAACUGUUGUUGUUUAAUUGGCACGCUGUUUCCACUGUUUCUGCGCUAUGUUUACGUUCCGCGUGUUUAUGCGUGGAAAUCGCUUAACUUGGCGGGGGGGAAGCUUGUUGCGAUCCUCGCCUGCUGAGGCUAGGGCCUCAUCGUGCGCCUUGUGUCCUGCAGGGGUUAGUCAGUUGGGGUAGUUUCCAGCCAUGGUAGCAGGGACAACCAACCCAAGUCCCAUGAUCGUGUCGCGAUGCCCGUGAGGCACGGACUGGGAGGGGUGCUCCCACAGCGGACUCGGAUAGGGAAGUUCUAAACCACCGGGGCAGAAAACACUCGCGAGGGUGCCCAAGUUCCUCCCUCGUGAGACUUUGCGAGAGAAAACGAAACAAAUAAGUGAAAUGGACGAAGGGUCAUGAGCUCGAAAUAGUAACAGCUUCAGAAAAAACUUCAAAUAGAAAUAAACAAGCCAACUACGGAAAGCAAAUGAAAGAAGCCGCGUCCGGCACCUAAUCUAGUCUUCGACGUCUUCUCACCAGCGCGUAGCUAAGUGCUGCCACUGGGCGUGGGUGGGAGCCCCCGAGGCCCGAGGGCGGCACUCCGGAGACUCGGAGGCGUGUACAGCCCCACUCAUUAUUACGUGAGAGUGUCACGGGCGGCGAGCUUCACAGGCGUUUGCCUUCUUCACAGGCACCGGGCCUUUUCCCAAACGCAGCAACUUCACAGGCAUUCGCCUUCUUCAUAGGCACCGGGCCUUUUCCAAAACGCGGCUACUUCACAGGCAUUCGCCUUCUUCACAGGCACCGGGCCUUUUCCAAAACGCGGCUACUUCACAGGCAUUCGCCUUCUUCACAGGCACCGGGCCUUUUCCAAAACGCGGCUACUUCACAGGCAUUCGCCUUCUUCACAGGCACCGGGCCUUUUUCAGAGGUUAAACCUUCGGAGAUGUUAAUGUUCCACGCGUUCUGGACGGGCACCCCCUCCUGGGUCUCCAAGCGCACGGAGCCGGGCCUGGAAACAUGAACAACCUUGAAUGGGCCCUCCCACAUGGGAGAGAGCUUAUGCAGUCCCUCCCUGGAGAGAACCCAUCUGAGCAUGAAGUCCCCUACCUCAAGAGUCCUGGGGCGGAUCUUGCGGCAGUGGUAUCACCGCAGUGCUUGUUGGUACCUUGCUGCUCAUAGUGCGGCUUCUCGACGAUGCUCCUCCCCCAGCAUGAGAUCCGUCCCCCGCAUGGCGUCCUGCUGCGCCUCGUCGAACACCAGGACCUGUGCGGAAUGACAUCUGACCUCGUGAGGGAGAACGGCUUCAGCUCCAUAAACCAGAAAGAACGGGGUCUCGCCAGUGGGCUUGGUUGCGGUAGUGCGGAUGGACCACAGCAUGGAUUGGAGCUCGUCGUACCAGCCCCUGCCGCAGGCUUCUAGCUUCGUCUUGAAGGUUCUGGUCUUGAGGCCCCUCAGGACCUCCGCGUUGGCCCGCUCAGCCUGGCCGUUGCUCCGGAGGUGCGCUAUCGAAGCAUAGCAUAUCUGCGUUCCAAGGUCAGCACGGUAUGUUUUGAAGAGGUUACUGGUGAACUGUGAACCGUUGUCGGUGAUGAUGCGGUUUGGCACCCCGAAUCGGCUCACGAGGCCCUUGAUGAACUUGACCGCCGAGCCUGCGGGGAUGGUGCGGACAGCUUCCACCUCAGCCCACUUGGUGAACUUGUCCACGACCACGUACAGGUAGCGAUAGCCUCCCGGUGCCCGAGGGAACGGGCCCAGGAUAUCCAGCCCCCAGAAUGCGAAUGGCCAUGAGAGGGGUAUAGUCUGCAGGCCUCCCGUCGGCUGAUGGAUCUGCUUGGCAUGGAAUUGGCAGGCCUCGCAAGCUUUCACCAGUUCCACGGUGUCAUUGAGUGCCGUAGGCCAAUAGAACCCGCUGCAGAACGCCUUGCCAACAAGGGUCCGUGAUGACGAGUGAUGCCCACAGUCUCCACCGUGUAUGUCUGCCAGCAGCUCCUUCCCUUGCUCCCUGGAAAUGCAACGCAGGGACACAUCAUUUGGUCGUCUCCGGUAGAGCUCUCCAUCCUUGAUGCAGUAUGCCAUGGCCUGCCGCGCCACUUGCUCCGCUUCCUCCUCCUUUUCCGGCAAGGUACCUUGUGUCAGGUAGCUCCUGGGCUCUGUGAUCCAGCACCCUUCCUGAGGCUCCAGCGCCAGGAGCAGGCGCGCUCCUGAGGUCGGGCCACAGACUGGGGCUCCCGAGGCAGGUGGCUGAGGGAGCUCCUCCCAAGGCUGCACCGUGCUUGACAGUGAUGGCGUCGCCGAGGGCUUGAAGAGCCGCUCCUCGAAGACGCCAGGCUCCUGAGGUAGCCGCCAGGAUGCCCUUUUGGCGAUGUCAUCAGCCUCUUGAUUGGUGCCGCGAGGCACAUGCUGCAACUCCAACCCCCAGAACUGCUUCUCCAUCCUGCGGACCUCCGCGAGGUAGGCUUCCAUGUGCUCGUCCUUCGGCUCAUAUACUUUGUUGGAGAAGUUGACGAGGAGCUGUGAAUUACCCUUGGUGGUGAGGCGCUUCACCCCCAGGGCGACUGCGGCUUUUAGGCCUGCUAUCAGGCCUUCGUAUUCUGCUAUGUUGUUGGAGACCUUUUCUCCGUGCUGGAAACAAAGUUGCACGGCGUAGUAGAGCUUGUCUUGAGUGGGAGAUACGAGCACCGCACCAGCCCCCGCGCCGUGUCGGGAGAACGCCCCGUCGAAGUACAUGACCCAACUGUCCGGUGCCUCGCUUCCCGGGGAGAGUGAUCGAUCCUCGCCAGCCUCGAGGCCUGGCGCCUCUGCCCAUUCCGCCACGAAAUCCUCAAGUGCGGCCCCCUUGAUGACUCUGGUUGUGCUGAAUUCUGGCUAAAACGCUUGCAGCUCGAUGUUCCACUCAGCGACUCUUCCAGCUGAGUUGGGGCUCCUGAGCACCCUUUCCAAGGGGUACGCUGAGACGACCUUGAUGGGGUGGCCUUGGAAAUAGUGUCACAGCUUGCGUGAGGCUACCAAUAGCGCGAGGAGGAGUUUUUGAGGCAUGGGGUACCGCGCCCUCGCAUCCCGCAACACCGUGCUGACGAAGUACACAGGGUGCUCGACGAGGUUGGGAUUGCUGGUGCUCCUAGCGUCCUCCGGAGGCCGGGGCGCCUCCUGAGAUAAUGGAGCCCCCAGCGGCUGGUCGCUUGGCGGGGGGACUCUCCUGUUUCAGGUGUGCUUCCCUGCAGCGGCUGAUCCUUCUCGGUUGCGGUCGCGGCCUCUCUGAGGCCCUCUUGGUCCUGCUUUGCUUUGACCCGGACGGUUGUUGCGGCCUUGGUCCAACGCUCCUCCCUAACAGCCACCAGGGCUGCGCUGGCAGAGUAGGGGGUGGCUGCAAGGUAGAGCACCAGGGGCUCUUGAGGACGCUGAGCCACCAUCACCGGAGGGCUGGUUAAGUACCUUUUGAGAUCCUGGAACACCUUGUCGGCCUCUUCAGUCCAUUCAAAGGGGCCCUUCUUCUUCAUCAGCUUGAAGAAGGGCAGCGCUCGUUCCCCCAGCUUGGAGAUGAAGCGUCCUAGUGCGGUCACACACCCGGUGAGCUUCUGCAUCUCUCUGAGGGUCUUCGGCGGGCUCAUGUCCUCGACUGCUUUGACCUUCUCUGGGUUGGCCUCGAUGCCUCGGUGGGACACGAGGAAGCCCAGGAGCUUGCCUGAGGGGACUCCAAACACACACUUCUCCGGGUUGAGCCGCAGGUCCACUUCGUUGAGGCUCGCGAAGGUUUCCUCCAAAUCCUGUAUCAGGGUUUUUGCCUCCCGAGACUUCACCACAAUGUCAUCAACGUAAGCCUCGGCAUUCCUCCCGAGCUGCCGACCCAAGGCGAUGCGCAUCAACCGCUAAAAGGUCGCGCCUGCAUUGUGCAGCCCAAAUGGCAUGCAUGUAUAGCAGUACACUCCACACGGGGUCAGGAAAGUCAUCUUUUCCACGUCCUCUACUGCCAUCUUGAUCUGGUGAUAGCUGGAGAAGGCAUCCAGGAAGCAUAACAGGUCGCACUUAGCGGUGGAGUCGACGAUCUGGUCGAUGCGAGGGAGCAGGAAUGGAUCCUGCGGGCAGGCCUUGUUGAGGUUGGUGAAGUCGACACACAUGCGUUCCUUUCCCCCCUUCUUCGGCACGACAACCGGGUUAGCCAACCAAUCUGGGUAGCGGACCUCGUGAAUGACCCCUGCCGCCUCUAGCUUGCGGGUCUCUUGGAUGAUGAAAGCUUGCUUCUCAGUGGACUGCUGCCUCGCUUUCUGCUUCAGGGGGCGCACGUUGGGGCACACGUUGAGGUGAUGCUCAAUUACGCCCCUCGGGACCCCUGCUAGCUGGUCAGGUUCCCAUGCGAACACCUUCUUGUUCGCGCGUAGGAACUUCACCAAGGCCUCCUCCUGCUUGGGCUCGAGGUUGGCGCCUAUGGUGAAGGUGGCAUUAGUGGAUCUGUCCUCGUCGACCAGUACCUGCUUGGUCUCCGCCUUGUCUUGGGUGAAUAGUUGCUUAUUCUUGGCCGGUGCAGCCCCCUUGGGCUCAGGGGUGUCUAAGCCGGCGGGCUGCGCCACCGCCGCAGUCCUGAAGGCAAGCCUGAGCGCUUGCAACGCAUCCCCGGUGUCUCCGGACACGGUGAGGACGCCGCUACUCCCGGGCAUCUUCAUGAGGUUGUACGUUGGGUGAGUUGUGGCCAUGAAUCGGGCUUGUGCCGGGUAGCCGACGAUGGCGUUGUAUGGGAGGCUGAUGGGGGUGAUGUCGAAGUCGAUUAGCUCCGUGCGGAAGUUGUCGUAGGUGCCGAAGGUCACCGGAAGGCGGAUCUGCCCCAGGGAGCCGGUAGAACCGCCUCCGACGCCCAAGAAGGGCCUGCUGGGCUGAAGCCGCUCCGGCGGUACGUGGAGGAGGCUGAAGGCUUCCACCAAGAGCACGCUGAGGCCGGCACCGCCGUCGAUGAGGGUCCUGGUGACGGCCACCUGGCAGAUGGUGGGGGUGCACAGCAUUGGGAGCGCGCCCGAGCAGGCUGAGUUGGAAGGGCGAUCAUCCGAGCUGAAGGCCAGAUCGGCUUUAGGCGCCGCCCAACCCGGAGGAGCCCCAUGCUGCGCGGAAGUGGCGCCGAUCUGGUGGACGAAUGGCUUGAUGUGGCGGCCUAAAGGUGGUGCCUGCGAGCCACCUAGGAGAGCUGCGACGACCGGGGGCACCGGUGCAACGUACUGGGCGAGGAAGAGGCCGCACAGCUCCCCCCAAGAGGCCACGGAAGCCGUCGGCAGGUGGAGCAGCCACAUGCGCGGGAUGCCGGUGAGGGCCAUGGGAAACCAGUUAGCCAUGAUCCUGUCGUCGCCCCCAGCCAUGAGGACGGCCUCCUCGUACGCCAGCAGGAAAGCCAACGGAUCGGUCGUGCCGUUGUAGCACGGUGGCAUCUCCGCCUUGAACUUGUUCAGCCACUGCACCUGCCGCAAGGCGGGGGCCAAGGCUCGGAGCCCCCUGGCCCACGUGCUGGCGCUGGCAACCGGAGCAGGCAGCGUGUUUCCCAUCAUGAGGGCGAAUCGCGGUGUUGGCGGAGAGCAGGUCGGUGGAAGGGAAAGCUCUGGCGCACCCCUACCUGGCGCGCCAAAUGUCGGAUUUCGGGUUCCGGCAGACCCUCAAGGUUCAAACUCUGGGGUGCGCGUGGAGAUCACACCUCCUACCUACCUACAUCUCGUCGCCUCGCAAGGAUCUAAACUACACGAAGAACAACACAAGGGACACGAGGUUUAUACUAGUUCGGGCCACCAUUAUGGUGUAAUACCCUACUCUAGUUUGUGGUGUGGUAGAUUGCCUCAGGGGCUGGUGAGGAACAAUACAAAGGAAGAACUGCCUCGCGAGGGGAGGAGUUCUUGUGGUGGUGAUGCUUCUUGGGAAGGAUUGAACCCGGAUCCCCUUUCGAUGUCCCUACUCUGUGGUGGCUAGUCCUAUUUAUAGAGCGAGGCCUUGGUCCUCUUCCCAAAUAUUGAGCGGGAAGGGCGCCAAUAAUUGGCCAUUUUGAAGGGGAACAUCUAGUACACUUAUCCUGGCUAAAGUCGGUCCUCGCCUGCCAAAGACUCUGACGGUGACGCUGGCUUGGGCUCCACAAUGACCUCCAUCCUGUCGUUCUGCUGGUCUUGGUCUUGUUGCACCAGAAUGGUUGCCUUUGCUUGAUACUCUUGCCUGCGCUUGCCCCCUUUGCACCAAAGAGGAAACAAGGACUCUGCGCAGGCCGGCACCCGCCUGGCGCCCGCCUGGCUUCGGGCGUCAUGGCUUGCAUCAUGGGCGCCUCAUGAGGUACCCUGCCUUGAUCUCUCCGCCUCCUCGCGAGCUAGCCUGACGAGGCUGUGCCCGAGAAAGCUUCCUGUCGUCCGCCCCGCGAGGCUUGGCCCCUCGCGAGGGUCUUGAGCAUGUGUUGGUGAAGAUGGGCCAUACUGGGCCACUCCUUGAGCCACACCGCAGGCCGCAGCCAGGCAAGUCUGGGUACCCCCGUUCCCAGAACUCCGACACUAGCAAUGUGUUGGCCCGUGCGUUGCAAUGGAUCCAAAGUAGUAGAAUAAUACUUGUUCACGUGCUUGAAAUAUAAACACUCUAGUUUUGAUAUACAUGUGUCAGCAGACAUGACAGCUUGUCCAUGGAAGUUGAACCACAGUGACCAUCACAUUUCUUGUUUCUACCACUGCCACACCCACACGUGAUUCCCACGACGCCGCUCCAACCCACGGCACGACAUCCCCCGACAUGGACAUGGAUCCUCUGACGUGGCUAUCACUGCCUUGCCCUGCCUUUCCUUCGCUGACAGGUGGGACCCACGCUUAUGGGUCCCACAUGUCAGUGAUAGAAUGGUAGGAUUGUUCGCGUCAGGGGAUCCUCAUCCCCCCGACGUGCCCCUCAUCCCUCUCGGCCCCACCGCUCCUCUGCCUUUGUGUGCAUGACAUGCGGGCCAGCUGAACUGCGGCGACCAUCAACUUUCUACCACACACACACCCGAUUGGACGUGGUUGAUGCUCCGCUGCUGUGCUCCGAUCCGUACUCCCGCACCAUCGAAUUUUUAUCCAGCGACUGUGACACAUUUUGUCCCGGGCAUCAAUCCUCAGCUGGAGUACUUAUGUACUACAGGUAGUACCCGCCGGUGUGGCCAUCUAUGCCUCGUAACACCCCGACGCCCAGCUGUGGCACCCUCGCCACGGCCGCGCCACCAUAUGACGGUUCAUCUCGAAUGAGUGAGUCAUGAACCACACCACCACCAUGAGAAUGACAUGUGGGCCAGCCGCAUUUAAGGUCCGCAUGUAAUUGACUCAUAGGCCAGGCACUAAGCCACUGAAGUUUGGUCCCGUGGGCCCCGAGAGAGAAAUGUAACUCCUGCGGCAGGCCUUGUGGUGCUCCCGCAGUACGAGCUCGUGCGAAAACUGUGAUUUGUACUAGUAAGGUACACAUGCAUUGCACGCAUGAGAUUCUGGUGGUUUGUGCAUUAUGCUUAUACAUGUGGAGUUUUCUGGAUUCUAACAUGUGGCAAAAUCUGGUGGAAUGUAAGGUUAGGCAAGUUUGAUUAACUUAGGUGAGUGUUUGGUUCAAGCCACACUAAGGCCCCACAUGACAUACACACAAAAAAUGUGGCAAGCUUCCCUUAGGCUUGCCAACUUGUGGCUCUCAUUUUGAAGAACUAAUAACUUUGCCUAAGCUUAGUUGCGGCAAAGUUAGUCAUGAAUUAAGUUCAACCAUGGAGUCUUCUAGAUUAUACAUGUGGCAGGAUCUAGUGGAUGAUAUCCAACGGCCAGUAGUGCUCGGAUUUGCCAUCUUUGUACCGCCGGAUUGGCUUCAUCCAACGACCAACUUUCAAAGUUUUUCACACACUAUAUAGGGGGUAUAGAUAUAGAUGUGUUGGUCCGUUGCAAUGGAUCCAAAGUAUAUUUAUUUAGUGGAGUGCACUCUAAACACAUUAUCUAUUUAUUUUUCUCUAACCUUCCAUAGCCAUGCAACCAAGCCACAUAAGCUUCAUGGGUGCCCCCCACAUCAUAUUAUUCAUACUACGUUGAUUGAAAAAAAGAUAAAUCACCCAAAACAAGAUCUUCCCAUUUUUUGUUCCUACGAUGUUGUGCCGUGCACGUACCUACUAGUUGUAUAGUGGUAGUACUAGUAAUAUAGUAUUAGUAGUACAAACUUGGUAACUAGUAGGAGUAGUACUAGUAUGGAAUGCUCCUACCCUAUCAACGAGUCCCGUCUGACACCAAAUUUCUUGGCUUCCGUGCUACAACUAGAUCUUCCCCUAGUUUCUGUUUUCCAACCCGACGGCGGGCGGGGUGUUGGUUUGCUCAAUGGCGGUCCCACAUUAAAGUGAAAAUGCUAGGCAACACGCCUUCCCUAAGUUAUGCGUCAUGCCGGACGGGCCGUGUUGUACUCCGGAUUCCCGGGCGUGUGGGGGUGCGACGCGAACGCGGCAGGCCUUUUCCUUUUACUAGCAAUGUGCCCGUGUGUUGCGACGGAUCUAAAGUAGUAGAAUAGUAGUAUUUGUUCACAAACUUGAAAGAAAUCACUAUUGUUUUGAUAUACUCCUAAUAUAUUACUCCCUCCGUACCUAAAUAUUUGUCUUUUUGAUAUUUCAAAUGGACUAUCACAUACGGAUUAUAUAGACAUAUUCUAGUGUUUCUAGCAAGAUGCCCGCGCGUUGCACGAAGUUGAUGGAAAAGGUAAGCACAACUUAUAAAUUGACGGAUGGAGUACUAGUUACAGUGAUGCAUAUAAUUAAGCAAAGGGAUCACACAUGUCGGUAUUGACUGGAACGAGAAUGCAACAGCACAAUAAGAAUUAAGGCCACGAUGAUGCGAUCGCAGUGGUGGUUACAGAAGGCAAGAAGAAAGAUGGAUCCACGAACGUACAACCUCCUCCUCCUCAACUUAGUGCGCCGGGCCACCGACCGGCGGCUAAGGAGCGGCGGCUUUUGUGGCGAGGUCGAGGUGCUUCUCAGCAAAGGCAUCCAAGGCUUCCAGCCGGUUGAGGAAGGCCAAUGUCGUAGCGUCCUCACUAGCCUUGUAGAUGCCUAUGUACACAAUUUGCUCGUACACGUGGAUGUGUAGGUCGACGAAUUCUUGCAGGGUGAGGCGCCUCGCGGCGAGCGCGACCUCCAGGUGGACGUUCUUUGUGGCGUCGGCGGGCAGUCGCAGGGCCACCAGUGCUUGAAAGAGGUUCCGGCCAUGAAGGCCAAUUAGGGUGGCAGGCAAUGAGGAGCCCGGGCGCGCGGGCUGGAGGAGUACGGUGAUGCCGCCUGUGAGCUUCUUGAGGACGGUGAACUUGUUGCUGGUGGCAACGAUCAUCUGGUCCAACUGAGAGUCGUAGUUGGCAUCGACGACGGCCAUCCACCAGCCGGUCUCCAACAUCGUCUGGAGACGAUCCUCGGCACCAUGUCGCAGGCCGGCGUCGUGGACCAUCUAGCGCAGCCGCUGGCCGCUCACGCGCAUCGCCGCCAUGGGUCUGGAGUGAGCUCUUCUACGCUUAGUGUAGGUGCUUAGGCAAAUGCUUAGGUGCGUACGAUGUGGUAGAUGCAUUGGAAUGGAGGGGCGCCUUUAUAUGAGGGCAAUGAGGGCAAACUGCGUUGCAUUAACAUCGUGCAGCCUCUUUUCUCGGACCUCCUCCCAUUACUUCCCUCAUGCAUUAAUUGAAGGAGGAUGCAUUGGCCGUUCAACAUAUCGGGAACCGCUACUCCCUCCCUCGUCUGCAUUAAAGCCGUAUCGGGAACUACGCCGCCCGCUGUCAAAUCGAAUACUCCCUCCGUCUAGGUGAGUAUUAAGUCAUCUUACAAAAACCAAAUAGUAAACACAUAGGCGUGGUGCAUUAACUCUCACGUUGUUUCUUAUCUUUUGACAUAAAUAGAGGAAUCAACCAAGAAGAGAUGUGGGGCUUGUAUGCUUUUAAUGACUUGAGACUAUCAAACAUGACAUGCAGUGGUCAGUUCAUUGCACAAGAACAAAUACAACCCACAUCAGCACACACGCAUCUUAUAGCAUCACAUCCAAUGGCUAUAAAAGAUGAAUGAGACAUAAUUAUAUCUCAUCUAGAUGAGUUCUAGCAAAACUGUAUUAAUAAUACUCAGUACUCCUGCGCCAUGUACUCCCUCCGUUCCAAAUUACUUGUCGCUGAAAUAGAUGUAUCUAGAACAAAAAUACAUCUAGAUACAUCCAUACGUGCGACAAGUAAUUCGGAACGGAGGGAGUAUCAUAUAUUAGUAUCAUGUAGUACUUUAUUUAUUGCCAUGUAUGACACAUAGUCCACGAGCGCUCUCUAUAUGUACCACCUUUUUUUAUUUCAAGUUUUGCUCCAUGGCGCAAUCCAUCGAUACUACUACUGUACAAAAGUGGAGUACAUACAUUUUUAAAAGGCUAGAGGGCGGGGCAGUCUAGCUCGGUCGGUUUCACGAGAGGCGAGGGCCUUUGUGAUUUGACGGCUCAUUACUACUGUCAAAUCGGAUAGUACUGCGCCGCCCGCUGCACGUCCGGCGCCUCCAUUAAACCCCUCCUUUAAACCCGCAUGCAAACCGAGAAUCCUACUCCAGCCACACGUCCGUUCAUGAGCGGGACGGAAUUAAGCGCAACACCGGCCGAGCUCCUCCCGUCCGCCCUCAGUUUAAACGAGGCCAGACGCCGGCCAAGCUCCUACCGUCCGCCCUCUAUUUACACGAGGCCAGACAGACAGCGGGCAAGAAUCGCACCCCUCCGCCGCUCCCCCAUCUCCUCCUUCACCAUUUUCUCCACUCUUCCGAUGGCUUCCAAUGAGCCGUUCUUCGGCAUAUUGCCCGGCUGGGUGGCCCGCUGAGCCCUCCGGAUAUGGGCGAGGCCGCUCGACGCUUCAUCAACCUCGCUUCGCCCGACGGAGCCAGUUGCUGCCCCAAGCAGGCGCGUGGUUCAGCAACUCGCCGCUCCAGUUCAGCUCGAUGAGGAGUGGCGAGUUGCUCCACGCUGGCACGGCGGCGAGCAUGCCGCUACGGGCGCCAUCGCUGCCGCGUCAUACCGCGCCACCAGUGUCUGCGGUGGUUGCGCCUCCCGUGUCUGUGGGCGCACCUCCCAUGCUUGCGUCAGCGCCAUGCAGGCAGAGACAGAAGUCGGGUGCGUGGAGAGCGACGAGUCAGUGGCCAGCUUCUCCGUGUCUGCCGCCAUCAUCAAGGAGAUGUAGAACACGGGAGGCCGCCGCCACUUGGGACCUAUGAAGGCCACCACCGAGGCGACGACCGCGGAUUCAGGUGGUUUCUUUGCUGCUUCAUUUCUUCCGAGGACCUUCAUCGACCCCGCAAGUGUCUGACGGACAUGAGGAAGACAAAGGGAUCCGCGGGCGGCCAUUUAGAACUAAAAUAAGUCUAGAUACAUCCAUUUCUAGGACAAGUAUUUCCGGAUGGAGGGAGUAUUAAUUAUACAAGAGAGCCGGAUUGGCAUCUCUUAGUUCAUGUAAAUGUAAUGAAAUCCAUCAUGUUUAUAUGAAGAUCCGGCUUUUUUAUACGAAAUCCUUCAUGCUUAUUUGAAAUCAGUCCGUGUUUGCACGAAUUUCAUCUGGUUGGUUAGAGUUGUAAAAAUGUAUGCCGUUGGCGUUUGAUGUCAUCCUCCACGGAAGGAAGCGGGAGGAAAUUUGCCGGCUGCCGUUGGAGAUGCUCUUUAUGCUAGAAAUAAUAGAGUGACAUCCAAUCCAUUUGAGUUAAUUGCCUGUAUGAUUGUCCCUCUAUAAAAAGUUAAUUGCAUGUACAGUGUACACGUGACUUGCAGGGUGGCUACAGCUUCGUACAGAAAGUUAAAAAGAAACAAGUCCAUCCUUAAUCUUGUAUUCUAAGUACUCUGUGGGUUCCACUGUCAGUACAAUAGCGAAAGAAGUAUAUAUUAAAUAAGUAGAGUAAUAUAUAAUAUAAAAAUCUAAAGUUAAAAGACAGAAUUCAAACUCAUGUCAUCGCAUUGUGAGCAUCCGGCGCUAACCAGCCCAGCACAUUUUUGUUGUAGACCAUGCUAGAGAUAUAUCUCCAUGUCUACUCUUAUAUAUACUCCAUUCGUUCCUAAAUAUUUUCUUUUUCAGAUUUCAAAUGGACUACCACAUACAGAUGUGUAUGUAGACAUAUUUUAGAGUGUAGAUUCACUCAUUUUGCUAUGUAUGUCUUUUCAGGAAGGGGUCAGAUUUGUCCUAGAUUUAUUUAUGAGGUAUCCAGAUGGCACUGCAUCGCUAAGAAAAGAGGGUAACAUCAAAAUUAUGGACUACUUUUUUGAGUAUGUUGGUAAGGUCCGGUCAUAGUCACUUGUUGAAAUCUCUAAAAAGACAAAUACUCCCUCCGUCUGGAAAUACUUGUCAUCAAAAUGGAUAAAAGGAGAUGUAUCUAGACGUAUUUUAGUGUUAGAUACAUCUCUUUUUGAGGGCUUCUGAGGGCCCAACAGACUAAUGGUCCACAAAUGGGCCGACUGUAACGACAGGCUGAAUUUGGCCCACAAGUAGAAAAUGACGUAACGGGCCAUAAGUAACCGAAUGCUGCAAAUGAGCCCAAGAAUAAAUGGGCCCUCAGAAGGCCGAAAGUUAACUUGGGCUGGAAACGGCUGAGGGAGUCCUGGAUUAGGGGGUAUCCGGACACCCGGACUAUACACUUUGGCCGGACUGUUGAACCGUGAAGAUACAAGACUCGAGACUUCGUUCCGUGUCUGGAUAGGACUAUCCUUUGCAUGGAAGACAAGCUUGGCGAUCCGGAUAUUAGAUUUUCUUCUUUGUAACCGACUCUAUGUAAACCCUAGCCCCCUCCGGUGUCUAUAUAAACCGGAGGGUUUGAUCCCUAUAGACACAAUCAUAAUCAUCAUAGGCUAGCUUCUAGGGUUUAGCCUCUAUGAUCUCCUGGUAGAUCAACUCCUGUAAUACUCAUAUCAUCAAGAUCAAUCAAGCAGGAAGUAGGGUUUUACCUCCAUCGAGAGGGCCCGAACCUGGGUAAAAUAUCGUGUCCCUUGCCUCCUGUUACCAUUAGCCUUAGACGCACAGAUCGGGACCCCCUAACCGAGAUCCGCCGAUUUUGACACCGACAUUGGUGCUUUCAUUGAGAGUUCCUCUGUGUCGUUGCUACGAGGCUUGAUGUCUCCUUCAAUCAUGAACAACAAUGUGGUCUAGGGUGAGACUUUUCUCCCCGGAUAGAUCUUCGUGUUCGGCGGCUUCAUGCUGCGGGCCAAUUCGCUUGGUCAUCUGGAGCAGAUCGACAGCUACGGCCCUGUCCAUCAGGUCAGGUUCGGAAACUUGAACUACACGGCCGAUAUCCACGGAGACUUGAUCUUCAACGGAUUCGGGCCUGCGCCAGGAGCGCUGAACAGUCACGAUGAGCACGGUUCAUACCUGCUGUCCGACAAUACUCAGGAUAUCGCACCUACAGGAGCCCUGGACCUAAAUCCGGGGCAGAUUGCAUCUUCCGAGGAUGGGUGGAUGGACCCCACCCCGGAGGCCGCACACUCAUCACCGCCGAACACAGACUUCACCCCCAAGGAAGCGUGUGUCUCCGGACCCCUGGACUCGUGUCCGGUUGUAGGCCCUAGACCGCGCGCCCCCGAGCCCGCCAAUUCUGGCUGGGCUCCGGUAAUGGAGUUCACCACCGCGGAUAUCUUCCAGCACUCGCCCUUUGGUGAAAUGCUGAACUCAUUAAAGUCUCUCUCUUUGUCAGGAGACUCUUGGCUGAACUAUGUCCGGCUCGAGUGGGAAGCAGGUGACGAGGGAAUUCGUUGCCCACCCACCACCCACUUCAUUGCCACGGUCAACGAUUUGACCGACGUGCUUGACUUCGACUCUGAAGACAUCGACGGUGUGGACGACGAUGCAGGAGAUGAACAGGAACCACCGGCCACGGGGCGCUGGACAACCACCUCCUCAUAUGAUAUAUAUAUGGUGGACACUCUGAAAGAAACCAAUGGCGAUGAGGCAAUGGAGGAUAAGCCCUCAAGGAAGAAAGCAAAGCAUGGGCAUCAUCAGUGCCGCUCCAAGCGCCGCCACAACAAUACCGGCAUAGGAGACGAAAACAAUCUGGAUGGUGCUGAAGAUGAAUACAACCCCGAUCAGCCUGCCUUCGAGCAGGCCGAACAGGAAGACGGGCAGGUCAGCCCAGACGAACAGGCGACGGACGGGUACCCGGAGGAGGACAACUACAUGCCCCCCUCCGAAGAUGAGAUUAGCCUCGGCGACGACUAAUUCGGCGUGCCUGAGGACCCCGUAGAGCAGGAGCGCUUCAAGCGCCGGCUUAUGGCCACUGCGAGGAGCCUAAAAAAGAAGCAGCAACAGCUCCAAGCUGGUCAAUACCUACUCAUAGACAGAUGGACUGAAGUCCUGGCAGCCGAGGAAUAUGGACUCGAGCGCCACACGGCUGACCGGCCACCUCAUGGCCGGGAUAAAACAGCGUAUCAGCCUGAAUACCAGCCCGCACCUCUACGCCAAUACACUGUGGACCGGGGCAAUAGGCAGGACCUGCGAGACAUAUUGAAAAACAAGGCAGGACAGCCAAGAUCGAUCUACGGACCUACUGUGACAAACACGUAUCAUCACAGAAGUGUAUUUUUUUGUAGUGUAGGGCCCNNNNNNNNNNNNNNNNNNNNNNNNNNNNNNNNNNNNNNNNNNNNNNNNNNNNNNNNNNNNNNNNNNNNNNNNNNNNNNNNNNNNNNNNNNNNNNNNNNNNNNNNNNNNNNNNNNNNNNNNNNNNNNNNNNNNNNNNNNNNNNNNNNNNNNNNNNNNNNNNNNNNNNNNNNNNNNNNNNNNNNNNNNNNNNNNNNNNNNNNNNNNNNNNNNNNNNNNNNNNNNNNNNNNNNNNNNNNNNNNNNNNNNNNNNNNNNNNNNNNNNNNNNNNNNNNNNNNNNNNNNNNNNNNNNNNNNNNNNNNNNNNNNNNNNNNNNNNNNNNNNNNNNNNNNNNNNNNNNNNNNNNNNNNNNNNUGGCCGCCCCUCCCCCCCCCUAGAUGAGAUCUAAGGGGGACGGCCCCCUCUCCCCUUCCCCCUAUAAAUAGUGGGGGUGGGAGGGCUGCCAUACCUUUCGCCUGGCGCAGCCCUCCCCCUCUCCAACUCCACCUCCUCCUCCGUAGUGCUUGGCGAAGCCCUGCUGAAGAACUGCAAGCUCCACCACCACGCUGUCGUGCUACCAGAGCUCUCCCUCAACUUCUCAUCUCCCCUUGCUGGAUCAAGAAGGAGGAGACGUCCCCAGGCUGUACGUGUGUUGAACGCGGAGGCGCCGUCUGUUCGGUGUUAGAUCGGAUCUUCCACGAUUUGAAUCGCCACGAGUACGACUCCCACAUCCGCGUUCUAGUGAUGCUUCCGCUUAGCGAUCUUCAAAGGUAUGAAGAUGCUCAUCCUCUCCCUCUCUUGUUGCUAGAAUCUCCAUAGAUUGAUCUUGGUGAUGCGUAGAAAAUUUUGAAUUUCUGCUACAUUCCCCAUCAGUGGCAUCAUGAGCUAGGUCUAUUGCGUAGAUUCUAUGCACGAGUAGAACACAAGUAGUUGUGGGCGUUGGUUUGUUCAAUUUUCUUACCAUUACUAGUCCUAUCUCGUUUCGGCGGUAUUGUGGGAUGAAGCGGCCCGGACCGACCUUACACGUACGCUUACGUGAGAUAGGUUCCACUGACUGACAUGCACUUGUUGCAUAAAGGUGGCUAGCGGAUGCCAGUCUCUCCCACUUUAGUCGGAUCGGAUUCGAUGAAAAGGGUCCUUGUGAAGGGUAAAUAGCAAUUGGCAUAUCACCGUUGUGGCUUUUGUGUAGGUAAGAAACGUUCUUGCUAGAAACCCAUAGUAGCCACGUAAAACAUGCAACAACAAUUAGAGGACGUCUAACUUGUUUUUGCAGGGAAUGCUAUGUGAUGUGAUAUGGCCAAAAGAAUGUGAUGAAUGAUAUGUGAUAUAUGAGAUUGAUCAUGUUCUUGUAAUAGGAAUCACGACUUGCAUGUCGAUGAGUAUGACAACCGGCAGGAGCCAUAGGAGUUGUUUUAAUAUAUUGUAUGACCUAUGUGUCAUUUAAAAUGCCAUGAAAUUACUUUACUUUAUUGCUAACUGUUAGCCAUAGUAGUAGAAGUAAUAGUUGGCGAGACAACUUCAUGAAGACACAAUGAUGGAGAUCAUGAUGAUGGAGAUCAUGGUGUCAUUCCGGUGACGAAGGUGAUCAUGUUGUGCCUUAAGAUGGAGAUCAAAGGCGCAAAAUGAUAUUGAUCAUAUCAUGUCACUUUAUGAUUUGCAUGUGAUGUUUGUCAUGUUUGCAUCUUAUUUGCUUAGAACGACGGUAGCAUAAAUAAGAUGAUCCCGCAUAAAAUUUCAAGAAAGUGUUCCCCCUAACUGUGCACCGUUGCGGAAGUUCGUUGUUUCGAAGCACCACGUGAUGAUUGGGUGUGAUAGAUUCUAACAUUCACAUACAAUGGGUGUAAGCCAGAUUUACACAUGCAAAACACUUAGGUUGACUUGACGAGCCUAGCAUGUACAGAUAUGGCCUCGGAACACAAGAGACUGAAAGGUCGAACAUGAGUCGUAUAGUAGAUACGAUUAACAUGAAGAUGUUCACCGGUGAUGACUAGUCCGUCUCACGUGAUGAUCGGACACGGCCUAGUUGACUCGGGUCAUGUAUCACUUAGAUGACUAGAGGGAUGUCUAUCUGAGUGGAAGUUCAUUAAAUAAUUUGAUUAGAUGAACUUAAUUAUCAUGAACUUAGUCUAAAAUCUUUGCAAUAUGUCUUGUAGAUCAAAUGGCCCACGCUAAUGUUGCCCUCAACUUCAACGCGUUCCUAGAGAAAAUCAAGCUGAAAGACGAUGGUAGCAACUAUACGGACUGGGUCAUCCUCAUAGCUGCCAAGAAAGCAUAUGUCCUAGAAGCACCGCUAGGUGAAGCACCCAUUUUCCCAGAAACUCAAGAUGUUAUGAACGCCUGGCAGUCGCGUAGUGAUGAUUACUCCCUGGUUCAGUGCAGCAUGCUUUACAGCUUAGAACCGGGGCUCCAAAAGCGUUUUGAGUAACACGGAGCAUAUGAGAUGUUCCAAGAGCUGAAAAUGGUUUUCCAAGCUCAUGCCCGGGUCGAGAGAUAUGAAAUCUCAGACAAGUUCUACUGUUGUAAGAUGGAGGAAAAUAGUUAUGUUAGUGAGCAUAUACUCACUAUGUCCGGGUUACACAACCAUUUGUCUCAGUUGGGAGUUAAUAUCCCAGAUGACUCGGUCAUUGACAGGAUCUCCAGUCGCUCCCACCUAGCUACAAGAGCUUUGUGAUGAACUACAAUAUGCAAGGGAUGGAGAAGUCCAUUCCCGAGUUAUAUUCAAUGCUGAAAUCAGCGGAGCUGGAAAUCAAAAAGGAACAUCAAGUGUUGAUGGUGAAUAAGACCACUAGUUUCAAGAAAGGCAAGGGUAAAAAGAACUUCAAGAAGGACGACAAGGAAGUUGCCGCGCCCGGUAAAUCAGUUGUCGGGAAUAAGCCAAACAAUGGACCCAAGCCCGAGACUCGGUGCUUUUAUUGCAAGGGAAAUGGUCACUAGAAGCGGAACUGCCCCAAGUACUUAGUGGACAAGAAGGCCGGCAACACCAAAGGUAUAUGUGAUAUACAUGUUAUUGAUGUGUACCUUACCAGUACUCAUAGUAGCUCCUGGGUAUUUGAUACUGGUGAGGUUUCUCUAUUUGUACCUCAAAACAGGAGAUGCGGAAUAAGCGGAGACUGGCGAAGGAUGAGGUGGCGAUGCGCGUCGGGAAUGGUUCCAAGGUCGAUGUGAUCGCCGUUGACACCCUACCUCUACAUUUACCUACGUGAUUAGUUUUAAACCUCAAUAAUUGUUAUUUAGUGCUAGCUUUGAGCAUGAACAUUGUAUCUGGAUCUCGUUUAAUGCGAGAUGGCUACUCAUUUAAAUCCAAGAAUAAUGGUUGAUAUAUUUAUUUGAGAGAUAUGUUUUAUGGUCAUUACCCGCUAGUCAAUGGUUUGUUCUUAUUGAAUCUCGAACGUGAUGUUACACAUAUUCAUAGUGUGAGUACCAAAAGAUGUAAGGUUAAUAAUGAUAGUCCCACAUACUUGUGGCACUGCCGCCUUGGUCAUAUUGGUAUCAAGCGCAUGAAGAAGCUCCAUGCAGAUGGACUUUUGGAGUCUCUUGAUUAUGACUCAUUGACACAUGCGAACCAUGCCUCAUGGGAAAGAUGACCAAGACUCCAUUCUCCGGAACAAUGGAGCGAGCAACCAACUUGUUGGCAAUCAUACAUACUGAUGUGUGCGGUCCAAUGAGCGUUGAGGCUCGCGGUGGCUAUCGUUAUGUUCUCACCCUCACUGAUGACUUAAGUAGAUAUGGGUAUGUCUACUUAAUGAAACACAAGUCUGAGACCUUUGAAAAGUUCAAGGAAUUUCAGAGUGAGGUGGAGAAUCAAAGUGACAGGAAAAUAAAGUUCUUACGAUCAAAUCGUGGGGGAGAAUAUUUGAGUCACGAAUUUGGUAUGCACUUAAUGAAAUGUGGAAUUGUUUCACAACUCAUGCCGCCUCGAACACCUCAGUGUAAUGGUGUGUCCGGACGUCGUAAUUGCACUCUAUUGGAUAUGGUGCGAUCUAUGAUGUCUCUUACCGAUUUGCCGCUAUCAUUUUGGGGAUAUGCUUUAGAGACAACCACAUUCACUUUAAAUAGGGCACCGUCUAAAUCUGUUGAGACGACACCGUAUGAAUUAUGGUUUGGGAAGAAACCUAAGCUGUCAUUUCUAAAAGUUUGGGGAGGCGAUGCUUAUGUCAAGAAACUUCAACCUGAAAAGCUCGAACCCAAGUUGAAAAAAUGCAUCUUCAUAGGAUACCCUAAGGAAACCAUUGGGUAUACCUUCUACCUCAGAUCCGAAGGCAAGAUCUUUGUUGCCAAGAACGGGUCCUUUCUGGAGAAAGAGUUUCUCUCAAAAGAAGUAAGUGGGAGGAAAGUAGAACUUGAUGAAGUACUACCUCUUGAACCGGAAAGUAGCACAGCUCAGGAAGAUGUUUUUGUGGUGCCUGCACCGAAUAGAGAGGAAGUUAAUGAUGAUGAUCAAGGUACUUCGGAUCAAGUUUCUACUGAACUUCGUAGGUACACAAGGACACGUUCCACACCAGAAUGGUAUGGCAACCCUGUUGAAAGAUCGAGGAUGUCUCCUAGAGGAGGGGUGAAUAGGCAAUUUAUAAUAAUUACGGUUUAGGCUUGAACAAAUGCGGAAUAAACCUAGCGGUUAAUUUGUCAAGCACAAAACCUACAACAACUAGGCUCACCUAUGUGCACCAACAACUUAUGCUAAGCAAGAUAAGCAACUAUGUGAUAGCAAGAUAUAUGACAAAGAACAAUAUAGCUAUCACAAAGUAAAGUGCAUAAGUAAAGGCACUCGGGUAAGAGAUAACCGAGGCACGCGGAGACGAUGAUGUAUCCCGAAGUUCACACCCUUGCGGAUGCUAAUCUCCGUUUGGAGCAGUGUGGAGGCACAAUGCUCCCCAAGAAGCCACUAGGGCAGCCGUAAUAUCCUCACGCCCUCGCACAAUGCAAGAUGUCGUGAUUCCACUAAAGGACCCUUGAGGGCGAUCACCGAACCCGUACAAAUGGCGACCCUUGGGGGCGGUUACCGGACCCGUACACUUUGGCAACCCUUGGGGGCGGUCACCGGUACCCGUCAAAUUGCUCGGGGCAAUCUCCACAACCUAAUUGGAGACCCCGACGCUUGUCCGGAGCUUUACACCACAAUGAUUGAGCUCCGAACACCACCAACCGUCUAGGGCGCCCAAGCACCCAAGAGGAACAAGCUCAAGGGCACCAAGCACCCAAGAGUAAUAAGCUUCUCAACUUGUAACUUCCACGUAUCACGUGGAGAACUCAAACCGAUGCACCAAAUGCAAUGGCAAGGGCACACGGAGUGCCCAAGUCCUUCUCUCCCAAAUCCCACCAAAGCAACUAAUGCUAGGGAGGAAAAUGAGAGGAAGAACAAGAAGGAGAACACCAAGAACUCCAAGAUCUAGAUCCAAGGGGUUCCCCUCACUUAGAGGAGAAAGUGAUUGGUGGAAACGUGGAUCUAGAUCUCCUCUCUCUUUUCCCUCAAAAACUAGCAAGAAUCCAUGGAGGGAUUGAGAGUUAGCAAGCUCGAAGAAGGUCAACAAUGGGGGAAGAACACGAGCUCAAAGGAUAAGGUUCAUUGGGGAAGAAGACCCCCUUUUAUAGGAGGGGGAAAAUCCAACUGUUACCCCACUGUACAUCCCCGCACAAAGCGAUACUACCGCUAGGGCAGGGCAGUACUACCGCUGAGAGCCCGCUCCCACCCAGCGGUACUACCGCGCUGACGAGGAAGACAGGGCCCUGGCCCCAGAGCAGUACUACCGCGGGAGUAAGAGCGGUACUACCGCUUGGAGCGGUACUACCGCCACUACUACCGCUCCUAGUACCGCAAAACCCGACACGAAAAACAUCGGUCUCGAAUCGAGGCGGUACCAGCGCGGAACCGGAGCCGUACUACCGCUUAUGGCCAUGGGCGGUACUACCGCUAUGGGACAGCGGUACUACCGCUUGUGGCGAUAAGCGGUACUACCGCUCCGGCCCAGCGGUACUACCGCUGGCACCAACCUUAAGCCUCAACCACGAAAACAAAGAAUACUCCAAGGAAAACCAGAACUGCCAUAACUUCUUCGUAUGAGCUCCGAAUUGAGCAAACUCAAGCUUGUUGGAUAGAGUAAGACGAGUAGCAUCAAAACAAAGGAGUGAAACCUCCAACCGAGAAGAACCGGCAUACCCUCCAACAUCGAAAACAUCAUAGAAGAUGCAUGAGAACUCUGUUUUCGAUGAACCCGGGCUUGUCAUAAAAAUGACCAUAAGCUCCAAAUCUCACAAGGAGAAGAACCAAACAAGAACCAAAAAGAUGAUGCAAGGAUGCAAUGGUUUGAGCUCUCUACAAACGAUACGAUCAAGCAACUCAUCGAGAGCCCCCCUUGAUAGUACGGCAAUCAAUCCUAUAACCCGGUCUCCCACAACUACCAUGAGACCGGUAAAAUAGAAAACCUAUCAAGGGCAAACCUUUGCCUUGCACAUGAUCCACUUGAGCUAGAUGAUGACGAUCUUCUCCUCCUCAAGAUGGACCACAUUUCUUGAUUGCUUUGGCUCGAUGAAGACUAGAGAUUGCUCCCCCAUACUCCGCUAUGGGUGAGGCACUCUUCUGCACAUCUUCACAAGUCCAUUGUCGCCACAAAGGACGGCAAGCUUCAAGCAUAUGAUCUCUUCGUGAUGAUCCUACUUGAACUUGCACACCACAACCUAACCCCACAAAGAACUCUCAUGAAGACCAUGGAUUAGUACACAAAGCGUAAUUGACCAUGCUUACCAUACCAAGGGAUCGCUUGAUCCCUCUCGGUACAUCUUCUAUGCUUUGUGUGUUGAUCAACUUGAUUCAUUCUUUGACUUAGUCUUGAUCAACCUUGAAUCUUUCCAACUCUCUUCAUUUGGAUGAUGUCUUGAAGGUAAACAUGAAUGAUCACACAAUCUUCUUCUUCAAGACAUGCUUGCAAUAAGCUCAACACUCACAUGACCAAUCUUUGGAUAAUUCCUUAAUAGCACCUUGGUCAACUCAUAAACUCCUUGAAACCAACACAUGGAAUUCAAGAAAAGCCUAUGGACAGAUCCUUCAAAUAUAACUCAAGACAACCAUUAGUCCAUAGAGAUUGUCAUCAAUUCCCAAAACCAAACAUGGGGGGCACCGCAUGUUCUUUCACCUGUCCUGGAAAUCAUGUUGUUAGACAACGAUGAACCUUCAAACUAUGAAGAAGCGAUGGCGGGCCCAGAUUCCAACAAAUGGCUUGAAGCCAUGAAAUCCGAGAUAGGAUCCAUGUAUGAAAACAAAGUAUGGAGUUUGACAGACUUGCCCGAUGAUCGGCGAGCCAUAGAAAAUAAAUGUAUCUUUAAGAAGAAAACUGACGCGGAUGGUAAUGUGACCAUCUAUAAAGCUCGGCUUGUCGCAAGGGUUAUCGACAAGUUCAAGGGGUUGACUACGAUGAUACCUUCUCACCCGUAGCGAAGCUGAAGUCCGUCUGAAUCAUGUUAGCAAUUGCUGCAUUCUAUGAUUAUGAAAUAUGGCAAAUGGACGUCAAAACGGCAUUCCUUAACGGCUGCCAUAAGGAAGAAUUGUAUAUGAUGUAGCUGAAAGGUUUUGUCGAUCCUAAGAAUGCUAACAAGGUAUGCAAGCUCCAGUGCUCCAUCUAUGGGCUGGUGCAAGCAUCUCAGAGUUGGAACAUUUGCUUUGAUGAAAUGAUCAAAGCGUUUGGGUUUAUGCAGACUUAUGGAGAAGCCUGCGUUUACAAGAAAGUGAAUGGGAGCUCUGUAGCAUUUCUCAUAUUAUAUGUGGAUGACAUAUUAUUGAUGGGAAAUGAUAUAGAACUUUUGGAAAGCAUAAAGUCCUACUUGAAUAAGUGUUUUUCAACGAAGGACCUUGGAGAAGCUGCUUACAUAUUAGGCAUCAAGAUCUAUAGAGAUAGAUCGAGACGCCUCAUAGGUCUUUCACAAAGCACAUACCUUGAUAAGAUGUUGAAGAAGUUCAAUAUGGAUCAGUCCAAGAAGGGGUUCCUACCUGUUUUGCAAGAUAUGAAAUUGAGCUUGGCUCAAAGCCCGACCACGGCAUAAGAUAGAGAAAAGAUGAGUGUCAUCCCCUAUGCCUCAGCCAUAGGGUCUAUUAUGUAUGCCAUGUUGUGUACCAGACCUGAUGUAAACUUUGCCAUAAGUUUGGUAGGGAGGUACCAAAGUAAUCCCGGCAUGGAACACUGGACAAUAGUCAAGAAUAUCCUAAAGUACCUGAAAAGGACUAAGGAUAUGUUUCUCGUUUAUGGAGGUGACGAAGAGCUCGUCGUAAAGGGUUACGUCGAUGCUAGCUUCGACACAGAUCUGGAUGACUCCAAGUCACAAACCGGACACGUGUAUAUUUUGAAUGGUGGGGCGGUCAGCUGGUGCAGUUGCAAGCAAAGCGUCGUGGCAGGAUCUACAUGUGAAGUGGAGUACAUGGCAGCCUCAGAGGCAGCACAUGAAGCAAUCUGGAUAAAGGAGUUCAUUACCAACCUAGGAGUAAUUCCCAAUGCGUCGGGCCCGAUGACUCACUUCUGUGACAACACUGGUGCUAUUGCCCUUGCCAAGGAGCCCAGUUUUCACAAGAAGACCAGGCAUAUCAAGCGUCGCUUCAACUCCAUUCGUGAAAAUGUUCAAGAUGGAGACAUAGAUAUUUGAAAAGUGCAUACGGAUCUGAAUGUCGCAGACCCGUUGACUAAACCUCUUCCACGAGCAAAACAUGAUCAACACUAGAACUCUAUGGGUGUUCGAUUCAUCACAAUGUAACUAGAUUAUUGACUCUAGUGCAAGUGGGAGACUGUUGGAAAUAUGCCCUAGAGGCAAUAAUAAAAUGCUUAUUAUUAUAUUUCCUUGUUCAUGAUAAUUGUCUAUUGUUCAUGCUAUAAUUGUAUUAACCGGAAACCGUAAUACAUGUGUGAAUACAUAGACCACAACAUGUCCCUAGUGAGCCUCUAGUUGACUAGCUCGUUGAUCAAUAGAUGGUCAUGGUUUCCUGACCAUGGACAUUAGAUGUCAUUGAUAACGGGAUCACAUCAUUAGGAGAAUGAUGUGAUGGACAAGACCCAGUCCUAAGCGUAGCACAAGAUCGUGUAGUUCGUUUGCUAAAGCUUUUCUAAUGUCAAGUAUCAUUUCCUUAGACCAUGAGAUUGUGUAACUCCCGGAUACUGUAGGAAUGCUUUGGGUAUACCAAACGUCACAACAUAACUGGAUGGAUAUAAAGGUACACUACAGGCAUCUCCGAAAGUGUUUGUUGGGUUGACAUGAAUCGAGAUUGGGAUUUGUCACUCCGUAUGAGGGAGAGGUAUCUCUGGGCCCACUCGGUAAUGCAUCAUCAUAAUGAGCUCAAUGUGACUAAGUAGUUAGCCACGGGAUCAUGCAUUACGGAACGAGUAAAGUGACUUGCCGGUAACGAGAUUGAACGAGGAAUUGGGAUACCGACGAUCGAAUCUCGGGCAAGUAACGUACCGAUUGACAAAGGGAAUUGUAUACGGGAUUGCAUGAAUCCCCGACAUCGUGGUUCAUCCGAUGAGAUCACCGUGGAACAUGUGGGAGCCAACAUGGGUAUAGAUCUCACUGUUGGUUAUUGGCCGGAGAGCUGUCUCAAUCAUGUCUACAUGAUUCCCGAACCCGUAGGGUCUACACACUUAAGGUUUGGUGACGCUAGAGUUGAUAUGGGAAUUAGUACGUAGUUACCGACUGUUGUCCGGAGUCCCGGAUGAGAUCUCGGACGUCAUGAGGAGUUCCGGAAUGGUCCGGAGGUAAAGAUUUAUAUAUGGGAAGUCCAGUUUUACUCACCCGAAUAAUUUUGGGGGUUACCGGUAUUGUACCGGGACCACCGAAAGGUGUCCGGGGGUCCAUCGGGUGGGUCCACCUGCCACGGGGGACUUAGUGGGCUGAACAAGGGUGGGAACCAGCCCCCUAGUGGGCUGGUGCGCCCCCUAGGGCCCAAGGCGCCUAGGGUUGAAAACCCUAGGGGGUGGGGGCGCCUCCCACCAACUUAGGGGGCAAGCUCCCCCCUUUGACCGCCGCCCCCACCCUAGAUGAGAUCUAAGGGGGCCGGACCCCUAUCCCUUCCCCCUAUAAAUAGUGGGGGGUGAGAGGGCUGCCAUACCCUUCCCCUGGCAUAGCCCUCCCCCUCUCCAACUCCACCUCCUCCUCCAUAGUGCUUGGCGAAGCCCUACCGGAGAACUGCAAGCUCCACCACCACGCCGUCGUGCUGCCGGAGCUCUCCCUCAACUUCUCCUCUCCCCUUGCUGGAUCAAGAAGGGGGAGAUGUCCCCAGGAUGUACGUGUGUUGAACGCAGAGGCACCGUCCAUUCGGCGUUAGAUCGGAUCUUCCACAAUUUGAAUCGACGCGAGUACGACUCCCUCAUCCGCGUCCUAGUGACGCUUCCGCUUAGCGAUCUUCAAAGGUAUGAAGAUGCUCAUCCUCUCCCUCUCUUGUUGCUAGAAUCUCCAUAGAUUGAUCUUGGUGAUUCAUAGAAAAUUUUGAAUUUCUACUACGUUCCCCAUCAAUACGUUACUUCGUGUGUUGCACAUCUAAGUCGUCAACAUGCAUAAGCGUUAGGAUGUGUGUCCAUUCACAAUACAUUCGAGGAUUCUGAGAUAUUUAGCUCACACCGCAACUUGCAAAACCUUUUCUCAUCCAAGGGCUUAGUGAAUAUAUCUGCCAAUUGCUCUUCAGUGUUGACGUGAAUGAUAUCAAUGUCUUGUUGACAUGAUCUCUGAGAAAGUGAUGAAGGAUCUGAAUGUGCUUUGUCUUCGUGUGUUGAACUGGAUUCUUGGAAAGCUUGAUGGCACUUUCAUUGUCACAGAAGAGUGGCACAUUCUUCAUGUUGAUGCCAUAGUCCUUGAGAGUUUGCUUCAUCCAUAGAAGCUGAGCACAGCAUGAUCCAGCAGCAAUGUAUUCAGAUUCAGCAGUGGAGAGUUACACACGGUUCUACUUCUUUGAAGACCAACAGACAAGUGAUCGACCGAGAAAGUGACAUGUUCCUGAGGUGGACUUGUGAUCAACCUUGUCACCAGCAUAAUCAACAUCAGAAUACCCAAUCAGAUCAAAUGUUGAGCCCUUUGGAUACCAUAAUCCUAUCGUUGGGGUGUAAGCCAAAUAUCGAAGUAUUCGCUUCACCGCUAGGUGAUGCGACUCCUUUGGUGCCGCAUGGAAUUGGGCACACAUGCAAACGCUAAGCAUUAUAUAUGGCCUAGAUGCACAUAAGUAAAGUAAGGAACCAAUCAUGGAACGAUAUACCUUUUGAUCGAACUCUUUACCAUUGUCGUUAGGACCCAGAUGACUUUUAGUUGGCAUUGGCGUCAUGUAUCCUUUGCAAUCUUGAAUUCCAAACUUCUUUAGGCAAUCCUUGAGGUAUUUCUCAUGGGAUAUGAAGAUGCCAUUCCUUUGCCGACUGAUUUGAAGACCAAGGAAGAACUUCAGCUCACCCAUCAUGGACAUGUGAUAUUGCUCUUGCAUCAUGUGUCCAAACUCAUCACUAUAUCUCUUGUCGGUGCAGCCGAAGAUAAUGUCAUCCACAUAGAUUUGGCACACAAACAGUUCACCGUCGUAUGACUUCAUGAAGAGAGUUGGAUCUAGAGAACCAUGUUUGAAGCCUUUGCUCUUCAGGAAGUCUUUGAGCGUGUCAUACCAAGCACGAGGAGCUUGUUUGAGGCCAUACAGUGCCUUGUUGAGCUUGUAUACCAUAUCAGGAUGUUUUGGAUCUUCAAAGCCAGGUGGUUGUGCAACAUACACUUCUUUUUCAAUCUUGCCAUUGAGAAAGGCACUCUUCACAUCCAUUUGGUACAGGAGGAUGUUGUGAUGGUUGGCAUAUGCUAGCAGUAUGCGAAUGGCUUCAAUUCUUGCCACGGGAGCAAAUGUUUCAUCGAAGUCAAUCCCUUAUAUUUGAGUGUAACCUUGAGCAACUAGACGAGCCUUGUUUCUGACAACUUGAACAUGUUCAUCUUGUUUGUUGCGAUAGAUCCAUUUGGUGCCAAUGAUAUUAUGCUUGCGAGGAUCAGUACACUUGACCAGUUCCCAGACAUUAUUCAACUCGAACUGAUGAAGCUCUUCUUGCAUAGCUUGAAUCCAUUCAGGUUCCAUAAAGGCUUCAGCAACUUUCUUGGGUUCUGACAUCGAGACAAAUGCAAAGUACCCACAGAAAUUUGCUAGUUGUGUUGCUCUUGAAUGAGUGAGUGGAGCAGGUGCAUUGAUGUUGUCAAUUAUCUUCUCAAUCUGUACUUCAUUUGCAACACGGGGAUGUAUUGGACGAAGAUUUUGCCCUUGUAGAUCAUUGUCUUCAGCUUCAGCAUUGACUUCAGGCUGAGCAGUGUCUUCAGGUUGACUUGGUGUAAUGAUGAGUUCAUCUUUAGCCUGAGCUUCAGACGGUAUGAUUUCUCCAGUACACAUGAGCUUGAUAGAUUCACUAGGAGGAACUUUAUCUAGCACAUUUGGCAGGUGCUCUCUUUGCGAGCCAUUAGUCUCAUCAAACCGCACAUCCACAGUUUCAACCACUUUAUAGUGAAAGAGGUUGAAGACUCUGUAGGAGUGCGAAUCCUUUCCGUAUCCAAGCAUAAAACAUUCAUGUGCUUUCGGUGCAAAUUUUGAAGUGUGAUGUGGAUCCUUGAUCCAGCACCUAGCACCAAAUACUCUAAAGUAACUGACAUUUGGCUUCUUACCAGUUAGAAACUCAUAUGGUGUCUUCUUUAGAAGCUUGUGAAGAUAAACUCGGUUGAUGACGUGGCAUGCAGUGUCAAUGGCUUUAGGCCAGAACUUCCUUGGAGUCUUGUACUCAUCAAGCAUCGUCCGAGCCAUCUCGAUGAGAGUUAUGUUCUUGCGCUCAACGAUACCAUUCUUCCGAGGUGUGUAGGGAGCAGAAAACUCAUGAGUGAUGCCGAGUGUAUCAAGAUAGGUGUUGAGGCUGGUGUUCUUGAAUUUUGUGCUGUUGUCACUUCUGAUGUGCUUGAUCUUGACGCCAUAGUUCGUCAUGGCACGAUUAGCGAAGCGUUUGAAGACAUCCUUCACUUCAGUCUUGUAGAGAAUUAUAUGCACCCAGGUAUAUCUUGAGUAAUCAUCAACAAUAACGAAACCAUAGAGACAAGCAGUGGUAGCAAGAGUAGAGUAGUGAGUAGGGCCGAAUAAGUCCAUGUGAAGCAGCUCGAAAGGUUGAGAUGUCGUCAUGAUUGUCUUCGAGGGAUGCUUGGCCCUAGUCAUCUUCCCAGCUUCACAGGCACCACAUAGAUGGUCUUUCUUGAACUUGAUGCCUUCGAUGCCCACGACAUGCUUCUUCUUUGCGAGAGUGUACAAGUUCCUCAUGCCCGCAUGUCCUAGCCUCUAAUGCCAGAGCCAACACUCUAAAGCUUUUGCUAGAAGACAUAUGGCAAGUUGUGGUCCUGUUGAGAAAUCUACCAUAUACAGAUCAUCUUUUCAAUACCCUUCAAAGACUAGAGAUUUGUCAGAUUCCAUAAGGACAAGGCAACGAUAUUUUCCAAAUAUCACAAUCAUGUUCAAAUCGCAUAGCAUUGAUACAGACAUUAAGUUGAAACCAAGGGAUUCAACAAGCAUCACUUUAUCCAUGUGCUGGUCCUUUGAGAUUGCAACUCCACCAAGACCCAAUACCUUACUUUCACAAGUGUCAGCAAAUGUGAUAUGACUUUUAUCAGACGACCAAAGAGAUGAAUCCAUCAGAACACUUCGAUCACCAGUCAUGUGGUUGGUGCAGCCACUAUCCAUAAUCCAUUCUGAAGCUUGAGGUGUCAUAGCCUACAAUACAGUUUGGGGAUAGGCUUCACCAAGAGAGUUGGGAAGCAGAAACAUUUGACGAACAAGUGGAACAUAGAAGUUCAGACCUUGGUUAGGAUAGAUAGGAUGAGUGUCAAGGAAUCCUGGGACGAAAUACAUAGUCAGACCAUUUGGACAUUUUAUCUUGCGUCCCACAAGAUGUUUAAGGUCCCCAGCAUAAGCAUCAGACGCCUUUGAUUUCCGGCUGGAGACCUUUCCCUGCAAAAGAGAGUUAAGUUUUCUUAACCACCCACAUCUUCAGGGGUGGCUUAGAAGCAAUGAGUCUAAGUGCAGCAUCUGAAAACUUUGGCUUUGAAGCCCUAGUAAAUAGCCUUGCAAGAGGAGAAUGAUACUCAUAGGAAUAAGCAGAAAAGUUCUUAGACUUAUUAACAUAGCGGUUUGAUUGAACACACUCAUAUUCAAAGGUCUAAGUAUGAUUUGCCUGCAAAAGAUUGGCGUUAGGGUGACUCGGGUGAGUCCUCUAUCUGUAUGAAGCCUUUGGACCAUAUGAAGCCUUUGGUCUAGGGUUUGUCUUCUUCCCAGAUGGUGUCGUAACGACAUUCACAGAAGACUUUCAAGACAACUUUUGGGUACCCAAAUCUUCUUAAGAGGUGGUCCAUUCCUGUAGUUAGUACCAAUAUACCUGGCAAACACUUUAGCAUUCUAAUUCCUGAACAGUUUAUAGUUUGCAUCAAAGGAUUCAUGAAUGAUAAUUGGGUUAGCACUAGUGAAGCCAGAUAAGGUAGAUGGAUCCACUGAGGGUCCCUUAGAAGCAACCCAUGUGGUUUUGGGGUACUGCUCAGGCAUCCAGUAAGAACCAUCAACAUUCAUUUUCCUCUCGAACCCAACACCCUCUUUCCUAGGGUUUCAGUUCAGAAUCUGCUUUUUAAGGACAUCACAUAGUGUAUGAUGCCCUUUGAGACUUUUGUACAUUCCUGUCUCAAGUAAUGACUUCAACCUGGCAUUCUCAUCAGCAAUAGUAGUGGUAUCCUCAGCUGAGGGGUUAGUUACCACAUUAGCAGUUGAAGAUAUUGCAACAGUAGCAGCAGUUGAACAUUCAGCAACAGAGACAACAUUAUCAUGCUCAAUACAUUUUAGACAUGGUAGUUCAAAUCCUUCCUGAGCGGAACUGACCUGUUGAGCACGGAGUGACUCGUUUUCCUUUUGAAGAUCUUCAUGAGCCGAUCUCAAUUUCUCAAGUUCCUGCUUCCUUUGAAGAUAAUCAUAGGAAAGCUUUUCAUGAGAGGUUGAGAGUGAUUCAUGACGACUUUCAAGUUCCUCAUACUUAACAUGAAGAUUUUUAAUGUCUUCAAUUAAGGACUGAGAUCGGGUCAUUUCUGCGUCCAAGAGGUCAUCGCUUUUGUCUAACAAUUUUUGAAUAUGUUCCAUGGCAUUCUAUUGUUCAGUUGCAAUUUUAGCAAGUGUUUUGUAGCUAGGUUUAGAUUCACAUUCAGAGUCAUCUUCACUUGAUGUUUGAAAGUAAGCAUUGCGUGAGUUUACCUUGGCACCAGGUGCCAUGAAGAAAAAGGGGCAAAUAAACUUAAUAGCAAGCUUACUUAAGAGUCAAACACAUGUGGCAGCUUAGCUUGGGCUACAAGCCAAGCUGACUUAUCCAGCUCUGGAUAAGAUUUCCUCUCAUUGUCUUCGCUCGAAGACAUAGUAUUUGGUUGAGCAUCACAUCAGUCACUCUGACUUUGUUCACAUGGACCCCACUUAACAGUACGGUGGUUCCUGUGAAUCAACAAAGAAGAAAAAUGAAACUACGAAACAACUAUGUCUUCGCACUCCAUAGUCUUCACGUGAUGUCUUCUCAUGUCAUAGUCUUCAAUGUGAAUGUCUUCACAGACCACCAUUGUCUUCAAUGUCUUCACACAUUUUUAGGGGUCAUCUCUGGUAGGUAAACCGAAUCAAUAUGGCACUACUACCUGUGUUAUCCUGCAAUUCUCACAAACACAUUAGUCCCUCAACCAAGUUUGUCGUCAAUACUCCAAAACAAACUAGGGGUGGCACUAAAUGCACUUACAAUUACUUUGUAAUCUAGAUUAUUGACUCUAGUGCAAGUGGGAGACUGAAGGAAAUAUGCCCUAGAGGCAAUAAUAAAGUUGUUAUUUAUAUUUCCUUAUAUCAUGAUAAAUUUUUAUUAUUCAUGCUAGAAUUGUAUUAACCGGAAACUUAGUACAUGUGUGAAUACAUAGACAAAACAUAGUGUCCCUAGUAUGCCUCUACUUGACUAGCUCGUUAAUCAAAGAUGGUUAUGUUUCCCAACCAUAGACAUGUGUUAUCAUUUGAUGAAUGGGAUCACAUCAUUAGAGAAUGAUGUGAUGGACAAGACCCAUCCGUUAGCUUAGCAUUAUGAUCGUUGCAGUUCCAUUGCUACUGCUUUCUUCAUGACUUAUACAUGUUCCUCGGACUAUGAGAUUAUGCAACUCCCGAAUACCGGAGGAACACCUUGUGUGCUAUCAAACGUCACAACAUAACUAGGUGAUUAUAAAGAUGCUCUAUAGGUGUCUCCAAAGGUGCUUGUUGGGUUGGCAUAGAUCGAGAUUAGGAUUUGCCACUCUGUAUUUCGAAGAGGUAUCUCUGGGCCCUCUUGGUAAUGCUCAUCACUAUAAGCCUUGCAAGUAAUGUGACUAAUGAGUUAGUUGCGGGAUGAAGCAUUAUGGAACGAGUAAAGAGACUUUCUGGUAACGAGAUUGAACUAGGUAUGAUGAUACCGACGAUUGAAUCUCGGGCAAGUAACAUACUGAUGACAAAGGGAACAACGUAUGUUGUUGUGCAGUUUGACCGAUAAAGAUCUUUGCAGAAUAUGUAGGAGCCAAUGAGCAUCCAGGUUCUGCUAUUGGUUAUUGAUAGGAGAUGUGUCUCGAUCAUGUCUACAUAGUUCUCGAACACGUAGGGUCCGCACGCUUAACAAUUGAUGACGAUUUGUAUUAAGAGUUAUGUGUUUUUGAUGACCAUAGUUUGUUCGAAGUCCCGGAUGAGAUCACAGACUUGACGAGGAGUCUCGAAAUGGUCGAGACAUAAAGAUUGACAUAUUGGAAGGUUAUGUUCGGACACUGAAAAGGUUUCAGAAGGGUUCAGAUAUUUUUCUGAAUACCCGGAGGUUACUGGAACCCCCCGGAGGAUUAAUGGGCCUUCAUGGGCCUUAGUGGAAGAGAGGAGGCGCUAGCCAGGUGGAGGCGCGUGCCCCCCUAGCCCAAACCGAAUUGUACUAGGGAUGGGGGGCGCCCCCCCCCCUUUCCUCCUUCUCCUCCACCUCUUUCUCUCUCUCUCCCUCUCUUGGAAAAGGAAGGGGACUCCUACUAGGAUUGGGAAUCCUAGUUGGACUCCCCCUAUGGCGCGCCCCUCCUAGGCCGCCAGCCUCCUCCCUCCCUCCUUUAUAUACAGGGGCAGGGGGCACCCCAAAGCAUAAUAGACAAUCUCUUAGCCGUGUGCGGUGCCCCCUCCAUAGUUUAACACCUCAAUCAUAUCGUCGUAGUGCUUAGGCGAAGCCCUGCGCCGGUAGCAUCAUCAACACUGUCGCCACGCCGUCGUGCUGACGGAACUCUCCCUCGUCCUCAACUGGAUCAAGAGCUCGAGAGACGUCAUCGUGCUGAACAUGUGCUGAACACGGAGGUGUCGUACGUUCUGUACUUGGAUCAGUUGGAUCGUGAAGACGUUCGACUACGUCAACCACGUUACUAAACGCUUCCGCUUUUGGUCUACGAGGGUACAUGAACACACUCUCCCAUCUUGUUUCUAUGCAUCUCUGUCGGAUAUCGGGUUCCGGCAAAACCCUUAAGGUUCAAACUCCGGGGUGCGCACGAAGAUCUUACCCCUACCGACCCACGUCCGAAUGCCUCGCUGAGAAUCUAAGCUAAACAAUGAACAACACGAGGGACACAAGAUUUAUACUGGUUCGGGCCACCGUUGUGGUGUAAUACCCUACUCCAGUGUGUUGUGUGGUGGAUUGCCUCAGGGGCUGAUGAUGAACAGUACAAGGGAAGAACAACCUCGUGAGAGGUGUUCUUCGGUGGUGGUUUGCUUCAGAAGGAUUCGAUCCGCUCUCGAUGAGAUGCCUCUCUACUGUGGUGGCUAGCCCUAUUUAUAGAGGCCCUGGUGCCGGAAGGGCGCCAACAACGGCCAUUUUGAAGGGGAACAUCUAGUACAAGUUAUCCUGACUAAAGGUGGUCUUCGACUGCUAAAGUACUGGCGAUGACGCCGUCUUGGGCUCCACAGUGACCUCUGUCCUGCCGCUCUGCUGGUCCUGGUCUCGUUGCACCGAAAUGGUAACCUUUGCUUGAUGCCUUGGUACUCCGCGACUGUGCUUGGCCCCUUUGCACCAAAGAGGAAACAAGGGCACUGUGCAGGCCGGCGCCCGCUUGGCCUCAAUUGUCAUGGCUUGCAUCACGAGCACCUCACGAGGUACCCUUGUCUUGAUCUCUCCGCCUCCUCACGAGCCUGCCUGGUGAGGCCGCUCCUGAGGAAGCCUUGCGUCGUCCGCCCCGCGAGGCUUGGCCCCUCGCGAGGGUCUUGAGCUUGAGUUGAUGAAGAUGGGCCGUACUGGGCCACCACUUGAGCCACGCCGCAGGCCGUAGGCAGGCAAGUCUGGGGACCCCCGUUCCUAGAACGCCGACAGUAGCCCCCGGGCCCAAGGCGCGCUCGGACUUGGCUUAGCAGAGAAGCGAAGGGGCAAGUGCGGAGCGCCGCAGGCCCCAAUAGCCUGCGGCCUUGGGUGUCGCGUGGUGGUUGAUUGGACGUGGGCGUCUCCGCUUCCCCACGCUCCCCCAUUAUGCACCUAGCUAGGCGGCCACGAGACUGUACACGGUUAUUCCCUCCUUGCUGUCCGCGCGCUUCCUGUUCCCCUUUCUUCCCCGAGCCUCUGUCUCUGCCUCCAAUCCAUCUUGAGCUCUGCCUCCUUCCCAUCACCAUGGCGCCAACAAAAAGGGAAAAGGGGAAGAAGCCUGCGCCUCCGGCCAGCUUGCCUCCGGCAGCCACGCCACAAUCUGGAGGCCUUGGACAAGGUACGCUCCGCCCUCGCUUCCAGCUUCAAUGAGUGCAGAAGGACAACGGCCUGGCCUGCAUCCCAUGCCUCCUUUGAUAGGGUCGUCACGCAGGUCUGAUUUUUCGCCUGUCGGUGUGAAAACCGGUGGAUCUCGGGUAGGGGGUCCCAAACUAUGCGUCUAAGGCUAAUGGUAACAGGAGGCAGGGGACGCGAUGUUUUACCCAGGUUCGGGCCCUCUCGAUGGAGGUAAUACCCUACUUCCUGCUUGAUUGAUCUUGAUGAUAUGAGUAUUACAAGAGUUGAUCUACCACGAGAUCGUAGAGGCUAAACCCUAGAAGCUAGCCUAUGAUUAUGAUUGUUCUUCUACGGACUAAACCCUCCGGUUUAUAUAGACACCAGAGGGGGCUAGGGUUACACAGAGUCGGUUACAGAGAAGGAAAUCUACAUAUUUGAAUAUCCAAGCUUGCCUUACACGCAAAGGAGAGUCCCAUCCGGACACAGGACGAAGUCUUCAAUCUUGUAUCUUCAUAGUCCAACAGUCCGGCCAAAGUAUAUAGUCCGGCUGUCCGAGGACCCCUUAAUCCAGGACUCCCUCAGUAGCCCCUGAACAAGCCUUCAAUGAUGAUGAGUCUGGCGUGCAUAUUGUCUUCGGCAUUGCAAGGCGGGUUCCUUCUCCGAAUACUUCAUAGAAGAUUUAGAACACAAGGAUCGUGUCCGGCUCUGCAAAACAAAUUCCACAUUCCACCGUAGAGAGUAUAAUAUUCCACAAAUCCAAUCUACUGACAGCUUUUUAUAGCAUGAUAUCACGCCACGGUCCGGUCAUUAUCCGAACUGUUCUUCACAACCAGCCACUGCACGUAAUGCGAGGUGAUUUCCUUGACACGUCUUGUCGAAGCAGAGAUCGUGUCGCCUUAUCACGGUAUUCUCAUCCAUACGGGUAUGGGUAACCCAACCACGCCAUCAAUCAUGGCGCUUGGAAAAUAAGCGAUCUUAACGGGAGGCGCCCAGUUUUUACCGCCUUUAUAAAGAGAUAAGAAUUCUCAUCUUUCACCCACGCCCCUUCCUUCUUCGCUCAUCCAUUCUCGCACACUCGAGCUCCAGCACCCAAGAUCUCACCUUCUCCGCACAGCCAAACAUGUCCGGAGCGGGAGGCAAGUGGGUGCCCUCCUCCGUCAAGGAGGAGGACAUUACGAAGCUCCAGGCGGCCGGAUAUUUGGCCGCAGAUAUUGCGCACCGGCUCCCGGACGCAGGGCAGAUUGUUCCGACUCCAGGAACCCAUGAGAGGGUCGUGUUCCUCACCCACUUCAUCCGCGGACUGGAAUUCCCCCUUCACCCGUUUGUCCGCGACCUCUUGUUCUAUUAUGGGCUGGAUUUUCAUGAUCUGGCCCCUAACUUCAUCCUCAACAUCUCGGCGUUCAUCAUCGUGUGCGAGGCUUUUCUCCCCAUCAGGCCCCACUUCGGCCUGUGGCUAAAGAUCUUCAACGUGAAGCCGAAGAUAGUGGUCGGCCAGCAAGCGGAGUGUGGUGGCGCCAUGGUGGCCAAGAUGCCCAACGUCACCUGGCUCGAGGUCUCCUUUGCGGAGACCGUGAAGGGGUGGCAAUCGGGGUGGUUCUACAUCACCAAGCAGCGCGACGCCAACUGGGUGGCGGCCCCCGAAUUCCGAUCCGGCAUUCCUGUGCGGCUUACUUUCUGGAAGAGGAAAGGCCUAGCCUGGGGCGCAUCCGCAGAGCUGACCGGACUCCAGAACUGCGUCAAGAAUAUGAUAACCAAGAAUAUCAAGCUUGUCAACAUGGUCCAGGUCAUGCUAUUUCGCCAGAUUCUCCCGUGUCAAAGACGGGCAUUCAAUCUGUGGGAGUUCGACGCGGCCCAAUACCAAACACUGCAAGAGCUCUUUGACACGACGCACAAAGACGUCUGGAAGGUGUUGUUCAAGUCCAGCGAAGUCCCUCCUCCCACUUCCGAGGACCGCAGACUCAGCGCCAGGCGCCACGCCAAUGCGGUAAGCAUUAUACAUUUUGCAAGAUGUGCCUUUCCUCAGCAUAUUCGUGGGAGGAACUUAAGCCAUCGCACCGAUCUAACAGGAAUACAUGGAGAGGGCGAAGCGGAUCGACUAUCCGGCUUCGUUGCUUGAAGAUCCAGCAACCGCUCUCCUGACGGAGAUGCUAGUUCCGACUCCUUAUGAGGUGCUAGAGAAGAAGGCCAAGAAGAAGGCCGUGGGGACCAGAAAAAGUCUCCGGCGCAAUGUGGUGCCGGACUCGUCGUCUGAAGACACCAAGGCGCACUCCUCCAACGACAACGAGGAGGAGGAAGAAGAAAACUCUCUCCCCCAAAACGAGGGGGAGAAUAAAAGGAAGGCCGCCCCUUCCGGGGAGGCCGAAGGGUCCAAGAGGGGAAGGACUCUCCCUCCGGACCACUCUACAACCGCCGCCUACAGCGAGGAGGAGUGGCUACCCAGGGCCAAGCCCCUGGCGAAGUUGUAAGUAUCUGGAUGCCAUAACACCCUUUGCAUGUUUUUAUCUUUACUCACUAUGUCUAGACUUGUUUGUGCAGUCCGCCCAAAGCCCACAUCGACUUGCCCUCCUCGGAUGCGUCCUUGAGUUCAUCGGAGAUGAAUAGGUAUUCGCUCCCGACGGCUUCUACCCCCCGGCCUGUGGAUGACACCGAGGUGUUAUCUCAAAGGAUGGCGGGCCAGGAGGAGGUAGUCCUAGAGACAUCUCAAGGCGAGACUCCUGAUGCUGGGCUCAUGGGGAAGAUCCCCAUGGAUUCAGACGAAGGGGGGGCGCAGUAAGCUUGGCCCCCAGCCGGAUACUGCGUCGGAACCUCUAGUGGUUCCGGAUUGAGGCAGGCAGCCGCCCAUCAAGGGGGGUGAGCCAUCUGUGCCGAUGACCUCUGCUCAUCCAGAGGCGUCAGAUAACUUGGUGGAAGCGCUUCAGAGCGCUUCCCUUAAUGAAGGACACCAUACUCUUAUGAGUACGGUAAUUGUGAAGGUCCAAUCCGCGAAAAGUGGAUUGACCGAAGCCUGCGCCAGCAUCCUGACAGGCUUUGAGGUAAGUAUUUUAAGUUAUAAGAAAGUAUCACAGUACAUACAGUAGCCCCUGAUGCUCUGUUUGGUGUUCGGGAAGAAAAGCCGAACAGAGGAUCAAAUAUGUUUUCCCAGGAGUCUAAUCAUACUAUGUCUUUGUGAAUAAGUAGGCGUCACUGCUGGCCACCGCCGCUGCCACUGCGGAGGUCGUCAGACUGAGGCAAAGCCUUGGGCAGGCUGAAGAAGAGCUUGGCCUCGUGAGGAGGCGGCUCAAGGAGAACAAAGUAAGUAAUACCCCGUCUGAGAAUUUUAUUCAAAGGAAAACAUCGUUGAUGCUAAUAGAAGCAUGAUGGAUUUUACUAGGGGCCGCGACCGAAGUGGCAUCCCUCAAGAUGGCACUGUCUGAGGCCGAAAGCAAAGCGGCCAAGGAGCGCACCGAGCGUGAAAAACAAGCGCCGUGAGUUGAUGAGGUCCAGCAAGAGCUUCAGGACUUCAUCAAAAAGUUUGAGUCCUUGGAGCGUGACUCCAAGACACAAGAGUCGGAGAUUGCGAGGGCCCGUCAGAGCGCACUAGACGCUAAGGCCGAAGCCCAGAAGGCCCUCCAGGAAAUUGAGGCGGCCAAGAAGAUAGCUGCGGGUAAGGCUUUCAUUAUGCAAAGCAAGCAUGUGGAGGAGACUUUCCUUUUACUUACCCAAAUUCGGAGCUCUCCAGGAGCAUUCGCAGAUCUACCGCGCAGCAUCUCUGAUGCCGCAGAGUUCUACCGGGCCGAGGAGGGAAGCUCGAUAGAGAAGCUGUUUUGGUCCCAGUAUAUUGGGGCCGAACACCAAAUGUCCUUGAUCGACAAGCUAAAGCAAUUGGUCGAACUCCACAAGGCGGCCGAACUGGCCAUGAAGGACUUCAUAGUCCGGCUGUGGCCCGGCGAGCCCCUACCCAGCAGUUACUUCGGCUUUAUCAAGCGGAUGGUGAAUGUCUGUCCACGGCUUGAAGUCGUCAAGCGGUCCAUCUGUAUUGAGGGUGCACACAGGGCUUUGGCCCAUGCGAAGGUGCACUGGGGGAAGAUGGACACCGAGAAGCUGGUGAUGGAGGGGCCGCCGAAGGGCAAGGAACAUCGCCACCCCGAACAGUACUAUGACAAUGUCAUUAAGGGUGCCCGCCUUGUGGCGGAUGAAUGUACGAAGGAUGUGAUAUUUGAAUGAAUGUAAUCAUGUCAUCCUGUAUUAUGAAAACCAGUUCAUGUGCGCUAUGUAGCGCUUGUUAAUUUAAAAUAUUGCCUUCUGUGCGGUCAUUGUAAAAAUUCUUGAGAGUUGGCCAGUCGUCGGCUUCCGCCCCCAUGUAACUAGUACUAGGGUGUUCGGGAUAAGUAUAAACACUCUUUAUCCAAGUUUUUGGUCCUUUUAAGGAGGUGUUUAGCGCCACAAACAAGGCAAUUGGACUAUACGGCUUUAUCGCCCUCACUUAGCCAUAGAAGUCUAUAAUUUUAAAUUUUGGCGAAGCCCCUAGUAUCCGGAAGGCCGGACUUGGGGCGCUAUGCACGCCUAAAUCGGACAAGGCCGAUUCCUCGCCUGACGCGGAAAAAAUCUUUAGGGAUUUGAGACCUCUCAAACAGCGACCAGCUCUCGCCUUAUCAUGACAGUCAGUUUUUGGCUUUCUCUACUGAGGUGCUCAUCUGGAAGAACCGGGACACAAUCGCAGUAGUUCUCCCUACGCUACCUUAGCCGAUAUAGUGGAACGUAAGGUACCAAAACAUAGGAGCCGGGCAAACCCAACUAUUGACCCAAGACAUGAUUCGAAGCUGAUGCAUAUAGUGCUAUAAGUACGGGGUGCCGCACUGUCGAAAGUGUUCAGACUUGUCUUGCCAGGUUAUGGGGUACUAAAGCCCCUUGGCAGACUGGUCAUGCCAAAAUGCACGGGUAAAAUAAAUAAGCAGUAAAGAAAAAGGGGCAAAUAAACUUAAUAGCAAGCUUACGUUGUAUACUAUUUUCCCUUUAAAAUGAUACAUCAAAGCGUACAUAUACAAGUAGUGCGAUAAGCAGAAUAGGGAUGUUUGACACAUCCUAACUAGGAGCAGGCGGUAUUCGGUUAUGUAAAAUAGGUAUAACGAUUGUUAUCAGAGACCACCUGAGGAUUCCCUCGCACGCCAAAGCUUCUUGUCCUCAUGGUGUGUCCGUCCCACUAUGUGUCCGAUGGCCGGUCUUUCGGAAGAGCCUCCUGAAGGUAGGGACCUGAAAGAAGAAAGGGGUGCAAAAAUGCGCGUGUCCUGGGGCGAUCAAACCGCAUUAUGGACCGUGUCAUGGUCGUGCCUCCGCCUAUGCCCAUGGUAUUUUAAGUGCGUAGUUAUGUAUGCGUGGCACGAAUGUAGCUGCUUGGUUGGGACUAGGGCGGAGGCCGAAUUGCUAGUUGAGCUCUGGUCAUGCCGGACGAUCCUGUAGUGGAGUACUCCGGACUCGCUUGGCGGUAUCCGGGUUCUUUAUCGCCGAGUUGGUUGUUUGCCUAAGAAGGUUGUUUUGUACUUCCACCACGAGGGCCGCAGUGUGCUCCUCCGUACGAAGCGAGCGCUUUGUGUUUCCAAUAACUGUAAUAACCCCGCGAGGUCCCGGCAUUUUGAGCUUGAGAUAUGCGUAAUGCGGUACCGCAUUGAAUUUGGCAAAUGUGGUUCGUCCGAACAGUGCAUGAUAGCCGCUGCGGAAGGGGACGAUGUCGAAGAUUAGCUCCUCGCUCCAGAAAUUGUCUGGAGAUCCGAAGAACACUUCUAGUGUGAUUGAGCCCGUGCAAUAGGCCUCUACACCGGGUAUGAUAACCUUGAAGGUGGUUUUUGUGGGCUUGAUCCUUGAGGGGUCAAUGCCCAUUUUGCGUAUUGUGUCCUGAUAGAGCAGAUUCAGGCUGCAGCCGCCGUCCAUGAGGACUCGUGUGAGAUGGAAUCCGUCGAUGAUGGGGUCAAGGACCAAUGCGGUCGAACCGCCAUGACGGAUACUGGUAGGAUGGUCCCUGCGAUCGAAAGUGAUCGUACAAGAGGACCAUGGGUUAAAUUUUGGGGCGACUGGCUCCAUCGCGUAGAUGUCCCUUAGUGCACGCUUCCAUUCCCGCUUGGGGAUAUGGGUUGCGUAUAUCAUAUUCACUAUUUUCACCUAGGGAGGGAAUUUCUUCUGUCCUCCCGUGUUCGGUGGUCGGGGCUCUUCGUCGUUGUCGCUAUGCAGCCCCUUUUCCUUGUUUUCGGCAUUCAACUUGCCGGCCUGUUUAAACACACAGCAUUCCCUGUUAGUGUGGUUGGCUAGUUUAUCCGGGGUGCCAUGAAUUUGACAUGAGCGAUCGAGCAUGCAGUCCAAAAUGGACGGGCCUGGACCGUUUCUCUUGAAUGGCUUUUUCCACUGUCCGGAUUUAAAGCCUCUGAAUCCGGCAUUGACUGUCGUGUCUUCGGCGUUGUCGCCAUUAUUGCGACGUUUGUGUCUAUUCCGUCGUGGCUUGCCGUUACUAUCCCUGGCGUCUAAAUCGCCUAAGUUUUUGGGUGUGACGUUGCUGCGAGCCAGCCAGCUGUCUUCGCCUAUGCAGAAGCGGGUCAUGAGUGUCGUGAGGGCUGCCAUGGACUUUGGCUUCUCUUGGCCGAGAUGUCGGGCGAGCCAUUCAUCUUGGAUGUUAUGCUUGAAGGCCGCUAAGGCUUCAGCAUCCGGACAGUCGACAAUUUGGUUCUUUUUGGUUAGGAACCGAGUCCAUAAUUUCCUGGUUGACUCUCCGGGCUGCUGGGUUAUGUGACUUAAGUCAUCAGCAUCCGAUGGUCGCACGUAAGUGCCCUAGAAGUUAUCGAGGAAUGCGUCUUCCAGAUCCUCCCAACUGCCAAUGGAGCUUGCUGGCAGGCUAUUAAGCCAAUGCCUAGCCGGUCCUUUGAGCUUAAGUGGUAGGUACUUUAUGGCAUGUAAGUCAUCGCCACGGGCCAUGUGGAUGUGGAGAAGAAAGUCUUCGAUCCAUACCACGGGGACUGUUGUGCCAUCGUAUGAUUCAAUAUUUACGGGUUUAAACCCUUUUGGGAAUUCGUGAUCCAUAACUUCAUCAGUGAAGCAUAGGGGGUGUGCGGCGCCUCUAUGCCGGGCUACAUCCCGACGUAGUUCGAAUGAGUCUGCUCUAUUGUAUUCGGCUCGGCCGGACUUUUGUUUAUUGUAUCCGGCGUGACGGUCAUCAUCACGUCUUGUGGAGCGCCCCUGUGAUCCGUAGAUUGAUCUUGAUUGUCCUGCUUUGUUUUCCAAUACUUCUCACAGGUCCUUCGUGUAGCCCCGGGCCUUAGUAUUAUCAUUUGAUUGGAGACGAGGUGCGGUCUGGACGUCGGGCUGGUAAGCCGCUUUGUCGCGGCCACGGGGUGGCCGGUCAGCCGCAUCAUGAGCUGGUAGCGUGGGCUUUAAGGCCUCCUCCUCGAGUUGAGGUAGCAGCCUAUGCUUUGGGUAGCUUUUGCUAGGGCGCUCGAGUCCGUAUUCCUCGGUAGCCAGGACCUCGGUCCAUCUGUCCGUUAGCAGAUCCUGAUCAGUUUCAAGCUGUUGCUUUUUUUUUCUUUAGGCUUUUUGCAGUGGCUAUAAGCCGGCAUUUGAAGCGCUCCUGCUCAACGGGGUCCUCAGGCACGAUGAAUUCUUCAUCCCCAAGGCUCACCUCGUCUUCGGAGAGAGGCAUGUAGUUAUCUUCCUCUGAUUCUCCAUCCUUUGCCUGUUCUUUAGGGCUAGCUUGCCCCUCCUCUUGCUCGGCUUGCUCGAAGCCUGGCUGGGCAGGAUUGUAUUCAUCUUCGGCACCAUCUGGAUUGUUAUCCCUUAUGCCGGUAUCACUAUUUUUGCUAUGGCGGGGCUUGGAGCGGCGCCGAUGACGCCGUUGUCUAGAUUGCUUCCCCAUGGGGUUAUCUUCCGCUGCCUCAUCGCCGUUGUUUUCUUUAGGGGUAUCCACCAUAUAAAUAUCAUAUGAGGAGGUGGUGGUCCAGCGCCCUAUAGGCGGUGGUUCUUGUUCUUCUCCUGCAUCGUCGUCCAUACUGUCGAUGUCUUCGGAGUCGAAGUCAAGCACGUCAGUUAAGUCAUCGACAGUGGCUACAAAGUGGGUGGUGGGUGGGGGACGAAUUUCUUCGUCGUUCGCUCCCCACUCGAGCCAGGCAUAGUUCGGCCAAGAGUCUCCUGACAAGGACAGAGACCUUAAUGAGUUCAGCACAUCACCCAAGGGUGAGUAGUGAAAAAUAUCCGCAGCGGUGAACUCCAUGACGGGUGCCCAAUCUUAUUCGAUAGGCACGGACGCACGCGGUUCGGAUCCUACAACUGGGGAAGAGUCUGGGGGUCUGACGACACCACUCUCAUAGGAGGUGGGAUCAGCGUUCGGCUCUAAUGCCGAUGAGUGUGCGGCCUCCGUGGCAGGGUCCAUCCACCCGUCCUCGGAAGGCACGAUCUGCUCCGGAUUGAUUCCCGGCGCCAACGAGGGUGCGAUUUCCCGAACACUAUCCAACGGCGGAUCAAAGUCAUGUCCGUCGUGACUGUUCGGUGCACCUUUCAUGGGCUCGAACCCGUCAAAGAUCAAGUGUCCGCGGAUGUCGGCACUGUAGUUUAAGCUUCCAAACCUGACUUGAUGGCCAGGGGCAUAGCUAUCGAUCUGCUCCAGAUGGCCAAGCAAGUUGGCCCGCAGUACGAAGCCGCCAAAUACGAAGAUCUGUCCGGGAAGGAAAACCUCCCCCUGGACCGCAUCGUUAAAGAUGAUUGAAGGGGCCAUCAAGCCUUACAGUGAUGGCACGGUGGAACUCUCAAUGAAAGCACCAAUGUCGGUGUCAAAACCGGCGGAUCUCGGGUAGGGGGUCCCAAAUUGUGUGUCUAAGGCUAAUGGUAACAGGAGGCAGGGGACACGAUGUUUUACCCAGGUUCGGGCCCUCUCGAUGGAGGUAAUACCCUACUUCCUGCUGGAUUGAUCUUGAUGAUAUGAGUAUUACAAGAUUUGAUCUACCACGAGAUCGUAGAGGCUAAACCCUAGAAGCUAGCCUAUGAUUAUGAUUGUUCUUCUACGGACUAAACCCUCCGGUUUAUAUAGACACCGGAGGGGGCUAGGGUUACACAGAGUCGGUUACAGAGAAGGAAAUCUACAUAUCCGAAUAUCCAAGCUUGCCUUCCACGCAAAGGAGAGUCCCAUCCGGACAUGAGAUGAAGUCUUCAAUCUUGUAUCUUCAUAGUCCAACAGUCCGGCCAAAGUAUAUAGUCCGGCUGUCCGAGGACCCCUUAAUCCAGGACUCCCUCAUUGCCGAUGCCUUGUGGGCAGGGCUGGUUCCCCCCUUCUCUGCUUUCUUCAAUGCAGUGCUUUCCCACUACCAGAUCCACACGAUGCAUCUUGGUCCCCAAUCCAUUACUCUUCUUGUUGUCUUUGCCUUCGUCUGUGAGGCCAUGGUGGGCAUCCCCCCUUCCGUUGCUCUUCUGCGCCACUUCUUCUCUCUGCACCUGACUGACCCAUCUCAAUUCUCGUGGUGCGCGAGCUUCCAUGCCGUGCCGGAGACGGCCGCCUCGGGGAUCGAUUUUGGUCUUCCAUCUUCUGCGAGCGGGUUCCGGGAGCGGUGGCUGUAUGUGGAUGUCGGGGUGCCCAGCCCCCUGCUCACGCACCCUACGUUGCCUGCUGUCCCGAAUCCAGGUUGGGGCCACGAGAAGCUCACGAGCCCCCAGCUUGCUUUUGUCUGGUGUCGCUUCGAGAGGUUGAGAACGCUUGGCGUGACGGCGCCCCAGGUGGUGAAGGAGUUCCUCUAGUGCUGCAUCGCUCCUCUCCAGUGCCACUCCCGUCUGAUGUGGACUUUUACUGGGCAUCAAGACCGCAUGAGGCUCCAGGAAGGGGAUCUUGCGCCUGAAAUGCUGAGGAAGGUGCUGAGAGUCUUGACUGGCAACCCCUCUCCAGGCAGUGUUCGACAUGGGGGCGCCCUCUUGUAUCUCUGCUCAGGCAGGGCCGAGUUCGUGAGGCAGAUGCCCCGCUUCGACGAAUGGGGGCUGUGCCCAGCUGGCCUCGUGGGGCCCCAUGAGAAUCCGGUUGCCAUGGCUCCUCCCCCCGUCGCCCAUGCCAGUCCUGCCUCAGGAGGUGGUGCAGGGAGGCAAGCAUCCCCGGGAGCUGGGGGUCUAAUGUCGAGGCGCCAAUGUCGCGCGGGGCUCCCGAGGCGUCAUCCUCCGGAGCUUACGGAGCCCAUCCCGAGGUGGUGGCUGAUGAGGGGACGCGACCUGCGGCUCCCGAGGCCGAAACUCCCAAGGCCUCGGCAGGCCACCAAGAGGUGGCACCUGAUCGCUCCUCUCAGCCUAGCACCCUUGAUGCAAGUCAUCUCGAUGCUUCUUCAUCCAUGCCACGCGCCGGCCCUCACGUCGAGAGCUUGGGCCGGUUCCGCAUAGACUUCGACGCCCUCCGCAAGAGGAAGGAAGCUUCAGGUGGCAAUGAUCGCCCUGUCGCCCGUUGAAGCACAGGAAGUACUUCGCCAUGGACGAGUAAGCUCCUCCUUCUUGUAACUUCUUGUUUGCCGUUCCCUUCGCUGACUGUGUCCUUUCAGGAUCCCUCCUGCGGAGCCUGCGGAGCCAGCCAAGGAGCCGCCUCCUCAGGCUUCGUCUUCAGCACCGACCUUAAGCGUCCCGAGAUUGUGCGCCACUCCUGACGCGAGCCCGACUGGAGAUGUCGGCCGACCCGAGGUGUGCCUCGAUCCCGUGUGCAUGCCGCCCUUCCUUCGCGAGCUUUCCUGAGGCACGACCAGCUUGCCCCGUGCUCCUCCCCUGAUCAUGGGUGGUGCGUGGUUGAAGUCGAUCUUCGGCUCCUCUUCAGGGGAUGGAUCGGCGCCAGGCUGGGUCCCUUGCAGGGCCCGUCCGGCAAUUAUGGGGGCGCGAGCCCCCAGCCCCCUGCCGAGAGGGGGCGAGCCACUUCAGGGCCCUCCGCCGAUGCCGAUGGCGGAGGGCGAUGCUUAUGACGUGCUCAGGCGUGUGCGGGAGCGCAGCACCGUUCGCCGACAGUUUCUCUAGAAGGUGACAGAUGCGGUGAGCCAUCUUGGUGUAGAGCUCGCGGGCGAGGAUGCGCGUCUUGAAGCUGAAGGCAUGUGGCUGGCUGAGAAACGACGCACGCUGAAGAUGGCCGUUAGCCUUGCGCGUCACCAGCGUGAUCUUGACAACGUGAAGGCUAAAGCAUCCCUGGCGGCCUCGCGGAAGGCCUGCUCCCGAGCCAUCGAGGAGGCUCAGGAGGCAGACCGAUGACGCGAGGUCGCGGAGGAGCGCACGUGAUAGCUCCAAGCCUGGUGCAAUUCCCUGGAGCAGCAAGUGGAGCUGCGCCAAGCUGCCCUUGCAUCGAUGAAAGGGGCGCCCAUUAAAGAGGAGGAGCUCCAGAGGCGUGAGGAAGCGCUGACACUGGAGGCUGCCGAGCACAACCUCGACCUUGAACGGCUGGAGACGAGGGAGCGCCAAGUGACCCAGGCGGAGGAUGACGUUGGCGGGCGGGAGGUCUGAAUCCAAGAAGAGAUCGACCGCCGCGUGGCGGAAGUUCGCGUGAGUCUUGAGCGCGAGUAUGAAGAGAGGUUGGAGAUGAUCAAGGUCGAGGCCGCGGGCAGGACCGCCGCUCUUAGGACCAAGCUGACCGAAGCGAUGCAGCGUGUUGAGGCCACCGCAGCUGCCCUAGGUGCGGCGCAGGCUGAGCUGGCCUCCUCUCGUGCCAAGCUGCUUCUCCUCCAACAGAGGGUUGAUGACGUUGAGUCCGUUGCACGGUGAAACGAAGAUGAGAUUCACCGGCGGCAGACGCUAGAGCAUAUGCAUGGCCCCAUGCUCCGAACACUCAGGGAAAGGGCCAACGCGGCCUUGGGCAACAUCUGUGAAGCAGUUGCUGAGGAGCCUCAUGUGACCAACAAUCUCCGGUUCUUCACGGACGUGGUGACACAUCUGGAGAAUCGCUCUGAGAGGGCUCGCCAGCUUGUCGAGGAGCGGAGUCGCGGCCUGCUCGCACGGACAUUCUCCCGUGUCUUCAACCAUCUUCAGAACAUCGACCUCCUCUUUGACUUUGAUGCUGCCAUCGCCCCGGUGCCCGAGGCCAUCCGAGGCGACCUAACGCAAUGGGUGGAGGACAACAUGGAUGCACUUGUUAGAGCCUUCACCUCUGACGAUGACGGGGUGGUUGUUGCUGCUGAUGAAGGCGACAUGGUGAACGACGGUGAAGACGGUGCCAACGACGGCGAGGGUGAGGCCAGCAACAGCGACAGUGGCGCCAGCGACGCCUCUGGAGAUGACCAAGAGGAUGCGGUGAGCGACAUGUCCAAUUGAUCCUACGCCCCCUGCUGUUUACCCUACGCAGAAAAAGCUCGGGCGUGGCCCUGAAGGUUGUAAGAGCAUUUUGGGAGGGGAAGCCCCUCAUGUAAAAAGGAUUGUUGUCCACGCGUUAUUAAGGAUGACACCGAAUGGGCGCCCGUAUGAGGUCAUGGUUUCCACGAUGAGUUGGUCGCCGUGAUUUUACCUUUAUCUUGGCAAGUUUUGAGUAGGCUUGCGGCGACUCUCCAAGGGUCCCUCGGGAGACCCGUUGACCAUGUGGCGACAGCCUGGAGAGAGCGAGCGCCAGCCGCGGGGCAGCAGGCGUGUGUGCUAGACCCGGCCCUGCUCGCGAGGGGCUCACGAGAGGGAGGCAGCUAGUGCGGAUUCCAACUUGAGCAGAAACUGGAACACGAGAAAGCACGCGAACAAGACAAGACACCCCUCCCUGCAUACGCAAACACAAAUUCAACUUCAGCUCAGAUCCGAAACGAGAAAGCUUGACCACACAAAAGGAAGCAAAAGCAAAAGGCCGCGUCCGGCACCUAGUCUAGUCUUUGACAUCCUCUCACCAGCGCGGAGCUAAGUGCUGCCACUGGGCGUGGGAGGGAGCCCCGAGGCCCGAGGGCAGCUCUCCAGAGACUCCGGGGCGUGUACAGCCCCAACUCAUUAUUACGUGAGAGUGUCACGAGCGGCGAGCUUCACAGGCACUGGGCCUUCUUCACAGGUACCGGCCUUGCUUCAUAUCGCCAGAUGAGGGCCCCGCCUUGCGCCACCCUUGACCACCAUCGACGGUGACCGGAAACCAGGACGACGCCAAUGGGGAAAAGGGGACACCAACGGUUCCCCCGACAACCACGGGUUCUCUGCCGGGGGCAGGCCUUAUGGCACCUACCCGGUAGAGGGCCUACCUCCGAGGAACACCUUACUCUGUGCGCCUUGGGGAGGGGCCUGGCUCCCAGCCCCUCUCUUGCAGCCCCCAGUGCCCUCCUCCUGAGGGGAGGGAGGUUGCUGCACUGGGGCAGCCAUCCGCUGCAGCGACCUGGACUCCCUGCGACCCAUGGUUAGUAUAAGCUUGCUCCUGAGGAAUUAGCAGUACCCGAUAACUGCUGCCACCAGCGUGGUUGGCGGGGCUUCCUUGAGGCUCCUGAAAGGGUUCGGCUUCUGGCGUCUCUUCCUCCCAGCAUGGCCCGAGGAAUGAGCUGUGGUCUUCUUCCAGUGCGUACUCUCCAUCCACCAUGUGGGGCACAUAAGCCUCCGGGGUCGCCGCCCCAAAGGCCUCGUCGUAGUGCCCCACGCUCCACGCGGUUUGGCUUGAAGCACCAUCCUGGGGGUGGUAGGGCAGCGGCCCGCCCGGGCCGUAGGUAGCGAUGCGGAUGCCCUCGCUUACCAGGGGCGGUGCCGAAGCAGCUUGUCGCCCAGUGCUGACGGCCAAGCUGGUGUUGAUGAAGCCUUGAGGUACGUUCGGGGGCGCGCGGGCACAGAUGGGCCCACUGUGUGAUCCGCCCGGGGCCUGGGGUGGAAGCUGGACGCAGAAUGGAGGUGCUCCUGAAGCAGUGGCAUCCAGGAGCUCAGCGACGCGCUCCAGCAGCACAUCGCGACCGCUUUCUUGCAGUCUGCACCGCAGCAGUUCUCGAGCCACCGUGAGCGCGGCCUUCAUGUUCGCCUGUUCCCAUCGGGUGUGCAGUACUGUGGCCGCGGCGUGGUUUGAGGCCCUUGCUGUUGAUCACACUUGCCACGGGGUGAGGGCAGGCAGCGCUUGACCGCGUCGCCCGUGCCCCGCAGCAUUCUGCAGAGCACGGGCUGCCUGAGGCGCGGGGUUGAGGUCACCUUGGGCAGGCGGCGCGACAUGGGCAGGCCAUGCCGCCCAGCGGUCGGCGUUGGCCGUCGGGUCGCCGGGCAUGGAGGCGACAAAGCGGUGGAACGCUAGACGGCAGAAGAAAGAUUCCGGCACACCCCUACCUGGCGCACCAAAUGUCAGAUAUCGGGUUCCGACAAAACCCUUAAGGUUCGAACACUAGGGUGCGCGCGAAGAUCUUUCCCCUACCAACCCACGUCCGAACGCCUUGCUGAGAAUCUAAGCUAAACGAUGAACAACAUGAGGGACACAAGAUUUAUACUGGUUCGGGCCACCGUUAUGGUGUAAUACCCUACUCCAGUGUGUGGUGUGGUGGAUUGCCUCACGGGCUGAUGAUGAACAGUACAAGGGAAGAACAACCUCGCGAGAGGUGUUCUUCGAUGGUGGUUUGCUCGAGAAGGAUUCGAUCCACUCUCGAUGAGAUGCCUCUCUACUGUGGUGGCUAGCCCUAUUUAUAGAGGCCCUGGUCCUCUUCCCAAAUAUUGAGCGGGAAGGGCGCCAACAACGGCCAUUUUGAAGGGGAACAUCUAGUACAAGUUAUCCUAACUAAAGGUGGUCUUCGACUGCUAAAGUACUCGCGAUGACGCCGUCUUGGGCUCCACAGUGACCUCCGUCCCGUCGCUCUGCUGGUCCUGAUCUCGUUGCACCGAAAUGGUAACCUUUUCUUGAUGCCUUGGUACUCCGCGCCUGUGCUUGCAUCCUUUGCACCAAAGAGGAAACAAGGACACUGCGUAGGCCGGCGCCCGCCUGGCCUCGAUCGUCAUGGAUUGCAUCACGAGCACCUCGCGAGGUACCCUUUCCUUGAUCUCUCCGCCUCCUCGCGAGCCUGCCUGGUGAGGCCACUCCUGAGGAAGCCUUGCGUCAUCCGCCCUGCGAGGCUUGGCCUCUCGCGAGAGUCUUGAGCUUGAGUUGAUGAAUAUGGGCCGUACUGGGCCACCACUUGAGCCACGCUGCAGGUCGCAGCCAGGCAAGUCUGGGGACCCCCGUUCCCAGAAUGUCGACAAUCUCCUAGAUAGAUCUUGCGUGAUCUUAGGAAUUUUUUGAAUUACCACGUUCCCCAACAGGGACUCCAAACCUCAGAAAAAUAAGUUCUUUAAACAUCUUGAUAGUAGUGGUAUGAUCAGCACUACUAAUUGGAAAAGCUUCUACCCACUUAGUAAGUAAUAAAUAGCAACUAAAAUAUGUGUAUACCCAUUGGAGGAAGGAAAAGGUCCCAUAUAGUCAAAGCCCCAAACAUCGAAUGGUUCAAUAACAAGUGAAUAGUUCAUAUGCAUUUCCCGACGUCUACUUAUAUUACCAAUUCUUUGGCAUUCAUCACAAGACAAGACAAACUUACGAGCAUCUUUGAAGAGAGUAGGCCAAUAAAAACUGGAUUGCAAUACCUUAUGUGCAGUUCUAUCUCCAGCAUGGUGUCCUCCAUAAACCUCAGAGUGACACUUGCGUAAGAUAUGUUCCUAUUCAUGCUCAGGUACACAACAUCUAAUAACAUCAUCUACUCCUUCUUUAGAAAGUUGUGGAUCACCCCAAAAGUAAUGUCUUAAAUCAUAGAAAAACUUUUUCUUUUGCUGGUAUGUGAAACUAGGUGGUAUAAAUUUAGCAAUAAUAUAAUUAGCAUAAUCAGCAUACCAUGGAGCAGUACGAGAAGCAUUUAUGACAACUAAUUGUUCCUCAGGAAAGCUAUCAUCAAUAGGCAGUGGGUCAUCAAGAACAUUUUCUAACUUAGACAAGUUGUCUGCAACGGGGUUCUCAGCUCCCUUUCUAUCAAUAAUAUGCAAAUCAAAUUCUUGUAGCAAGAGAACCCAUCUAAUAAGUCUAGCUUUAGCAUCUUUCUUUUCCAUAAGAUAUUUAAUAGCAGCAUGAUCAGUGUGAACAGUUACUUUGGAAUCAACAAUAUAAGGCCUGAAGUUAUCACAAGCAAAUACAACUGCUAAAAGUUCUUUUUCAGUAGUAACAUAAUUUCUUUAGGCAUUGUCUAGAGUUUUACUAACAUAUUGGAUAACAUUUAAUUCCUUAUCAACUCUUUGUCCUAGUACAUCACCAACAGCAUAAUCACUAGCAUCACACGUAAUUUCAAAUGGUAAAUUCCAAUCAGGUGGCUGAACAAUAGGUGCAUAAAUCAAGGCUUUCUUAAGUAUUUCAAAUGCUUCUACACAAUCAUCAUCGAAAACAAAAGGAACAUCUUUUUGCAAAAGAUUAGUGAGAGGCUAGAAAUUUUAGAGUCUUUAAUAAACCUCAUAUAGAAACCAGCAUGACCAAGAAAACUUCUUAUACCUUUGAUAUCUUUAGGACACGACAUCUUUCCAAUAGCAUCUACUUUAGCUUUAUCAACUUCAAUACCUCUUUCAGAAAUUUUAUGCCCCAAGACAAUACCUUCAUUAACCAUAAAGUGGCACUUCUCCCAAUUCAAGACAAGAUUAGUUUCUUUGCAUCUCUGCAAAACUCGAUCAAGGUUGCUUAAGCAAUCAUCAAAAGAAGUUCUAUAAACGGAGAAAUCGUCCAUGAAAACCUCAACAUUCUUUUCACAAAAAUCAGAGAAUAUAGCGGUCAUACAUAUUUGAAAGGUAGCAGGUGCAUUGCAUAAACCAAAUGGCACACGUCUAUAAGCAAAGGUACCGAAAGGGCAAGUAAAAGUGGUCUUUUCCAGAUCCUCUUUUGACACGGGUAUUUGAGAGAAGCUAGAAUAGCCAUCUAGAAAGCAAAAAUGUGUAUGUUUGGAUAGUCUUUCUAGUAUUUGAUCAAUAAAAGGUAAAGGGUAACGUUCUUUUCUAGUGGCUUUAUUUAAUUUGUGGAAAUCAAUUGCCAUUCUAUACCCUGUAACAAUUCUUUAUGGGAUCAAUUCAUUCUUAUCAUUAGGAACAACAGUAAUACCUCCCUUCCUAGGGACACAAUGAACGGGACUUACCCACUGACUAUCAACAAUAUGAUAAAUUAUACCUGCCCACAUAAGCUUUAGUAUUUCAUUUCUUACCACUUCUUUCAUCUUAGGAUUUAACUGUUGUUGAUGAUCAACAACUGGUUUAGCAUCUUUCUCCAAUUAUAUUUUCUGCUGGCAUAGACUGGGACUAAUGCCCUUAAUAUCAUCAAGAGUAUAUCCAAUAGCAGCACAGUGCUUCUUUAGAGUUUUUAACAAUUUCUCCUCUUCAUGCUCUGAAAGGUUAGCACUAAUAAUAACAAGAUAUAUCUUCUUUUCAUCGAGAUAAGCAUAUUUAAGAGUAUCAGGUAAUUGUUUAAGCUCAAACACGGGAUCACCCUUGGGUGGAGGAGGAUCUCCGAGAAUCUCAACAGGCAAAUUGUGUUUCAAAGUAGGUCCCUGAUUAAAGAAUACUUCAUUUAUUUCCCUUCUUUCAGUCAUAAAUAUAUCAUUUUCAUGGUCUAGCAAAUAUUGUUCUAAAGGAUCAUUAGGAGGUACGGCAAUAGAAGCAAGACCAAUAAUUUCAUCCUUACUAGGCAAUUCUUUAUCAUGGGGUUGUCUACGAAAUUUAGCAAAAUUAAAGUCAUGAGGCAUAUCCCCUAAACCAACAGUAACAAUAUCUUUUUUGCAGUCUAUCUUAGCAUUAACAGUAUUCAAGAAGGGUCUACCAAAAAUAAUGGAACAGAAGCCAUCUUGUGGGGAACCAAGAACAAGAAAAUCAAUAGGAUAUUUAAUUCUCCCACACAAGACUUCAACAUCUCUAACAAUCCCAAUUGGUUAAAUAGUAUCUCUAUUGGCAAGCUUAAUAGUAACAUCAAUACCUUCUAACUCAGCAGGUGCAAUAUCAUGCAUAAUUUCUUUGUAUAACGAAUGAGGUAUUGCACUCACACUAGCACCCAUAUCACAUAAGCCAUGAUAACAAUGAUCUCCUAUUUUAACAGAAACAAUAGGCAUGCCAACAACAGGUCUAUGUUUAUCUUCAGUAUCGGGUUUAGCAAUUCUAGCAGCUUCAUCACAUAAAUAAAUAACAUGUCCAUCAAUAUUAUCGACCAAGAGAUCUUUAACCAUAGCAAUACUAGGUUCAACUUUAAUUUGUUCAGGGGGUGUAGGUGUCCUAGUAUAACUCUUACGAACCACAUUCGAAGCUUUAGCAUGAUCCUUUAUUCUAAUAGGGAAAUGUGGUUUCUCAAUAUAAGCAGUAGGAACAAUAGGAUUAACUUUAUAAGUAAUGGUUUCUUCUUCAACUUUAAUAGGUUUUACUACUUUCACUUCAAUGGGAGGAUGAUAUUUAAACCACUUCUCCUUAGGGAGAUCAACAUCAGUAGCAAAUGAUUCACAGAAAGAAGCUACUAUCUCAGAGUCAAGUCCAUAUUUAGUGCUAAAAUCAUGAAAAGCAUCGGUAUCCAUAAAAGGUUUAACACAAUCAAACUUCGGGGUUAUACCUGACUCCUUACCUUCGUCGAGUUCCCAGUCUUCAUAGUUGCGUUUAAUUCUUUCCAAUAAAUCCCAUUUGAAUUCAAUAGUCUUCAUCAUAAAAGAACCAGUGCAAGAAGUAUCAAGCAUGGAGUGAUCAUUAUGAUAAAGUCGAGCAUAAAUUUUUUGAAUAAUAAUUUCUCUUGAGAGCUCAUGAUUGGGGCAUGAAUAUAACAUUGAAUUAAGUCUCCCCAAGCUUGAGCGAUACUUUCUUCUUCACGAGGCCAAAAAUUAUAUAUAUAAUUCUGAUCAUGAUGAACCAGAUGCAUAGGAUAAAACUUCUGAUGAAAUUCCAAUUUCAAUCGGUUGUAGUUCCAUGAUCUAAUAUCAUCACAUAGCCUAUACCAUGUCAAUGCCUUUCCCUUCAAAGAUAAAAGGAAGACCUUAUUGACAACAUCCUCAGACAUACCUGCAAGCUUAAAUAAUCCACAAACUUCAUCCACAUAGAUUAGGUGCAUAUCGGGAUGUAAAGUUCCAUCUCCUGUAUAGGGAUUAGCUAGCAGUUUCUCUAUCAUAAUCGAAGGAAUUUCAAAGUAAAUAUUUUCAAUAGGUUCAGUAGGUUGAGGAGCAACUCUUUGCUCUUCUGGUCGGGGUGAAGAUGCCCCGAACAAGCCCCUCAAAGGAUUAUUUUCCAUAGUAACGAGUGACAGUAAAUUUCAGCACACUAUAUAAAUGUUUCCUUACCAAAUUUCACUUACCAAAGGCGCUUCACUCCCCGGCAACGGUGCCAGAAAAGAGUAUUGAUGACCCACAAGUAUAGAGGAUCUAUCUUAGUCCUUUCGAUAAGUAAGAGUGUCGAACCCAACGAGGAGCAGAAGGAAAUGACAAGCGGUAUUCAGCAAGGUAUUCUCUGCAAGUACUGAAAUUAUCGGUAGCAAAUAGUUUUGUGAUAAGAUAAUUCAUAACGGGUAACAAGUAACAAAGGUAACUAAGGUGCAGAAAGGUGGCCCAAUCCUUUUUCUAGCAAAGUACAAGCCUGGACGAACUCUUAUAUAAAGCAAAGUGCUCCCGAGGACACAUGGGAAUUACUGUCAAGCUAGUUUUCAUCAUGCUCAUAUGAUUCACGUUCGUUACUUUGAUAAUUUGAUAUGCGGGUGGCCCGGUGCUUGGGUGUUGUCCUUACUUGGACAAGCCUCCCACUUAUGAUUAACCCCUCUCGCAAGCAUCCACAACUACGAAAUAAGAAUUAAGGUAAACCUAACCAUAACAUGAAACAUUUGGAUCCAAAUCAGCCCAUUACGAAGCAACACAUAAACUAGGGUUUAAGCUUCUGUCGCUCUAGCAACCCAUCAUCUACUUAUUACUUCUCAAUGCCUUCCCCUUGGCCCAAAUCACGAUGAAGUGUCAUGUAGUCGACGUUCACAUAACACCACUAGAGGAGAGACAACAUAUAUCUCAUCAAAAUAUCGAACGAAUACCAAAUUCACAUGAUUACCAAUGACAAGACUUCUCCCACGUCCUCAGGAACAAACGUAACUACUCACAAAACAUAUUCAUGUUCAUAAUCAGUGGAGUAUUGAAUAGCAUUAAGGAUCCGAACAUAUGAUCUUCCACCGAAUAAACAAACUAGCAUCAACUACAAGGAGUAAUCAACACUACUAGCAACCCACAGGUACCAAUCUAAGGUUUUGAGACAAAGAUCGGAUACAAGAGAUGAACUAGGGUUUGAGAGGAGAUGGUGCUGGUGAAGAUGUUGAUGGAGAUUGACCCCCUCUCGAUGAGAGGAUCGAUGGUGAUGGCGAUGGAGGUGAUUUCCCCCUCCCGGAGGGAUGCUUCCCCAGCAGAAUAGCUCCGUCGGAGCCCUAGAUUGGCCCUGCCCAUGUUCCGCCUCGAGACGGCGGCGCUUUGUCCCGAAAGCUUCUCUAUGAUUUUGUUUCCAGGGUAAAGAUGCCAUAUAGCAGAAGAUGGGAGUCUGAGGCCUGCCAGGGGGCCCACGAGGCAGGGGGCGCGCCCAGUGGGGUAGGGCGCACCCUCCACCCUCGUGGCUGACUGGUGGCCCCCCUCUGGUGCUUUCUUUGCCUGAUAUUUUUAAUAUAUUCCGAAACUGAUCUCCAUGAAGUUUCAGGACUUUUGGAGUUGUGCAGAAUAGGUCUCUAAUAUUUGCUCCUUUUCCAGUCCAGAAUUCCAGCUGCCGGCACUCUCCCUCUUCAUUUAAACCUUAUAAAAUAAGAGAGAAAAGGCAUAAGUAUUGUGAUAUAACAUGUAAUAACAGCCCAUAAUGCAAUAAAUAUUGAUAUAAAAGCAUGAUGCAAAAUGGACGUAUCAAGGGGUUGUUUCCCACGCCCCUCCACCUAUAUAUAGAGGGGAGGGGGCGCCCCAAGAGGAUACACCAAGCCCUUGACGCCCCUCUCUCUCCCGUUACUCCGUAGUUCCACCGCCUCGUCCCGGCGACGCUUAGCGAAGCGCUGUUGGUGCUUCACCACCACCAUCACCCCCACGCCAUCGUGUUGGUUGUGACCCAUCUAUUUCUUCUCUCCCGCUUGCUAGAUCAAGAAGGAUGAGACUUCAUUGAGCCGCACGUGUGCUAAACUCGGAGGUGCCGUCCGUUCGGCACUAGAUCGGUUGGAUCGUGAUCGGAUCGCGAAGAGUAUGAUUACAUCAACCACGUGAUAAACGCUUCUGCUUAGCGAUCUACAAGGGUAUGUAGAUGCCCUUCCCCUCUCGUAGCUAUGCAUCUCCAUGGAUAGAUCUUGUGCGUAUUUUGUUUUUGUUUUUCAUGCAACGUUCCCCUACAGUUUCUGUGAGUAGAAAUAUCAUAUAUCCUAUGGAAUUUAUGUAAUUUAAUCUUACGAUACACACAUAAUGGAUAUUCUUUGUUAGGAUUAUAAUCCUCUGAAAUUCGUUAGUUCCAAAGAGAGCCCAAACAUGGAUGUUUUAAUCAUAAGAAUUUGUAUAAUUACUUUUUUUGCUUAGUGUGUAGAACAAGCACUAAUUUGGUUUCGUCGCUUGUGGCGGUCCAGUUCAUCGGCUCAAAAAGCAUCCUCGUAUGCGAAAGUGCUCCUCCAAAUCUAGGUAUGAUGGCAGUUCCCUCUUUGUUUAGCGUUGCCUCAGCGGCAGUGGAGGACGAUGGUGGGCAACGUUUCAGCAUGGCUCAAGAUUCUGCGAGAGUGAAAUUCUAAUUUUACUUCUUGCGGAGUCUUUGAUGCAAUAUUGCAAGAUAUCUAUGUAUGCAUUUUAUGGUGACCAUAUGUGAACUCUAUGUAAUCUGUUGGUCUAAUGAAAUAUAUGCAUGUUUAUUUCAAAAAGAAAAUAAAUAAUAUGUGCCCUUCAAGCACACUCUUGCUUAAAGUUUAUUUUUCCUUUUCCUGUUCAACAUUUUCUUUGAAGAAACAUCGAGUACAUCAUAGACACAUCACUAUCACCAUCACCACACGUCACUCACACGAACAUGUACCGAAGACUGCAGUCAUGGAGUUUCUAAAAUUGACGUAGCCAUAAAAAACACGAGCAAAAUCGAUGACACCAUUAAUUUUUUUCGUCCAAUGAUGCAUAAUACUAUUUUUACACGUAGAAUAGAAACUGAGGCUCCCUCUCAUCUAUAUUAUUUGUUGCUGGUUUAACAUAUACUAUUCCCUCCGUUUUUUAAUAUAAGUUGUCGUCUUUUAUUGGAAUCUAUAAAAAAACUUAUGUUUAGAAACGGUGGGAGUAAUAGAUAAGAGAACAUGGAGUACCAAUGGAUAUCUUUUUUUUUUUUUGAGGGUGUACCAAUGGAUAUCGAUGUAUAAACAACUGACAAGAAAAAGGAGUCGGCACGAAAGCUCCUAGCCUUAAAAAAACACACCGCCGAGUAGGACAUGCCCCACACAGACGCCUCCUAGUGGCCCCACCCUUCAGUCCCCUCUCCCAUCGGCCCAGUCACAUCAGCCUCACGUGCGCCAAACCCCCAACCCCACUCCACGUGCCCCUUCUCCCUUCCCUCGCCGCCAGGUGGGUCCCGGGCCCGCAUGCCAUCGACACAGCAGCAGCGACGCGCCCACCGCAGCGAUAAAGCAAGAGAGGCACGGGAUAAAUAUAAAUAAAAUAAAGCGGGUGGGAGGAAACCUACAGACGUAAAGCCGCCGCUUCGUGUCGACGCGACGCCCUCCAGACCUCCAUCCUCCUCCUCGUCUCCGCGCCUGGACCUCGCGCGCAUCUCGCCCGCCCCCCUCUCACUCGCCCAGGUCUAGGGUUCCGGCGCCCGAUUCGGGCCGAAUUGGACGGCGCCGCGGCGGAUCGGGGGUCGGAGGAGCGCGGGCGAGAGAUGACGGGGAAGAAGCGGAAGGCGGAGGCGGCGCGGCUGGACGAGACGGACCGGGCCAUGUACGGCGCGUUCCGGGGCGCCGCCAACUCCCUCUCGCAGCUCUACACGCUCGCCAUGGGCGGCCAGAAGCUCUCCUUCCAGGCCGGCGAGCGCCACGCCAUGGUACGUGCGUGCGGUUCUUUCUUUCAUGGCGUGGUUGUUGAUUAAACUGAUUGACUGAUGGGUUGAUUGAUUUGUGCGCUGCUUCUGUUUCUCACUUGUGUUGUGUCAGUGGUGUGGGAGACCGGAUUCUGUUUCGUUGAAUUCGCCUCUUUUUGUGGUGAUGAAAAUAAUUUGGAUUAGGGGCAGUUAAGACUCAGACAAUGAGGAAUUUUAGUGCUAGAACCUUAUCCUUUGUGGUUGUGGUUAGUGUAGAUUGUUCUUGUAAUUAGAUCGUUCAGGGGCAAGCGAGAUGGCCCUUUCGCUGGAUGUGUGAUGAAGUUUGUUUCAGUUUUGGGCAUGUUUCCUCCGUUUACCUGCAAAUUCUGCUUCAACUUUGCAGUUACGUGUGGCAAUUCUGAGUAUUUUUCUGGGGGGUGGGGGAUGAUGACUUUUGCCGAAGCUCCUUGUCACAGUGUGUGCUCUGACAUCACUGAAUAAUAUAUUGAUGUGCAAUAGCCAAUAAUUCAUAGAGCACUCUUGUAGUGCUGCGUACAACAACUCUGAUUAGAAUUGGCAAUCUUUGUAUGGCUAUGGAGGUUAUGCAAAGCGGAAGACGGGAGACUUCGCUUAUAGGGCAGGUUGCUUCUGGGCUAGUACUAAGGAGUCAUCCUUUUCAGCUUUACUUCAACUGGUGCACUGCUAUGUGGAAAGUCUCACCGUUAGGUGUGUAAUGUUUCUUCUAAACACGGAAGGCAUCCUUGGCAUUGGGAUUCAGUAUCUUAUGUUAUGGUUCUGGUCAGAACCUUACAUGUUGUUCAUCAUCGCUAUGUUGUAUGCUUAGCUUCUUUCUAGUCUUAGUUUCCAUACUACUACAAUGUUAGGCUGUGGAAUUCAAUUGCGUUAAAAUCUUUUCCUGAGAAUUAUCUGCUCAACUCAUUGACCGAAACACUAGAAGAUGCACCAAAAUAAACAUUUGUUUUACAAACUGGAUUAGUGUUAAGUCCAGAUGUGUUUUUGGUCACUUUUGUUUUUGUUUUGGUGUAGAAGCACUGCCUUGUAUUCAUAUGACUUAUAAUUUGUAGUGGGUUUACAUUGCAGAGUGGUUGAACAGCUACUCCCUCUGUAAAGAAAUAUAAGAGCAUUUAGAUCACUAUUGAGUGAUCUAAAUGCUCUUAUAUUUCUUUACGGAGGGAGUAGUUCGUUAUGUUUGCAAGUAAGAUUUAUUUAUUUGUCAUGAUCAUCGUCUUGUUGUUCUGAUGACUAUUGCUGUUGAAUGCCAGCUAAAUAGUUUAAUCUAUACAGAUAAUGUGGGAUUUGACCAGAGUUUUCUUACCAACGCUUAAAACUAAGCAUAGCGUUGAAGUAUGGUAUUGCAACUUUUCCCUAUAAUGUACUACUGUCAGGAUUGGAUACAUCCUGAGUUUCUUAAUUUAUGUUUCAGGACUGCAAACAAUUUUCUUUUUUCUUUGGCAUGUUACCUUUGAGUUAUGAAUAAUUCCUACCAACUCUAUGACUAUGCAUGCCAUAUAUGUUUUAAACACACAGUACCUUCACAAUGUUGGCCGCAAAAGUGUCAAUAAAUGGAACAGAAGAAAAUUUGUGUCAUAUUUUCAGGCUUUUGUAUGUAAUGAAUAGCCGUGUUGGGUCAUUGGCCUCAACCCCUGGCCAUGGUUGGCGGCAGCCAUGUCUUGAGGUGAUGAGGAAUCAGUGAAGUUUGUAGGAGAAUACAGGGGAUUAAUUCAUCACAUGAUUGCUCUCUUAUAAAGGAGAGAUAUAUUAACGAUCAAAAUAAGAAUCUGAUACAAGUCAAUCUAAAUCUUAUUUAGGAUUCAAAUUACUAACAUAUUCUUAAUGAUAUCUUUUAUCCUAUUCGCUUUAUUCUCUUAUCCUAACUGCUUGGGCGCCUAACUUUCUUGUGCUAGUUGUGCAUUGCAUGUUCGCUAUAUUAAGGUCCCACAUGACAUAGUGAUUCUAGAUAUUAAGGUCCCACAUGACAUAGUGAUUCUAGACAAUGGUAUACGUCCCAAGUGUUGAACCAAUUAAUCCUGUCAACGCGUGGAAUCCAUCAAGAAUUGUACCUGCUAGCAAGCAGCAGUUGUAUUUUCUUUUAUAGAAUAGCACCUUCCACCUUUCAAAGUUCUUUCUUUGGCUGGCAGAAAUCUGUCUUUCUUCUCUUCCCUUUUUUCACAAACGUUUUUCAUUGUCUGUCCCAUUUGAGCAGGAAAAGCUGUAUGAAUGGAUCUUAAGACAGCAUGAAAAUGGUUUGAGGCUGACAGUUGCUGAUAUAGCCUCGCACGUCCAGGUUAGCAGUAUUUUUUUUUCCUGUCUUGUAUGUUGAAAGGGAACUGUUCAUAAUUAAAACAUGGACUUCAAGAACUGGUGAAUUUUAAUUUCACAGACCAUGAUAGUCUGAAACUCUGAAUAGUAUGGCAAGUUUUGCCAUCUUGUUUCUUAGACAACAAUGAUGCAUAAUGAAUAAGAUGAGGUUACCAUCCUCACUGAUCCUGUGCACAUAUUUCUUCCUUUGUCAAUCCAUACCUCUAGCCAUAGCCUCCUAACAAAUACUAGCUGCACCACUUUUAUCCUUCUCCGCCAUUCUAGCAUACGAUUGAUAACUUACGUUUACGAUCUGUAUGUAUGUCUAGCAUGAGAUUCAGUAUGGAGGCGACAAUCCGUUGGCCUCUCCAAGAUCACAAUAUGCAAGCCAAAGCACUCAGGCUACUGUGCAUAUGCCCAACACAAGCAACCAUCAACCAUCUGCAAGCUUAUUUGCACUAGGAAACCCAGGGUUGACGCAGCCCAAGAACUCGGCGGUCUUUUCCAACGCACUAUCCAGCCCCGUGCGCCGGGGCCUCCAACCAUACCAUCUGGAUCAGGGCGGGGAUGCAGGCUACUUUGCAAACGGCUUAGCCCGCGAGCCUAAUCCCACGGCUUCAAACGACUCAUCCAUGGACAUGCAUUCGGACAGCCCAGCUCAUGACUCCUCCUGAGCAGUGCGCUCCACAGGACCACAGAGAUGGAAGAAGAAUAGCAAGCACGUCCAGUGAAAGGACAAACUGGAAGAACAGCAUAUCCAGUGAAAGAAGAAACCGGCUGCGAGAUGCCUGUCGUCACCGCUCAAGUAGGAGUAUUCAAUUUAACCCCCACCCCCCAUAGCCUGUUAUGCUAAGUAAGCAUGUCUUAUAUGUUUUUCACUACUGCUUACAGCCUGUUGCUUUGUCAAGAUACUGUGUAGCCUUUGUGCACCUGUGUUUUCUGUUCUGGGUAAAAUUGUAAAACUUUAUUUAUCUGUGCAUAUUACUGUCGGUCUGUUGUCAAGUGUUUGGUGGCAAAUAACCGAGAAUAAAACUUAUUAACAGUAGGGUUCCUCUCAGGCCUGGAGACCAUAUAUAGUGCACCAACCCAAUCUAUGCACCAGGUGCAUCAAUGGCUUUUGGACCAUUAAAUGAGAAGGCAACGGGUCAAAUUUUGGACCAUAUCAGAUUUGCAAAAGCAACUUUAUAGUUUAUUAUAUACGGCCUGCACUUUACAUCCCACUCUCUCAUCAAUAAAUCUGUGUGUUUAUUUUUGUAACUCGAACACAAAGAUGGCCAUAUAUUUUGAACUGAAUGUCUUGAUUUUUAAUACGUUUUGACUGGCAACUUUUGUGUUGACGACAUAUUUGAAACAAGAUCAAUGUUGAAUAUGUUUUUUUUUUUUGCCUUUUGAAACUUAAUUUGGAACUUAUUAACCAAAUGCAUGUGGGAUUGACGUGUGGAGGGAUAGGGAGAGGGAGAGUCAGGGUUACAUAACUUACAAGACAAUUAAAAGCUUAUAAUUGUUAUGUUAAGUUAUAAAAUACAUCAAUUUCAAAAUAUAUUCGGCAUUGAUCUUGUUUUGAACAUCUCGUAAAAUAAUAGUGCUAGAAAAACUGAUUUAGACGUAUGGUUCAACAGAUAUGAAUGUAUUUAUCCCUAAAAAAAGAUAUGAAUGUAUUUAUGUUUGGAGAAAGAGAGUACAUAACAUUGAUUCAAUGAUGGGAGAGGAAAGAGUAGAGCGCGGAUUAAUUAAUGUUAGCAUAACAUGAUGUCAAAUGUUCUACUAAUUCAUUCUCGAGCCUAAUCCUAACCCUCUGUGUCAUAUCCAAUGGCUCAAAAGCCAUUGGUGCAUCCGGUGCACCAGCGCGUAAACAAAGAGUCAUCAUAACAUGAGUUCCAUAUUGCCUGAUCCAAUGUCAUUACUAUGCUAGAGUGUGUUUUUCGGCCGAAGUCAUUAUUAUGGCCGUCUAUGCUAUAUGGUGAGAGUUGCUCUAAGGACGUGUUUGGUUUCUAGCAUAACAGGUAUACAGGCUCUGGAUGGCCAAAUCCGAGUUGUUUGGUUGACCAGGCCACGAAGAGAAACAAGCCCACAUGCUCCUCAAAUCAGCCCUUAGCUUGCAAACAGCCACUUGACUAUAAUUGUACUAUAGUGAACUUUCUAGCCUCUUAUUUUAGAACCUACAAUGGAUUAGCAGUUCAUCGCUUUAGUCCACUUAGGCAUCUCUCCAUGUUUCGUGGCGCACCAAGCAAGUAUUUGCGAAAGCAGGAAGUACGUAUGGUUAUUGGAUGGCCCAGGGAGAAACGCUGAAAUCGACCGUUCCCAAAUGCAGACCCGUGUAGUGCAAAUAAUACUCUGGUCCCUGUUUUCCUCUCGUCCCUGUUUUCCUCUCGUCUCUGGCGGCUGGAACCCUAGCCGCCGCCAGGGGAGGCCGGUCUUCCAACGCCGCUCUCCGGCGGCUUCCCUCCGCCGGUGACCUUGGUCGUUGGUGGUGACGGGGGUCGCCGGAUCCACGUCUGUGAAUCGUUUUUACUCUCUCGUAGUCUAGGUUUUUAGGUUGUUCAUCGUCUUUGCUUUGGCAGCGACGAUGACAACGCUGAAUAAAGAUUCUUCGAAUACUUUCCUAACGAGGCCAUCGGUCCUACGGUUGGGGAUGGAUUUGGAAACCAGUCUGUUCAAGCAAGGAUGGCGUGGCGGCGACGGCAUCCUCGUGAUGGACCUGUGUCCUCGGGCUCCGCCGUUGCGACGGCGUUUGCUCCAGCGUCGACGCGGAGCUUGGAAGGUAGUCCAGGAGCGGAUGCAGAUUAUGGUCUGCAUCGACAACAUCUGGAAGAUGGAGCAUGUGCUGGGCUCGUGGUUCGUGGAUGGCAGAUAUGGUUUCCUCCUUCGGUGUUUUAGUCGUGGUGGGGUGCUAGAUCUGGAGUUCGAUGGCGUGUCCGAGGUGUUGCCUCGGUCUGAUUCGUUCAACGGUAAGGGCUUCACUUUUGGUGAGGCAUCUUGGAGGUCCGCAAAGCUGUAUAUCAGCGAUGGAGUCGCGUCGAGCUCGGGUGAGAAGGUGAUUCGUCAUCCUUUUCUUCGGUGGCUACUGUGGUGGUGCCGGAGGCAGGUGACAGACGUUGGUGUCAAGCUCAGAGAUGUUCUGCUAUCUUUUCUGUUUUGUCAUGUCGGUCUUUACGUGACUUGUACUUUGUUCUUUAUGAUAUGAAUGAGACACGUAUUAUCAUGCAAAAAAAAAACACUGGUGAUUGCAGGCCGAGGUUUUGGUCAACUCCUAUUCGGCGCCUGGAGCACCCGCUAAAGUGAAAACAGUACACAACGCACACGUAUUCCCUUUGUUAGAUUUUCACGGGCUGGCCCAUCUAGAGGUUGUUUCUGUUAAGCUCCCAACCGAUUUGGGAAGCUCAGCAGAAAAAAAGAAAAACCGGUUUGGGAAGCUUCAGAAGCUUUCGGUCGUUUGUUUUUGUUUAUUUAUUAUGGUUUGUAUGCCUGGUUUCUGUGUUUUUUCCUUUUUUUAUUUUCCUUAUCUAUUCUUAAAUUCGUAAAUAUUUUUUAAAUCCAUAAACAUUUUUUAAACUCAUGAUUUUUUCCAAUUAUUGGAAAAACUAAUUUCGUGAUUUGUUUUCGAAUCUGUUACUUUUUAAAAUUUAUGAAUAUUUAUCAAAUCCACGAACAUUUUUUUAAUCGGUGAUUUUUUUUGAAAUUCAUGAAAAAAAAUCAGAUCCGUGAACAUUUGUCAAAACCACAGCAUUUUUAAAACAUGUGAAUUUUUUUAAUCUGUGAACUUCUUUCUCAAUUCGUGAACUUCUAUCGAAUUAGUGAACAUUUAUGAAUCCAUGGAUUUUUUUCAAUUUCAGGAAAAAAACGAACCCAAGGAUUUCUAAAAAAGGUAAACAGUCAAAGGUCACCCAGUCAACUGGUCGACAGUUGACGGUCAACCAGGGGAAUCACAGAGAGACCAGGGGCGUGGGCUUUUUUGACAAGCGAGCUGCUUGCUCGCGUAGCCCGGCUUUGCUACCUGGCGCAGAGAGCGCUGACUAGGAGCUCUCAAGGUCCCCUAAAAAAAAAGGAACUCUCAAGGUUUUGCAUGCAAAAAAAUGUACUGCGCAACUUGAUCUAGAGCCUGUAUCUUCCGGCUCCACUGGGUCCUGUUUAAGAAAACGUGAAAAGUGACUCGGCAACUAAACAGGUCAUUUAUGCCUAAAAAAACAAAAAACUAAACAUGCCAUUUGUCAAAAGAAAAAAAAAACUAAACAGGUUAUAAGUUGUUGUAGUCUGCAUGUAGUAUUUGCGUGGAGAGUAAAACUGCGGUUGGCGUGUGGUAGAAAGCGGUAGAGAAGCAUUGAAAAGAGCUGACAAUCCUGUUCCCUCUGUCCAUGUGAUGUGUCCACCGUUACCGAAAUGUACAGCACUGUUGCUGGCAACACUAUCUUCGUGAUGGGAGGCUGUUGCACGACUUGGUACGGACGUUGGGCCGUGUUGAUGUCUUGUGUAUCUAAUGUCGAUCGCUAUGUAGUAGGAGCGCAAUUUUUUUUAACAUCAGUACAGACACAAGCGCUUAUAUACACAUGCAUACAUUCACCCCUAUGAACGCACAUACACACACCCUAUCCCUAUGAGCACCUCCGAAAGACUGAGCCAGUAUAUCAUCUUGAAAUUUACGAAGUCAUCGUAGGCACCUCGUCGUCGACGGAAACGUCUCCUCCCACUGAAUGCCAUCGCCGGAAAUUCGGAAAUAAAUCCAAAAAUAAAUGCGAGCACCAGGAUUUGAACCCUGGUGGGCUGGGGAUACCACGGUCCCUCUAACCAUCCAACCACAGGUUGGUUCGCAGUAGGAGCGCAAUUGGAUUGUAUCCGGACCGAUAAAUUUGACACCAUAUUCUUUUUUUUGCGGGAGAUAAUUUUUGAUGCCAUAUCUUAUUCCAGAUUUAUUUUCGGUUUUUGAAUCUAGACGGAUGCGGAUUUGAAUACAAGAUUAUUUGUCAUUUGCCUCUUGUUUUUCUCUUCACCACUUCACAAAAAUUUAUCGUUUUAUUCGCCCUCUUAUUCGUUCGCCGUUUUCUCGCCAGAUCUGUUUUUGAGUGCAAUCUUGUUUGCGUAGUCAUGAUGCCUCAACGAAUAUUAUGAUGUUCCUUACCCCAAUAUUUUGCUUGAAAUUGAGAAAAGUACUAAGGAAUAUAUGACUACACAAUUUGAGCACAAUAAAUAUUUUACCGAAGAACUUAAGGAACGCUCUGUUGUGCUGGAAGCUAUAACUAAGCAAGUUGAUUAUAUUAGUAGAGAAGUUUGCAAUCUCCAAUUUAAAUAUGCUUUUGCCAAAAGUUUGCUAGGUAAAAUAUCCGAUGCACAAGCUACCCUAGUAAAUCAAAUGGCCGCUAAACCAAUCUCGUUAGAAGAUAAAAAUCUUAAAAUGAUUGGUGUUUUCUCUAUUGAUUCUUUGUUUAGUAAAAUUAAGAUUGAUAAUAAAGAAACUUAAGAAGAGUCAACUUUAGCUAGAAGGUGUCCCGAUAAUUCUGAGGGUGAAAAUUUUGUUGAGAAAAUUGAUAAAAGUGGGUUUGAAGAGGUCAAAACUGUAACUAGUGAUGUGCCCAUUCUUUUGGAUUACAAAGACUUUAAUUAUGAUAGUUGCUCUUUGAUUGAUUGUAUUUCUUUGUUGCAAUCCAUGAUAAAUUCUCCCCAUGCCUACGAACAAAUUAAAGCUUUUACUAAGCAUAUUGUCGAUGCUAUGAUGAAAGCUUAGAAAAAAAGUUGGAAUUAGAGGUUUCAAUUCCUAGAAAAUUAUAUGAUGAAUGGGAACCUACUAUCGUCAAGAUCAAAGAUUAUGAGUGUUUUGCUUUAUGUGACUUGGGUGCUAGUGUUUCUACAAUUCUAAAAUCUCUAUGUGAUGUGCUUUGUCUUACCGAUAUUGAAGAAUGUUCUUUAAAUUUGUACUUGGCGGGUUCCACUAUUAAAAGCCUAUGUAAAGAAUUAAUGAUGUUCUUAUUCUUGCAAAUAGGAAUUAUGUGCCCAUAGAUUUUAUUCUUCUUGAUAUUGAUUGCAAUCCAUCUUGUCCAAUUAUUCUUGAUAGACCGUUUUUACGUACUAUUAGUGCCGUGAUUGAUUUGAAAGAAGGCAAUAUCAAAUUUCAAUUUCCACUAAGGAAGGGUAUGGAACACUUCCCUAGAACUAGAAUUAUACCACCAUAUGAAUCAAUCACGAGGGCAUCAUAUGGAUCUAGAACCAAAGAUGACAAUACUUAGAUCCUUGCAUUAUGCCUAGCUAGGGGAGUAAAAUGAUAGCGCUCGUUGGGAGGCAACCCAACUUGUAUCUUUUUGCCUUUUGGUUUUCUUGUUGUUUUCAAUCAAAUACCCAAUUAUGCCUCUGAUUAUAUGUGUUUUUGUGGUUUAAAUAAAUGUUUGUGCCAAGCAAAGCCUUUGGGAUGAUUUGGGUGAUAGUUGAUUUGAUCUUGUUGAAAAAAUAGAAACUUUUGUGCUCAGAACAAUAAUUUUCAUAAAUCACAGAAACGUGAUUUUGCUUUGAAUUUUUUACAUAAGAUUAAUAUACAAAUUUCUCAUGUUGUCCUAAUUUUUCAGAAUUUUUGGAGUUACAUAAGUAUUCAAAGUUUUUAGAUUGCUACAGACGGUUCUGUUUUUGACAGAUUCUAUUUUUUUUGUGUUGUGUGCUUGUUUUGAUGAUUCUAUGUUUUUUCUUUGAAGAGUUUUUGCCAUAGAAAAAUUGGAAUACAGUAGAUAUAAUACAAAAAUAAAAUAUGAAUGGUUUGCAACAUUACUUAUAGUAGUGAUUUGUUUUCUUAUACUAACGGAUCUCAGAAGGUUUUGUUGAGUUUUGUGUGAUUGAAGUUUUCAAGUUUUGGGUGAGAUCGCGAUGGAUGAAGGAGUAAGGAUUAGCAAAAGGCUAAGCUUGGGGAUGCCUGAGGCACCCCAAGAUAAUAUUCAAGAAGUAUCAAGUAACUAAGCUUGGGGAUUCUCCGAGUGGCAUCCCCUCUUUCUUCUAACAACCAUCGGUAUUUUACUUGGAGCUAUAUUUCUAUUCGUCUCAUAUCAUGAGUUUUGCUUGGAGCGUCUUGUAUGAUAUGAGUCUUUGCUUGUUUUAAUUUUUAUUUCAAGUCUUGAAUCCUUGCUGGACACACCUAUUUAAGAGAGCCAAAAUUAUGCCAUGACUCGUUAGAAUUGCUUUCUAUGCUUCACUUAAAUCUUUAUGAGCUAUGGAAUUGCUAUAGUGCUUCACUUAUAUCUUUUCGAGCACGGUGUGCUCUAGUAUUUUUGAAGAAAUGCUCUCAUGCUUCACUUAGAUUUAUUUGAGAGUUAGUAAUUUUUUAAGAAAGUCUUUCUUGCUUCACUUCAAUUAUUUUGAGAGAAAGAAAUAUGAUGCUCAUGUUAUUCACUUAUAUUUGUUUGAGCUUAUUAAAAGCAACAUAUGAAACUAGUCCCAAAGUGAUAGAUAUCCAAGGAGGAUAUAAUAAAAACUUUCAUGAAGAUCAUUGGACAAAAUAAACAUGAUUCCUUAUAAUAGUUUUGAGAUAUGUUGAUAGUUAUAUAUGAGUCAUGUUGAUGAGUAAUUAUGCUUUAGUAAGAAUAUUGGUGUUAAGGUUUGUGAUUUCCUAUGCAAUCACGGAAGUCAAUAGUUAUGCAGUGAAAUUACAUCCUAAUUGUGGUGCAUUAUUCAGUAUUAGUUAUGCUUAAUGCUCGCUUAUGAGAUUUUUCGUUUCUUGGUUAGAUGCUUCUCAAUCUUUUGCUAGUCUUCAUUUGCACUAAGUAUGAUCAUUACGUGUGCAUCCAAAAUCCUUUAAACCAGUUUUGCCACAUGAGUCCAUCAUACCUACCUAUAUGCAGUAUUUCCGUGCUAUUCUAAGCAAAUUUGUAUGUGCCAUAUCUAAAUGUCAAAAUAAUUUCUCCUUUUGUGUGCUCGUACCGCUCAUGAAAUGGUAGGGGGUGGCUGAUAUAUUUCCAUGCUAGAUAUGUUAUUCUCAAGAUAAGUGUUUAUUAACUUGUCAUUACACGAGAGUACGACAAAGGUAUUAGGGAUGCCCAGUCCUGGAAUGAAAAUUGAAUUUACUUUAUGUUGUCAAAUAAUAAGUUCCUUGGAAAGUGUUGGUAUGGAAGGCACCCAUGGAUACGGCUAGCCAUGGAAAAUGAAAGUAUGGUGGGAAAAGGAAUAAACUUUAUUUUCUGUUUGAGAACCGCCUAUGAUAUAUCUAGCAUGGAAAGUAUUGGGAACUACUCGAUCGUUCUUGUUGACCGGAGCAUGCCACCCAAAAUGUUUUUAUCUCUAUCUUUUUCGCUUUGAGCUCUGGCACCUCUAUAAAUCCCUACUUCCCUUUGCGAAGGGCCUUUCUUUUACUUGAUGCAAUUUUUAUUUUUUACUUGAGUCUCCAUCUUCUCUUAUAAAGCACCAACUAAGGAGCACUAUGAUCGUACUUGAGCAUUGAGUGUAGCUAAUACGCGAGUGUGUUUCAUGAAUGGAUCAAUGGCUAGAAAUAACUUGCUUUAGUGUUGAUAUUUUGAAAGACAUGGUUGCUUGUUGAUAUGCUUGCGUAUUUAAAUCUUCAUGUCAAAACUAGACUAUUGCUUUGAACCAUAUAAAAGUCUAAAUGUCCAUCUUACAAAGAAAAGAAUAUGUGAUGAACAUGUUAGGCAACAUUCCACAUCAAAAAUUCUGUUUUUAUCAUUUACCUACUCGAGGACGAGCAGGAAUUAAGCUUGGAGAUGCUGAUACGUCUCCAACGUAUCUAUAAUUUUUUAUUGUUCCAGUUGUUAUAUUAUCAUUCUUGGAUGUUUUACAAUCAUUUUAUAUCAUUUUUUGGUACUAACGUAUUGACAUAGUGCUCAGUGCCAGUUGCUGUUUUCUGCUUGUUUUUUACAUCAUAGGAAAUCAAUACCAAACGGAGUUCAAACACAGCGAAACUUUUUAUGGAUUUUUAUGGACCAGAAGACACCCAAUGGGCCGGAGAAGCACCUGGGGGUGCCCCGAGAGGGGCACAACCCACCAGGGCGCGCACGCCUGGGCCCCCAGGCGCGCCCAGGUGGGUUGUGCCCAGCUCGGUGGCCUCCCGCACCGCCUCUUUUCUCUAUAAAUACCUCAAUAUUUCAGAAACCUUAGGGGAGUCGACGAAAGUCAGUUCCAGACGCGGCAAGUUCCAGAACCACCAGACCCAAUCUAGAAACCAUCACGGAGGGGUUCAUCAUCCCCAUUGGUGCCUCUCCGAUGAUGCGUGAUUAGUUCACUGUAGACCUACGGGUCCGUAGUUAGUAGCUAGAUGGCUUCCCCUCUCUCUCUUUUGAUUCUCAAUACAAUGGUCUCUUGGAGAUCUAUUUGAUGUAACACUUUUUGCGGUGUGUUUGUUGGGAUCCAAUGAACUUUGAGUUCAUGAUCAGAUCUAUGUUUUUAUCCAUGGAAGCUAUUUGAGUCUCUUGAUCUCUUAUAUGCAUGAUUACUUAUAGCCUCGUAUUUCUUCUCCGAUAUUUGGGUUUUGUUUGGCCAAUUUGAUAUAUUUAUCUUGGAAUGAGAAGAGGUGCUUUGUGAUGGUUUCGAUCUUACGGUGUUUGAUCCCAGUGAAAGAAGGGGAACUGACACGUAUGUAUCGUUGCUAUUAAGGAUAACAACAUGGGGUCUACUUCUACAUAAAUAGAUCUUGUCUACAUCAUGUUAUCGUUCUUAUUGCAUUACUCUGUUUCUCCAUGAACUUAAUACACGAGAUGCAUGCUGGAUAGCGGUCGAUGUGUGAAGUAAUAGUAGUAGAUGCAGACAGGAGUUGAUCUACUAAUCUUGGACGUGAUGCCUAUAUAAUGAUCAUUGCCUGGAUAUAGUCAUGAUUAUUUGAAGUUCUAUCAAUUGGUCAACAGUAAUUCGUUUACCCACCGUUUGCUAUUUUUGUCAAGAGAAGCCACUAGUGAAAUCUACGGCCCCUGGGUCUCUUCUUCAUUAUAUUUGCCUUGACGAUCUAUUUUUAUUUGCUUUUAUUUUCAGAUCUAUUAAUCCAAAAACCCAAAAAUAUCUUGCUGAAUUUUAUUUGCGUUUAUUUGCAUCUAUCAAUCUACUACAAUUUUUAUCCCGCCUACUUGCCAAUUUCUGGCACCGUUGCUCGAAAAGGAUUGACAACCCCCUUAAUACGUCGGGUUGUGAGUAUUUGUUAUUUGUGUGCAGGUGCCGUUCACGUAGUGUUGCGUGGUUCUCCUAUUGGUUCGAUAACCUUGGUCUCAUUACGGAGGGAAAUACCUACCGUAGUUGUGUUGCAUCAUCCCUUCCUUUUCGGGGAAAUACCGACGUAGUUCAAGCCGCAUCAUCCACCUGUCCGAGUUGUCCGACAACCCUCAUACCCAGCUCAUAUAUGGAUUAGAUUUGGGGCUGCCCAGACGCGCCUACCAUGUUGGAUCCGACAGGUCGGUCCCACCAAGAUGGAGAUGUAGUUGCAUAUUGCCCACGUCGUCAAUAAUCACAAGACCAAGAUGGAUGCAACUCGGUUGAAGAAGUGAAAAAUCAAGAGGUUUGUCGUCGAGAAGGAGAUUUGCCUCUAAUAUGCAUUUGGAGCUAUUAUUAUCUUAGUCAUGGCUAGCAAAAAAAGCCCGUACGUUGCAACAAGAGAGAAAAAAUGCAUGCGCCCUCCUACGAGGCUUGAUAAUGAGACUCUCCUUUCUCAAUGGAAGACUCAUUCAUGGUGAAUGGAAAAGUGUUUUCCGAGGUGGAUCCACGAUGUUCAAAUCAUAGCAUGUUUAUAAACACAAAAAAUAACUUAUUCUAGAUUUAUUUUGUAUUUUUUGACUUAGAAUUAUACAAAAUACAGCAAUGCACCUGUAAAUAUCUGAAUACAUAUCAAUAUAUCACAUUCGAGCUAAAAAAGGACCAUUGUUGAGAAAAAUGUUUGGAAAUUUCAAAAACUAAUGAUACUCAUGCGUGCUUCCAUAUUUGACAUAGAUGGUCGAAUCUACCACACACAAAUUCAUUUAUCAGUUAUCACUUACUUACGAUGUUUAUAGGCUGUAAACAUUUUUGCAUGUACCAAACUCAAAAUCUAUUUCAACAUGACAAAUGUUACAGUUGACUCUGAACGAAUAUCAUAACACUAGUGGCGAAGCUACCAGCAGAAAGCUGGGCGGACCAGGUUACUAAACAUGGCUGUAAACUUGAAUUGCUGCCUGCUGAGUAGUCUUAUUUGUCCGUGGACUUAGGUAUAAUUCUUGUUUUUUUAGAAAAGCUGGGCGGGCCACGGCCAUGUUUGGCCCCGACGUAGCUCCGCCGGUGAUAACACCUAUUAGGGCAUCUCCAACGACGACCCGUAAAUUUUCUCCACAACGACUUCGGCUUCAACUGGGCUUCGCGGUUGCUGGACUAGAAGAAGAGAAACACGACGGAAACAAAAUCAGACUCGAACGCAAUCUAACAAACUGGAAGGAAAAGACUUCCACAAACAUACCAAAAACAGAAGUCACAUGCCUAUUGGUUAAUUGUCACACAUGAGUCCGUGCCACCAACACUAGCAAGCUGCAUAGCAAGCUCACACCAAGUCCAGCAGAAACAGAAAUGCUCCAAUCCAAUCCAAUCCAAUCCAAGCACAGUUAAUCCCACCUGCGCAACUUGUCGGCUAUCUCUGUCCAAGAGCCCCCGCGUCGCUCUCCCAGGAGCGGCACGGGCGGAACUGAGCGCCUCGGCCACCGGCCACCUCCCCCCCCCCUCCCACCCCCUCGCCGCGCCGCCGCCACAGGGCGCCGCCGGGCAAAGCCCGCACGGCGUCGGCGGCGGCGGGGCCGUCUUCCCACGCACGUGCCUCGGCAGAUCCCGGAUGGAUCUCGAGCAGCGGCGGCCGAUGCGCGCAUGCGGCGGUGCUUGGCUGGGGGCCGCGGUGGCCUUCCCUCGCGCGCCGGUGUCUCCAUCGACGCCGCUGGAGGCUGGCUGCUGCUGCUGGGGGCGGUGGGCGGUGCUCGCGGUGGGCGGAAGCCGGGGCGGCGGCCUCGGAGCUUGGGCGUCUGCUGGGCGACGCAGCGGGGCUGGCUACGAACAGUUGCGCGGUGAAUCAAGGGAUUCGGUGCUCUGUUCCGGAGUUGGCAGAGGAUGCGCCUUGGUCAGGCGCGGGCGGCGGCUUGGCCGCGAGGGGCGUGGCUCGUGUGUGUUUGCGUUGUGCGGAUCUGUGGUGGCGAGGACGCCAAUGGUGGAGCUGGCGUCGAUCUGGCGUCGCGAGGAUCCUGGGAUGAAGCUGCUGCAGAUCUGUGGAGGUGCACAGCAUGGGCGCGCGGAGGGCCCGGGCAGCGCCGUCGGCGUGGCUCGGAGGCCCGUGGUGCGUGGAGGUUCGGGCGUGGCGGAUCCGGUCUCCAGCGGAUGCGACGGUGUGCGUGGUGCCCGCCUGGUCGGCGUGCUCCUGCUGCUUCGAUGGGCGGUCAGUGCGGAUUUGAGGCGAGGCAAGGAUGCCGGGGCGGCGGCCCCGGAGCGAUGGCUGCAUCGGCAUGGGCUGCUGCGGCGGCUGGGGACGGUGGAUUUGGGGCGAUGCUCGCGGAUCUGACCCCGGCAAACGCGGCGUCUCUCUGUCGCAUGAGGUGCUGCAGCGGGUCGUCGCGGGGGGCUUUGGCGGCUGACGACGGGAGGUGAUCUUCACAGCAGGCUUGGCUCCGGUGGUCUGGGUAUCCAUGGUGCCCAGAUUUGCAGGCUCACUGUUAGGAGAUGAGGGACUUGGGCGAAAGCUUUUGACGAUGUCGGCGCCUGCGGGUGUCGUGACCUUCUUGGAGGCGUCGUCGUAGAGUUUCUUCCUCUUCUUCCAUGUGCUUGGACUCUCCGGGUGAGAACCUAAACUUCAGUUUUUUGGAGUGGGCGGCGGCGGCGUUUUACGUCGUAACCUUCUUGGAGGCGUCGCUUUGGAGGGUCAGCUUUUGGAUGUUGUGCGGGCUCUUCCGUUUUCAUGGGUGAUGUAUGCCGGGGCGGCGGCUCCGGGAUCUUUAGUUGAGAGCCGAGGCGGCGGCCUCGGGCAGCGGUGCGACGGUGGCCCCAGGAGGUAGGGCUGUUUGUCGGCAUGGCUUGGGUGAGGACCUUGAGCUGCAUGGGCGGCAAGGUUGUCGGCUCGGUCGACGCGUCCCAGCGAGGGCGGUUGGACGGCAUGUCGGGGCGGCGGCCCCGGAUGUGGUGCGGCGUUCGUGGUCUGCGUGCGGUUGUCCUGAGCAGUGCGGGCUGCGGACUGCUGUAUCGUGCGGCGUUGUUGCUCGAGGGUGAGCGGUGGCAUGUUGGGGCGGCGGCCCUAGAUGUGGUGCGGCGUUCGUGGUCUGCAUGCGGUUGUCCUGAGCAGUGUGGGCUGCGGGCUGCUGUAUCGUGCGACGUUGCUGCUCGAGAGUGAGCGGUGGCAUGGUGGCAUGUCGGGGCGGCGGCCCCGGAAGGCGGUGUUGGUUGAGUGCGUAGGGCGCAAUGGAGCAGUGGAUAUCGAGGCGGCGGCCUCAGGAGAUUUGCAGCUUUAAGGGCAUGGACCUCGUGUCUUGUGGGCGACGUGGUUGUCAUCGGAGUUGGUCGUGGGUGGGCUUUGCCCUGUGUGUUAGUCUUUGGGGUGUGCUUGGCUCUUGUUGUUCCGGUUUUCGCCCGGUUUUUCGUAAUUAACUGGACAAUUCUCUUCUACUUAAUUAAUAGAUGAGGUAAUCUUUGCCUCUGUUUCAAAAAAAACCCCACCUGCGCAUCUCUCUCCAGGCCUCAUUGAAGGCGGGCCGCCGGCAACGCAUGCAAUAUGCCAUGCCGUGCCUGCCGGCCGAUCUGUGGGAGCCGUCCAUUGCUCCAUGAUCAAUUGCAUGCGCGCGCCCACAAGCAGUGCGUUACUACGUCUUGCAGAUCCUCACCGUUGUGAUGCCAUCAAUGGCCUUCAUCGAUCCUACUGCAAGUACUACGCCGUUUAUUUGAGCAACCUAACCAUCGCUGUUGAUGUAGGGCACAUGCAUUGCAUUCUCUCCUCACUCUUUCGGCAGUAAUUAAGUGGAGAGCACAGUGCGGAGGACGCCUGCUCAUAUGAUAUGGUGCAGUAGCAGUACCGGACCUACAUCUUUGUCUUUGAUGGGACGGACGUGUGCCGCGGAUCUAGCGAUAGGUUGGUGGACUAUCUUCUUCUGCCUCGGUCGUACGUAGAUCAACAAGAUUCAAGAGGGCCAACUAAUACAGCCUUACAAAUCCAAAUUAGCUGGAUGUCAGUUGCCUGAAUCUGAAAUUUUAGGUCAUUUAAUUUUUUGGGGAAGGAAGCAGCAGCUGCUGGGUGCACUGAAGCUCAGGGAUGCCAGCAAGGCCUCGGCAGUCGGUGGCAGCCGACGGAGGCAAGUAUGAAACUUGACGGUUCGAGGGUGGGGGUGUAGGGCUCGCCCAAAAAUUCUGGUGCUUCACCGAUUUAGAGAGAUGGCAGGGGAGGUGUUUGUGUGUGUAAAUUUCAGGGUUGUAAAUUUCAAGGGGUGUGCUACGCGACGGCCGGCUAAUAUUUUUCAAAUGUCGACAGGGUCGCGUACCGUCUAAUCAGGAGAUGCUCGCCAUAUGAUCGUAUUCGUGAGUUCCUCUUCUCUAUUUUGCUCAUUGCAACAAGACCCAUGUUGCUAUUGCAACGGCGGCCUUGUUGCAAAAAGCAUCUCGACUCAUGGCCGCCAACGUUGCCAUUGCAACAAGAUCCUCGCCGCAAUUGUAACAGGACCCUUAUUGAGUGGUGUUUGCCACCAUUGCAACAAGAUUCUUGUUGCAGUUGCAAUAGGUCCCUUACCGCAAAAGCAUCUCCUGCCAUGUCCGAGUCCAUCAUGUAUUGUGGUCGCAACACCGACAACAUCGCCGGAGUAGCGUGCGGCUUAUUGCCGCCUCUUCUGCGGAUCGCUGCAUGCUGCUGCUACUGCUUGCUGCUUGCUGUUGAGAAGGGAGAGAGAUGGAGCAGAAGAUGAAGGAAAGAUACGGAGGAUCGAAAGGUGCCGCCAUCCUGUGGAGACUGCUCUGGCUCUGUCAGGUCAAGGCGCUUGAGAGGUGGCGACUCCAUGGCCACAAUUUCAAGGCCCCAACCUCCUCAAUGCCUCUCAGGCGUGCUGCUGCUGCUUGCUCCUCGCGUGAGUAUGGAUAGAUAAUAAAGGAAAAGCGAAACGUUUUAGCUAUACGUCAGUCAGCUGAAAUUUUCACUUUGGGUCAGUCAAUUUUGUGACCAUUUGAUUCUGCUUUGAGAUGUGUGCUGUUUUUUUUUUCAGUGUAAUUUUGGUGGUGAGUUGGAUUCUGUGGAAUCGAUUGACCCCUAUUUUGGGUCAGUCGAAUUGCUUCUUGGGCUCUUUUUAGCUCUUCUGGGUUGCAUUUUUCCUUUUUGUUUUUUUUCUUUAUUGUUAUUUUUGUUUUUGUGGAUUUUUGGCUGAGUGUAAUUAUAUGAUGAUAUGAUUAUUUUUAUGAUAAAGUGCAAUCUGGGUGCAAAGUUGUGCGUAAGUUUUUUUUUCAAAUCUCCCCUCUCAAAAGAAAUACCAACGCCACUAGUUCAUUCUUUUUCAGAAAACAUCAUUAUUUUGAUAAUGUUUUAGUGUUUACUUCAUUUUCAUUCUAAUUAAUGUUAAUACCAUUUCCACUAUUCAUUUGCUUUUUGCAAAACUUCCCCUUUUAUAUGCUUAUUCUUGCAUAUUUUUAAAAAGCGCAAUUUUAAUGUUAUUUCGUGCAAAUUUUGUCAGUGUUUAUUCUAGAUUAUUUUUCCCCUUUUCUUUGUUCUUAAAUUGUAAUACAAUGCAACUAAUUCAUUCUUCCUUAGGAAAUUUAAUUCUUUCUUUUGUUGGUGUUUUAUUUUUGUUUUCUAUUUCCAUGUGUUUUUAUUUUACCCUUUUUCUGCCCUUUAUUGAUUUUUUUGUGGGUUUUUGGCUGAGUGUAAUUAUAUACAAACAAAUACUAUAUAAUAUGUGCCAAAAUUUCAUGAUUAUAUGAUUAUUUUUUCAUAUUACGAUUAAGUGCAAUUUCGGUGCACAGUCAUGCGCAAGUUUACAUGUGCGCCCCAGCCCUCUCUCCCUUUGUUUUUUUCUGCCCUUAUUUGUGUUUUCUUGUUAUUAUUCUUCUUUUUAUUAGUUGUAUUUUUGUGUGUGGUUGUUUUUGGAUGCUGGAUGAAUGUAAAAUAUAUGCGUACAAAUACUAUAAAAUGUAUGAAAGAAUUGUACUAUUAUAUGAGUAUAUUUUGCAUAAUACAGAAAAGUGAAAUUUUAGUGCAAUUGUGUGCAACUUUUCUUUUCUUUCUUCCAAAGUGUAAUAGAAGUGCCACUAAUUCAUUGUUUCACAUAAAACUUCAUUAUUUUAAUUUUGUUUUAGUUAUCAUUAUAUUCUCCUUUCCUCUUUAUGCAAUACCGACGCCACUAACUCAUCCCUUCUUAGGAUUAUUUUUUUGCGAAAACUUCGCUAUUAUAUGCUUAUUCUUGCAUAUAUUUUAAAAGUACAAUUUUUGUGUAUAUUGUGUGCAAUUUGUUUUCAUUUUUUUAGUUUUUAGUUCAUUUUAUUUCUUAUUAAAGGGUAACACCAAUGUCACUAACUUAUUCUUCCUUCGAAAAUAUCAUUGUUUUGAUUUUAUUUUUUAUUUUCUUUCUUCUUAAUGGGUAAUACCAAAACCACUAAUUCAUUCUUUCAUAGAAAAGUUCAUAUUUUGAUUUUCUUUAAGUUUUUGUUUGAUUAAUUCGAUCCUUCUUAGGAAAUUUCAUUUUAUGAAAUACUAUUAUAGGUUUAUUCUUGCAUAUUAUAAAAAACACAAUUUCUAUGUAAAAUGUGUGCAAAUUUUGCCAUGAUUUAUUUAUUUUUCAUUUUGGUUUUCUUUAUAUAUUUUCAUUUCUCUUUAACUACACAAAUGCAUGGGAUAUGUGUAGUGAUACGAUAGCCCCUAGCUAGCAUUUUUUUUACUUGGAAGCCCCUAGCUAGCUUGUACUGUUUGUGUCUAUACAUGCAUGGCGGCAUGCUGGCUCGCUUCCGCUUUGCGUGAGGCAGCGAGCCGUUCCCUUCAACCUUGCACGCUCGUCCUUUCCGUCAGCGUAGUGCACAGGGCCGGGUGAAGCGCGUUGUGUGUUGCUACUCACGCGCACAUGCACGAAUGGUGAUACCAACGUCACAUGACAGAAAUCGACUGACGGAAAAUUUAAUUUCAGUCCAGUCAGCUGACCCUUAGCCGGUCCCAAAGCGAAAAUGAGAGGACGCGUGGCAGGAAAAGAAGGAGGUAGACGCAAACGUGGGAUCCGGCCGGGUGAUCCCAAGCGUUUCUAAAAUUUCAAUUGCAGUAUCGAAAGUGUCCAGUUUUAGCACAACAUAACUAGCUGAAAUUAUAUGUAGCAAGGUUGAGACGGCCACUGAAUGUUUGCUUAAAUAAAGACGUUGUACGUGACUGGAAUGAAAAUACAUCAGCGUAAUCUGGUCAUCGAUCGAUCGAAACAUGACUAUGCAACCACUUAGAUAAGAUAGAUCACGGUGGAAACAGCACAAUUUAUUCUUCGGCCGAUGGAUCGACGGCGACGUACGUACGGUAUGGGUGUCUCACAGCUUCUUCUGCUCCUCUUGCUGCUGCUGCUGCUGCUGGUGCUGCUCGGGCUGGGGUUGGUAGUUCUGCCUGCGCGGGGUGGGCACCGGCAAUGCCGCGGGGUAGCGGUGCGCGCAGCCGUUCCAGGGGUUGUCGGCGUCGGGGCCGGAGUCGCGGAGCGCGCGCCAGACGACGCUGCAGGCCUUGAAGCCGGUGCCGAAGGCGAGCAUCCAGAGGCGGUCGCCGGCGCGGACGCGGCGCUUGGCCUCGAAGUAGGCCAGCUCGUAGAAGACGAGGCUGCUGGAGGUGUUGCCGAAGCGGUGCAGCGUCGCGCGCGCGGGCUCCACCACCGCCGGCGCGAACCCCAACAGCUUCGCCACCGUGUCGAUCACCGCCUUGCCGCCGGAGUGGAUGCACAUGUGCUCGAACGCGCGCUGGAAGUCCGGCACCAGCGCCGCCGCCGCCUUGGGGUUGCCGCCGCUGUACGCCCACGCCACCCGGUACACGUACCUGCAUGCCCAACGACCACGUGCCCGCGCGUCCGGUGAGACCGACCAUGUACCCAAAGAAGUAAAUGUUUGAAGCUUUGCACCAUGCCGGAUCGAUCUUGGUGAAAUUCAUGUAGAUGCUCCGUAGUAAACAGACAUUAAACAACGAUCAUACAGUGUCAACAAGAAUGGGAAAAAAAAAUGACCGUGCAUCCAUUGAAGGCUAGGCUAGAGACACAGAGUGAUCACGUACGAUUCCAUUAAGUUUUGCUGCUGCUUCUCUGAAGAUGCAUGUGGGGUGUGGGUGUGCUACGCUCGCUAUUGAAAACCUCAAGUACGUACUAGCAAGUAUACGAUCGACAUUAAUUAAGUUUGAAGCUACCGCCUCAUAUGCUGAAACCAAAAGUCAAGUCCACAUCUAUACGUGUGUGCAGAAUACCGCAGUAGUACUGUCUGUGCAAUUCAGGAAAUGGAAAGCAUCGUCCCAAAGCUCGGAAACUAAAUUUAGGUCAUAGCGCCAAAAUCAGCAAGGAAAUUAAAACCCUAAAAAUUCAAGUUUAGGCCAUUUCUUCAUUCGACAAACGCCAACUAAGCAUUAUAGGUUCGAAAUCAGUUCUUACUAAUAGACCGAGAAAAUGAGAUAUCUUCUGCUUGUUUCUCUAUCUUGUUUGAUCCGAAUCUUUUUUUCCUUUUGCACAAUAUAACGACAUAACAACUAAUUACCCAAGCGUCGCAAUAGGGACAUUUAUAUUCUAGUGGUUCAACAUCUAUCAUGUCCGACAUAAAUCUUACACCCAUCAUAUUGAUAAGAUUUGAUUUGAGUAUGGGUUGUUGAGGCAAAGGAAAGUUUUAUUUUAGGUGAGGUUUUAGUAAGAUUUGAUUAGAUUUGGGUAUGAGUGGGGAAGGCAAGAUUUUUUUUUUUUUGAUUUAUUUGAGGUUUUGAUAAAAUUUGAUUUAAUUUGAUUGAGUUAAUGCAGGACGUGGGGAGGGGAUAGAGGGGGAGUUGGAUGUACCAACGUACAAUUUCCAACUCACCUUUAGUAGUGGAGAUGUUUUAUCCAUGGUUAUGUACAUCCAUCAAUGCACAUGCCAGUGACAUCCCUUUUCGAAAAAAAAGAAGAGGUCCCAGUUUCUUUAUGAGGAUCUCUAAGCUAGAUGCCUAGAGGACAUUAUGGCAAUGUUUUUAUUUUUUGCCCUAGCAACCGCAUCCAUGAUUGAAAAAGUAACCCGACUAUAUGGUCCCAUGAUUUAUCUUCUUAAGUUGCCCAUGUUCUUUUGUUGCACAAUGUUUCAACAUGUAGUAGUAAUUCGUUCCAAGAUGUAGACUCUAGCAACUAAUUAAAGUGUAAAAUGUCAUUGUCAUAGUCCUUAGUGAUUCUACAACUUAAGUAGAUCCACCCGCAAAAAAAUACACCUUAAGAAGAUCAAUGGAUACAAUGGAUACUAAGGUUAUAGGCUCAACUCUUAAUGGAUAAGUGAGGGUGUAAAUAGAAGCAACAUCAGCAAAAAUGCAAUGAGAGUGUUUAAAACAACCUACAUUUUGGUUAACCUUGAAAACCCUAGUUGUGGGUGUGAGUAUAAGCCAUGAUGNNNNNNNNNNNNNNNNNNNNNNNNNNNNNNNNNNNNNNNNNNNNNNNNNNNNNNNNNNNNNNNNNNNNNNNNNNNNNNNNNNNNNNNNNNNNNNNNNNNNNNNNNNNNNNNNNNNNNNNNNNNNNNNNNNNNNNNNNNNNNNNNNNNNNNNNNNNNNNNNNNNNNNNNNNNNNNNNNNNNNNNNNNNNNNNNNNNNNNNNNNNCCCUGAAUUUUGGCCGCAUACUGUUUGUCGAUGCUCAUUCGGUCAUUUCUCACUAGGUCGAUACGUCCAAUAAUUUUAUGUUGCACAAAAAUAAUGAGCGCAACUUUAGAUCUAGAAAUGUGAAACUGCCAAGAAUGUACUUUUGCAAACGAAAAAUUACAAAGUUUCAAUAAUAUGCAACCAUCAAGUUAAGUUUGAUAUAAAAAUAUGGUAAGUCACGUACUACCUCUGUAACUGAAUAAAAGACGUUUUUAAACUGCAAGAACGUCUUAUAUUUAGUUACAGAUGUAUUAGGGAAACUGCCGAGCUCAUAUUGAAUUUGUUCAAAAGAAAAAAGAGCUCAUAUUGCUGGACUUUUUUAUUGAUAAGAUGAGCCGUAUGCAUCUUUCUGAUGCAGAGGCGGGGUAAACCCCUUUUCAAAAAAAAAUGAACAAUGAUUUUUUUCUUUCUUCUAAAAAGAGCAUAUGCAUUAGAUCAUGGGUGGAUUUUAUUUCAAGGCAGGUAGAAAUUAAUACUGACGUAGGAGCAUUGCUGUGUUUAGGUGAAAAGUUGUUUAUAAAGUGGCAGUGUUGCAGCGAUACCAGACUAGUAGUAAAGUUUUACUGGCCCCUGGAAAAAUAUGGACGGUGCAGUAGAUAUGUUAAAUGCGCGCGCAGAGGUGGGAAGCGUCGCGACGUGGUAGCACGUACGGUACCUGAGCAGCUCGGAGACAGGGAGCACGUAGGGCGCGAGGGUGGCGAUGUGGCUGCGAAGGCCGGCGCCGGCGACGCGCACCAGGUCCUUGGUGAGCGCCACGCCCACGCCGCCGUCCUCGUCCUCCAUCUGCACGGCGGCGUUGUACGCCGCGUCGUCGGCGCCAUGGUGCGUCCGCAGCGUGCGCAGCAGCUCGUACUUGGCGUCGGCCCGGCGCGCGGGCACGUCGGUGAUGAGCGCCGCCGCGCUGCCCACGCGGAAGAUGCAGUUGGUCACCAGCAUGUGCUUGUUGUUGCCGAAGUACCAGUUGAGGCUGGUGUUCUCCGUCACCACCACCAGCGCGUACCCCGGGCGGCACUGCACGCGCAGCAGCCGCGCCGCCAUGUCGAUGCCCACCGUGCCGGCGCUGCACCCCAUCCCGGCGAAGCUGUAGACCUUGACGUCGUCCUUCAUCUUGAAGCGGCGCACGAUCAUGGACGCCAGCGACGGCUGGGGGGAGAACAUGGAGCAGGCGACGAUGAGGACGCUGACGUCGCGCGGGGAGACGUCGGACUUGGCCAGCAGCUGGGACACCACGGUGAAGAGGCCUUCCUCGGCCUCCUGGAUGGCGAACGCCAGCGUCUUCUCGAACUUGCCGGAGAAGAUGAAGGGCGGCGCGAAGGUCUCCUGCCCGAGCCCGGACUUGCGGAAGAUGAGCCGCAUGAAGUCGGCGGUCUCGUCGGUGUAGCGCUUGGAGCGGAGGCCGAAGUACUCGCACACCUCCAGGUUGCACUGCCGGUCCGCGUCCGGAAGGUGGCAGCUGUAGUUGAGCAGGUACACCGGCCGCUGCCGCCGAAGAACGCGCCGGAAGACGGUGACUACGAAGGCGAGCGCCGAGGCCACGAGCGGCACGAGUGUGUGGAGUGGGAGGGAGCGGAGCGACGACACGGCCGCGGCCAUGGACGACGACAUGGCCGAGAGCUAGAGGCGCGGCGCGUGGUAGGGACUAGGAAAGGACUGUGCUGGCAGGCUUUGGGUUUUGGAGUGAAACAACACCUCUUGUAUUUAUAGGCAACAAGCCAAAACCCAUACUAGCAUGGCAAGUGUAGUGUACUAGCGUAGACGCAUAUAUAUACUUGGUGUAUCAGACCAUAUAUAUAUGCAACUAGAAUACAAUCUGGAUUUUAGGCGAAUAGUCAAUAUAAAAUGAAAAAAAAUAUUAAACAAAUAUACCUUGGUUCUCUCUUAGGACAUCUUCAAAGCGGACCAUAGACGUGUUUUGUCAUCCGGUGUGGGUCUGUAUUGGACUCCACUGACCAGUUCGGAUGUGUUUUUUCCCGCAAUUUGAAGGCAAACUUGGGGGAUGGGGAAGGGCUUUGCGGUAGUCCAGACAGCAGCCACGUAGGACUCCGACACCCCCGGCCCAUUCAAAUGUCUCUUUCUAUCCCAUUCUCUUCCACUCCACCCCUGCCCCCCCUUUUUUUUUGCUUUGCAACUGCGUCCUCCUCCUCUGAUGCUGCCGUUGUACCUCUUCAGUAGCCAUCCAGGCAUUGUCGGACAUCCGCAACUACCACCCCCGCGCUCGCUCGCCUUGUACUACAUCGUAGUCUACCCAGGAUCCGUCCGCAACCAAGGACCCUCCNNNNNNNNNNNNNNNNNNNNNNNNNNNNNNNNNNNNNNNNNNNNNNNNNNNNNNNNNNNNNNNNNNNNNNNNNNNNNNNNNNNNNNNNNNNNNNNNNNNNNNNNNNNNNNNNNNNNNNNNNNNNNNNNNNNNNNNNNNNNNNNNNNNNNNNNNNNNNNNNNNNNNNNNNNNNNNNNNNNNNNNNNNNNNNNNNNNNNNNNNNNNNNNNNNNNNNNNNNNNNNNNNNNNNNNNNNNNNNNNNNNNNNNNNNNNNNNNNNNNNNNNNNNNNNNNNNNNNNNNNNNNNNNNNNNNNNNNNNNNNNNNNNNNNNNNNNNNNNNNNNNNNNNNNNNNNNNNNNNNNNNNNNNNNNNNNNNNNNNNNNNNNNNNNNNNNNNNNNNNNCCCCCUGCCGACGAUGUCCAUGCCAGACACCACGCCCAGCAGGUGUUCGGAUGAAAUGCUAGUGAGCUUAUUUUCGAACGUCAUGUCAUUCUUUUAGAGUAUGAAGGAUGGCAGGGUACUCGACCAUGAAGGAUGAGUUGUUGUGCAAUGCAUGGUUGGCCAUGUUCGUGGAUUUCGUAGGCAGGAGCAGAAGGGGGCUCUUCUGGCAGCUCUUGCAUGAUUCGUUUCACACGUGAAAGCACAUUGCACCCUACGACAUGCACAUCAUCCACAUCCUUCUUGAAAGCGUUGCCUUGGCAUGAUCCACCUCCUUCUUGUUUGUGUACUAGCGGAAACCCUAGGUCCGCUUUGGAGAUGCCAUUUGAGUACGGGAUUAGAAGAACACUUUUCGGGUGCUGAUGCCAUUUCUUAAACAUUUGGCAUAUGUAUAAGAUACAACCUAUUGGACUAUACAUAUUGUCUUUUGAAUUAUGCAAUCUCUUAUUAGGUCUCUAAUAGUCGCUAGUAUUAUAGUGCAUGAUACCCCUUUAAUUAUCACAUUUGCAUUUCAUAGUAUAGUGGCCUAGUAUAAUUUUGCCAUCUCAAUUAUUUACUUGUUUUUGUUGAAUCUCAAUAUGAAGUGUGUACAAGAUCUUUUUGUGCUUAAAUUUUUUCGUUAUGGGGUAUGAUACUAUAUAUUAUCACCUCACUCUUCUUUAAUUAUAGUGCAACAUCAUCUCAAUAUUUACGUGGCACCACAAAAACUUUGGGAGUGGUCUUAAAGGGACAAUAAUGUAUAGUCCAUUAUAAUUCAUUAAUUGUAAGUGCAUAUAUCGUGAUUAUUCUUGAAUGAGAGCAGCCAUUGCAUAUGCAUCGGCUUUCAUCAGGAGUAGGUGCACUUCGUGCAUGCAUGCACAUGGGUGUGGGUCGACGUGGCGACUGGCAAUAGAUCCAAUCCACUAGGCAUGACCUACGUUAAUUAAGACGGCUUUUACAAGUCUUGAGAUUCAGUCAAUCAUUAUGCUCCCCCGCACCCAGAGUGUUCUUCCUUUGUGUACACUGUUUAAGUAAUCAUAGUUUUUUUUGAAAACCCCUCCCAUAUAUUAAUUAAUUAAAAAUGUUCAUACAAUCGUCUAUUACAACUUCAGCCACACAGGGCGGAACACUAUUAAGACUCACACCAUCAGACCUAUUAACAAAACUGAAUUUAGCAAUUUCAUGCGCCACCCUAUUGGCCCUUCUGUUAAACUUGGAAAUCUUGAAACUUGUCAUCAACCUGAAAAUGCUCAAUGCUUCCAUCUUCAGAUCAACUAGGGAAGACAAGUCCAAAUAAUCAUAGUUUUCUUUAAACUAAGUUAACUAGUAAACUAGAGAUUUUGAUACAAUAACUACCUUUGUCCUGAUUUAUUAGUUCCCUUGUAUUUUGGGUCAAAUUUUAAUCUUUGAUUUAACUAUAAAAACUUAGCUAUAUACCAAAGAAAUAGCAUCACUAAAACUUCUUUCAAAUAUGAAUCCAACCAGACAUACAACUAAUAUUUUGUUGGUCAAUUCUAUGGUAAAAAUUUGACACAAAAUAUGAGGGGGCCUAAUAAACCCGGAUCAAGGUAGUAACAACUAGAGAUGUUCUACGGAAAGCGUGUGCGUGGCUCCUUCCCAAGGCGACACAACCAGCGACAACACUUAGCCUCAUAAGCCUCUACCUCCUUCCUAUCGUUGUCGCGGCAGCCUCCGCCGAUGGCGGAGGGGCCUGUUUCACCUCAGUGGGCAGCUCACUUGAGAAAGGAACCUUACAACAUCGGGUGGCAAGCGGCACGUCGUCGGUCACGGGCCUUGUCUGGUGGUACGAUGGAAGCCCAUCAUUGGUUCAAGGAUCUUUGGACAAAGCUUUCUGACAUCAACCUCAACGAGAAUAUUGUGGAUGCCAUCAUUUGGAACAAUACUCUGUCGAGUACUCUACAUCUUCGGUCUACCUAGCCCAACUUCAUUACCAAUGUGACUCCCCUUUGAAGUCGUCGGUGUCAAAAUUUUCGGUCCCCUCCAAAGCAUAAUUUUUUGCAUGGCUCAUCAUUCAAGACCGAGUGUAGAAGGCGAAUCGCUUAAGCUGAGGGACUGGCCAAAUUAUGGACUUUGCCAAUUGGGCAAAGAGGGAGUCAGAGACAACGACACAUAUUUUAUUCAACUGUAGAUCAGUGGUGAAGUCAGCCUCAAAAAUCUGUGGGGUCAUUGCUAAUUUUUUGAAUUUUUUUCUUCACAAUGUACAGUGUGUGUACAACAUUUUUAGGGUGUUUUCCUUAAAAGUUCUGGGGUCAGCUGACCCCGUAGCUAACACAUAGAAACGCCAUUGAUAUAGAUACUCAAGGAGCAUCUGGAGCGAACUGGAAGAUGGCUUGGGCUAUAGCAUGUGGACUUCGACGGAUGGAAUAAUUUCAUCUCGGUCAAGGAGUGGUGGAUCUCCACGAUCAACGCCCGCGGCGGCACCAGAAAAGGCUUGGCCUCGCUUGUUAUGCUUGUAUCUUGGGAGCUUUGGUGUGAGACGAGUGCUCACAUUUUUAGGAAUGUCUCGUUGAUGCCGAGCACACGUGUUACCGUCCGAGGCCGCUCUUUUGGGUUUGGCAGGUGCAAAUCAUCUUAGAUCUUUGAUGCCGCAAGAGUAGUAUACUUAUUCAUAAACUCUCUUUUCAAUUAAUGAGACGAGUCAAAACUUUAACCUCCGUUUUGAAAAAUGUAAAUACAUACUCCCUUUUGUCUAGGUGUGUAAGUCAUCUUUCGAAAACCAAAUAAUCCUCAAACACUUAGGCAAGGUACAUUAUCUCUCUCCCCGUUUCUUGUUUCGUCACAUAUCAACCAAUAAGAGAUGUCGGCCGUGCAUGUUUUUAAUGGCUUAAAACUUUCAAACAUGACAUGCAGUGAUUAAUUCAUUGCAUGCAAUGCUAUUAACUAAAAAAUUAAGUUUUUUUGUUUUUUUCUUCGCCUUGGUCGCGAUGCACAAUCUAAGAUGACUUAUACACCUAAACGGAGGGAGUACGACGCUGCUGGUUGUUGUCUGAAAUGUAUCAAAGACGUCCAUGCGAUAGAAACAUGCAUGAUGCUAUAAUGAUGAGACCAUGCGCACUGAUUGAGACAAACCAAAUAAGAAAAUAGAGAAUCGUUGCACACAAGGUAUGCAUCAGAUCUGAUAUCAUAUGACCUUGUCUUUCCUCUCCAUCCCCUUCGUUCCAAAUAGUGUACGUACUAGAGCUAGCGGUGGUUGAUCGUUCGGCGUCUGAUGAAUAUGCACCCAUCCACAACCAGUACACGCAUUUAUAGCCGUCGCUUCUGGCUGCCAUGGCCAUGGGUGGUGGGGUGGGGGUCGUGCGGCAGCCCAUGCCUGCUGUAUGCAUGUGUGAGUGCGCGUUCUCGGAGCGCAGGCAGGCCCCGGCGCCUCGCCGGCUGGAUGUCCGUGCCUGUGCUGUGACCGGCCCGCGCGGGGCUCGAUGGGGGAGAAGACUUGCUGGUUCAGGACCUUGUUGCUCCCUGCCACGGCAACGCCCAGCUCAGGUGGGCACAAACACAGCUGCUCCACUCAACGAACAGUCAUUGGUGGUUGACACGUACCGUCCGUGAAUGCCACGUCGAAAUAUUAAUAUUUGUUCACCGUCCAUAAUUAAGUCGCUCGUAAAAACAAAUCAAAAAGAGAGAAGUACAUACUUUAUUUUUUAUUUUUUAUUCUGAGGGGAUUUUAUUUUUAUACCGAAAAAGGCUUUCGCCCCGCGUUAUAUAUAAAGCAACGAUCCACAGUAAACCGGUACAAACGUACGCCACCACAACACACGCACACACCCAAGGCAGGAUACAUAGGCGCUGAACGCAGCAACACCACCCCUAUCACUACACAAGUAAUUGGUGACUCCCCCGUGAACAUGCCACCACAAAGAGAUGAAGCCGCAUACGACGAACCAUGUACUCUAAGACGGCGCCAUCAGGAAGGUUACGAUGCCGGAGCGACGCCGCCGCCCAAUUUGAGGAUCAGAGUUUUCCCUGAAGCAACAAGACUGACAAUGAGAGCCGCGACGAUGCCUUCAAGAAGGGAACGACCUUUGCCGCCGCCGCCCGAUUUGAGGAUCAGAGUUUUCCCUGGAGCAACACGACUGGCAAUGAGAGCCGUGACGACGCCUUCAAGAAGGGAACGAGUUUCGCCGCCGCCACCCGAUUUGAGGAUUAGAGUUUUUCCUGGAGCAACACGACUGGCAAUGAAAGCCGCGACGACGCCUUCAAGAAGGGAACAAGCUUCGCCGUCGCCGGUCUGUCCGAAGACAAAACAUGUUUUCACCCCGGCUAACACUCACCGCCAUCGAAUGCCACACCCUGGCUACCACGCCGCCCAUACGGUCAUGGCCACCUGGCAGCACCAAGCCACGGGAUCUGCCCAAGAGCGUCGCGCUACCACCAUCAGGGCCGCCACCCCGGCAUCCAAGACCUUGACAUCUCCACACCCAAGACCCGCCGCUACCCCAACCAAAGAGACGAGCGGAAAGGCCCUGCCCUUCGCACCCCUGGACGGCCCCCAGCACCGAGACCCAAAAGGCCGGCCAAAAUUGGCCACCAUCGACCCGUUCUGCUGCACCGGGUGCAAGACGAGCACGGUCCUGCAGCCGGGUGCGAACCGAGCAUGGUCCAACAGCCGGGCGUGAGUCAAGCACAGUCCUGCUGCCGGGCGCGAGACGAGCUCGGUCCAACAACCGGGCACGAGACGAGCUCGGUCCUGCUGCACCAGGCGCGAGACAGGCGAUGGUCUGCAAAUGGGAGAGGGCCAGCCCUUCGACGAAAGUAGGGUCCGAGCGCUGAUACGUCUCCAACGUAUCUAUAAUUUUUGAUUGUUUCAUGCUAUUAUAUUACCCCUUUUGAAUGUUUAUGGGCUUUAUUUUACAUAUUUAUAUUAUUUUUGGGACUAACCUACUAACCGGAGGCCCAACCCGUAUUGCUGUUUUUUUGCCUAUUUCAGUAUUUCGAAGAAAAGGAAUAUCUAACAGAGUCCAAACGGAAUGAAACCUUUGGGAGCGUGAUUUUUGGAACGAACGUGAUCCAGAGGACUUGGAGUGCAAGUCAAGAAGCAGCCGAGGCGGCCACGAGACAGGAGGGCGCGCCCACCCCCUCUGGGCGCGCCCCCUAUCUCGCGGGCCCCUCGGGCAGCCACCGACGUACUUCUUCCUCCUAUAUAAGCCUACGUACCCUAAAAAUAUCCAGGGAGCCACCGAAACACAAUUCCCACCGUCGUAACCUUCUGUAUCCGCGAGAUCUCAUCUUGGAGCCUUCAUCGGCGGCUCGGCGCUCCGCUGGAGGGGGAAUCGACCACAGAGGGCUUCUACAUCAACACCAUAGCCCCUCCGAUGAGUUGUGAAUGGUUUACCACAAACCUUCGGGUCCAUAGUUAUUAGCUAGAUGGCUUCUUCUCUCUUUUUGGAUCUCAAUACAAUGUUCUCCCCCUCUCUUGUGGAGAUCUAUUCGAUGUAAACUCUUUUUGCAGUGUGUUUGUCGAGAUCCGAUGAAUUGUGGGUUUAUGAUCAAGUUUAUCUAUGAAUAAUAUUUGAAUCUUCUCUGAAUUCUUUUAUGUAUGAUUGAGUUAUCUUUGCAAGUCUCUUCAAAUUAUCAGUUUGGUUUGGCCUACUAGAUUGAUCUUUCUUGCCAUGGGAGAAGUGCUUAGCUUUGGGUUCAAUCUUGCGGUGUCCUUACCCAGUGACAGAAAGGGUUGCAAGACACGUAUUGUAUUGUUGCCAUCGAGGAUAAAAAGAUGGGGUUUAUAUCAUAUUGCAUGAGUUUAUCCCUCUACAUCAUGUCAUCUUGCUUAAUGCGUUAUUAUGUUCUUUAUGAACUUAAUACUCUAGAUGCAGGCAGGAGUCGGUCGAUGUGUGGAGUAAUAGUAGUAGAUGCAGGCAGGAGUCGGUCUACUUGUUGCGGACGUGAUGCCUAUAUACAUGAUCAUGCCUAGAUAAUCUCAUAAUUAUUCGCUUUUCUAUCAAUUGCUCGACAGUAAUUUGUUCACCCACCGUAAUACUUAUGCUAUCUUGAGAGAAGCCUCUAGUGAAACCUAUGCCCCCCGGUCUAUCUUUUAUCAUAUUUGCUUUCAAUCUACUUUUAUUUGCAUCUUUACUUUUUGCAUCUAUAUUAUAAAAUACCAAGAAUAUAUUUAUCUUAUCAUAUUAUCUCUAUCAGAUCUCACUUUCGCAAGUGGCCGUGAAGGGAUUGACAACCCUUUUAUUGCGUUGGUUGCGAGUUCUUUGUUGGUUUUGUAGGUGCGUGGGACUUUUGAGGAGCCUCCUACUGGAUUGAUACUUUGGUUCUCAAAACCUGAGGGAAAUACUUACGCUACUAUUGCUAUAUCACCCUUUCCUCUUCAAGGAAAACCAAUGCAAGCUCAAGACAUAGCAAGCGCCGAGGGGAGGGAUCGAAGGCCGAAACAGUCCACCUGCAAACGAGCCGACGCCGAUGAAGAAGCCAACCGUCGCUGCAGUCGGGACCGCUGAGGGAGUCCUGGAUAAGGGGGUAUCCGAACAGCCGGACUAUAUACUUUGGCCGGACUUUUGGAGUAUGAAGAUACAAGACAGAAGACUUUGUCCCGUGUCCGGAUGGGACUCUCCUUGGCGUGGAAGGCAAGCUUGGCGAUUCAGAUGUAUAUCUCCUCCUCUAUAAACCGACUAUGUGUAACCCUAGCCCCCCUCUGGUGUCUAUAUAAACCGGAGGGUUUAGUCCGUAGGAAACAACAACAACAACAAUCAUAUCAUAGGCUAGCUUCUAGGGUUUAGCCUCUCUGAUCUCGUGGUAGAUCAACUCUUGUAAUACUCAUAUCAUCAAGAUCAAUCAAGCAGGAAGUAGGGUUUUACCUCCAUCGAGAGGGCCCGAACCUGGGUAAACAUCGUGUCCUCAGCCUCCUGUUACCAUUAGUCUUAGACGCACAAUUCGGGACCCCCUACCCGAGAUCCGCCGGUUUUGACACCGACAUUGGUGCUUUCAUUGAGAGUUCCUCUGUGUCGUUGCUGCAAGGCUAGAUGGCUUCUCCAACCUUCAACCACGCUGCCCUGGGUGAGACUUUUCUCCUCGGACAGAUCUUCGUGUUCGGCGGCUUCGCACUGCGAGCCAACUCGCUUGGCCAUCUGGAGCAGAUCGAUAGCUACGCCCCUGGCCAUCAGGUCAGGUUUGGAAACCUAAACGACACCGCCGACAUCCGCGGAGGCUUGAUCUUCGACGGAUUCGGGCCCGUGUCAGGAGCGCCGAACAAUCACGACGAGCAUGACCUAGAUCUGCAGUCGGACAGUAUUCGGAACAUCGCACCUGCUUCAGCUCCGGACUUCGUUCCAGAGCAGGCCGUGCCUUCCGAGGACGGGUGGAUGGACCCCGCCCCGAAGGCCGCAUUCUCAUCGGCGUUGGAGCCGAACACAGACUCCUCUCCUCAGGAAAUCUGUACCUCCGGACCCCCGGACUCAUCUCCGGUAGUGUGUUUUGGACCGCGCGCAUCCGUGCCCAUCGAAUAUAAUUGGGCUCUAGUCAUGGAGUUCGCCACCGCGGAUAUCUUUCAGCACUCACCCUUUGGAGACGUGCUGAACUCAUUAUGGUCUCUUUCUCUUUGUUAAGAGACUCCUGGCCGAACUAUGUCCGGCUCGAGUGGGAAGCUGGCGACGAAGAAAUUUGUUACCCACCCACCACCCACUUAAUAGCCACGGUCGACGAUUUGACCGAUGUGCUUAACUUUGACUCCGAAGACAUCGACGGUAUAGACGACGAUGUGGGAGAAAAACAGGAACCACCGCCCACAGGGCGCUGGACUGCUACCUCUUCAUAUGAUAUAUAUGGUGGAUACUCCCAAAGAAACCAAUGGCAAUGAGGCAAUGGGAGAUAACCCCUCGGGGAGGAAAGCAAAACAUGGGCGUCAUCGGCGCCGCUCCAAACCUCGCCACAACAAUACCGACACUGGAGAAGAAAAUCCAGAUGGUGCCGAAGAGGAAUACAAUCCUGAUCAACCCACCUUCAUGCAAGCCGAACAGGAACACAGGCAGGCUAGCCUAGACGAACAGGCGACGGACGGAUACUUGGAGGAUGAUAACUAUAUGCCUCCCUCCGAAGACGAGGUGAGCCUCGGUGACGACGAAUUUGGCGUACCAGAGGAUCCCAUAAAGCAGGAGCGCUUCAAGCACGGGCUUAUAGCCACUGCAAGAAGCCUGAAAAAGAAGCAGCAGCAGCUCCAAGCGGACCAAGAUCUGCUCGCAGACAGAUGGACCGAAGUCCUGGCGGCCGAAGAAUACGGACUCGAACCCCCGAACAGGGGAUACCCAAAGCGUAAACCACUAGAAGAAGAGGCCGAAGAGCCUGAACUUCCAGCACAAGAUGAGGUUGACCGACCACCACGUGGCCGAGAUAAAAUGGCAUGUCAGGCCGGACACCAGCCCGCACCCCCAUGCCGGUUCACUAUGGCCCGGGGCAAUACGCAGGACCUGCGAGAUAUACUGGAAAACAAUGCAGGACAACCAAGAUCGAUCUACGGAUCACGAGGGUGCGCCACAUCUCAGGACACCAAUCGUCACGCUGGACACAAUACUGAUAAAUCCGGCCGGGCCGGACAUUACCGACCAGACCUAAUCGGACUACGCCGUGACAUAGCCUGGCACAAAGACGCCGCACACCCCCUCUGCUUCACUGAUGAAGUAAUGGAACAUGAGUUCCUAGAAGUGUUUAAACCCGUCAACAUCGAGUCAUAUGAUGGCACAACAGACCCCGCGGUGAGGAUCGAGGAUUUUCUUCUCCACAUUCACAUGGCCCGCGGUGAUGACCUACAUGCCAUCAAGUAUCUCCCACUCAAGCUCAAAGGGCCAGCCAGACACUGGCUGAAUAGCCUGCCAGCGAACUCCAUUGGCAGUUGGGAAAAUCUUGAGGACGCAUUCCUCGAUAACUUCCAAGGCACCUAUGUGCGACCACCGGAUGAUGACGACUUAAGUCACAUUACCCAAUAGCCCGGAGAGUCGGCCAGGAAAUUCUGGACUCGGUUCCUAACUAAAAAGAACCAAAUUGUCAAUUGUCCGGACACCGAGGCCCUGGCAGCCUUUAAGCAUAAUAUCCAUGACGAGUGGCUUGCCCGACACCUCUGCCAAGAAAAACCUAAGACCAUGGCGGCACUCGCGACACUAAUGACCCGCUUUUGCGCAGGUGAGGACAGUUGACUGGCUCACAGCAACACCACGCCAGGAAACCCUGGCACUUCAGAUAUCCGUGACAGUAACGGAAAGCCACGGCGCAAUAGACACAAGUGCCAAAACAAUGGCGACAAUGCGGAGGAUACGACAGUCAAUGCCGGAUUCAGCAACUCCAAAUCCGGUCAGCGGAAGAAGCCGUUCAAAAGAAACAAUCCGGGAUCGUCCAGUUUGGACCGCAUACUCGACCGCUCGUGCCAGAUUCACGGCACCCCCGACAAACCAGCCAAUCACACUAAUAGAGAAUGUUGGGUGUUCAAACAGGCCGGCAAGAUAAAUGCCGAGAACAAGGACAAGGGGCUACACAGCGAUGAUGACGAGGAGCCCCGGCAUCCGAACACCGGAGGACAGAAGAAAUCCCCCCCCCAGGUAAAAACGGUGAACAUGAUCUAUGCCACUCACAUCCCCAAACGGGAGCGAAAGCGUGCACUUAGGGACGUCUAUGCGAUGGAGCCCGUCGCCCCAAAAUUCAACCCAUGGUCAUCCUGCCUGAUCACCUUCGAUCGUAGGGACCAUCCGACCAGCAUCCGUCACGGCGGCUCAGCCGCAUUGGUCCUUGACCCAAUCAUCGACGGAUUCCACCUCAGCGAGUCCUCAUGGACGGUGGCAGCAGCCUGAACCUGCUUUAUCAGGACACAGUGCGCAAAAUGGGCAUCGAUCCAUCACGGAUCAAACCCACCAAAACCACCUUCAAAGGUGUAAUUCCAGGGGUAGAGGCCCGCUGCACGGGCUCAAUAACACUGGAAGUGGUCUUCGGAUCUCCGGAUAACUUCCGAAGCGAGGAGUUAAUCUUCGAUAUCGUCCCUUUUCGUAGUGGCUAUCAUGCACUACUUGGACGAACUGCGUUCGCUAGUUUAAAUGCGGUACCGCACUAUGCAUACCUCAAGCACAAGAUGCCAGGACCUCGCGGGGUCAUAACAGUCAAUGGAAACACAGACUGCUCCCUCCGUACGGAAGAGCAUACUGCGGCCCUCGCGGCAGAAGUACAAAGCAGCCUCCUCCGACAAACAUCCAAUUCGGCAACGACAUCCCCGAACACUGUCAAGCGAGUUCGGAGUACCCCGCAACAGGACCGCCAGGCACGCCAGGAGCUCGAUUAGCAACCCGGCCUCCACCCCAGCCCCAUUCAAGCGGCGUUAGUACCAUGCGUACACAACUACGUGCUCAAGAUACCAUGCGCAUAGGUGGAGGCAGGACGACAAUGCGGCCAUAGUGCGGUUCAGCCUCCAUGAGGCCCGCAUACCUUUUUCUUUUUUCAAGACCCCACUUUCGGGCAGCCCCUUCAGAGAGAUCGGAUAACCGGACUCAUCACAGAAGGUACACCAAGGAGGCAUAGAGGCAUCGCACACAAGGGAAUACUCAGGUGGUCUUCUCCAAUGAUCGUUAUACCUGUCCUUACAUACACGCAUGUAGCCUGCCCUUGGAUAGGAUAUGUCAAAUAGUCCUAUUUUUCUGCUUAAUGCAUCAAUUGUACACCUAAAUUUUGCCGUAUUGUCCAAAUAACUUGGAAAUAGUACAUAGUGUCAGCUUCUUGUUACCAUCCUUAUAUUUUCCAUUGAAUAUUUAUUCAAUAUUUGCAUCCGUACACUUUGGUACGGUCAGCUCACCAGGGGCUUCUUAUCAAGCCCCAUAAAAUGGCAAGAAAAGUCCGAACACUUUCAACAGUGUGGCACCCCAAACUUAUAGCAUUAUAUGCAUCAGCUCUGAAUCAUGUCUUGGGUCAAUAGUUGGGUUAGCCCGGAUCCCUUGUUUUGGUACCUUACGUUCCGUUAUAUCGGCUAAGGUAGCGCAGGGAAACUACUGCGAUUGUGUCCCGGUUCUUCCGGACGAGCACCUCAGUAGAGAAAGCCGAAAACUGGCCGUCAUGAUGCGGCGAGAGCUGGUCACUGUUCGCGAGGUAGUAAAAACCCUAAAGGUUUUUUCCGCUUAAGGCGAGGAAUCGGCCUUGCCCGAUUUAGGCGUGUAUAACGCCCCAAUUCGGCUUUCCGAAUACUAGAGGCUUCGCCGAAAUUUAAAAUUAUAGACUUCUAUGGCCAAGUGAGAGUUAUAAAGCCGAAUAGUCCGAUUGCCUGGUUCGCUGCGCUAAACACCUCCUUAAAGGACCAAGAAUUUGGAUAAAGAGUGUUUAGGUUUUCCACGAACACCCCAAUACUAGUUACAAGGGGGCGGAAGCCGACGACUGGCCACUUUCAGGUUUUGAUAAACGGCCGCAGAGAAGGUAAUAUUUUAAAUCAAACAAAGCGUUAUAUAGCGCAAUCAAACUCGUCCUCAUAUUACACAGAUGACAUGAGUACAUUUACUCGAAAAUAAUGUUCUUAGGACAUUCAUUCGCCACAAGCCGAGUGCCUUUCAUAACGCCACUACAAUACAUCUCGGGGUAGCUAUGCUCCUUGCCCUUCGGGGGUCCAUCCUUCACGAGCUGCUCAGCAUCUAGUUUGCCCCAAUGCAUCUUCGCGCGGGCAAAGGCCUGUCGGGCACCCUCAAUACAUACGGACUGCUUGAUAACUUCUAGCCGUGGACAGGCAUGCACCAUCUGCUUCACCAGGCCAAAGUAGCUGCCGGGCAGGGGCUCGCCGGGCCACAUCCGGACUAUGAGGUCCCUCAUGGACUGUUCGGCCGCAUUGUGGAGUUCGACCAGCCGCUUCAGUUGGUCACUCAGAGGCAUAGGGUGUUCGACCCCAGUAUAUUGGGACCAGAACAGCUUCUCCGUAGAGCUCCCCUCUUCAGCGCGAUAGAACUCCACGGCAUCCGAAAUGCUAUGUGGCAGAUCUGCGAAUGCUCCUGGAGAGCUCUGGAUUCAUGUAAGUAAAAGAAAUGACUCCUCCACAUGCUUCCUUUGCAUAAAGAAUGCCUUACCCUCCGCUAUCUUCUUCGCCGCCUGGUUUCCUAGAGGGCCUUUUGGGCUUUGGCCUUGGCGUUGGCCGCGCUCUGGAGGGCCUUUGCAAGCUCAGACGCUUGCGUCUUGUAGUCAUGCUCCAGGGAGACGAACUUCUUGCCGAGCUCCUGGAGCUCCUGCUGUACCUCUCCCACCUGAGCAUCUUGCUUCUCUCGCUUGAUGCGCUCCGUAUCCGCCUUGGCUUCGGCCACAGACAACGCUUCCUUCAGGGCCGCCACUUUGGUCGCGGUCCCUAUCAAAAGCCAUGAUGCUUUUUCUUAGCAUCACCAACUUUUUAUCCUCCAAACGCCAUAUGGACGGGGUUUCUCUUACCUUUGUUCGCCUCGAGCUGCUUCUUCACGAGGCCGAGCUCUUCUUCGGCCUGCCCCAGUUCGCGCUUGAGUCCGACAACCUCAGCCGUGCACGCAGCGGCGGUCAGGAGCAGUGCCUGUUUGAUUCAUUCAGACAAAUACCAUUAGCUUCCUACAGUUUUUUAGUUGACCCUCCAUUUGGCUAUUUUUUCAAAACACCAACCAGAGUAUCAGGGGCUACUGUCUAUCGGGUGAUAUUUUCUCACACUUUCUUUACCUUAAAGCCUGUUAGCAGGCUGGUGCAGGCUUCGGUCAAUCCGCCCUUGGCGGACCGAACCUUCUAAUCACCGUACCCAUAAGUGUACGUGUUCAUCCUCGAUGGAAGCGCCUCGAAGCACUUCCAACAAAUUAUCCGAUGCUGGGCGGAGGUCAUCGGCACGGACGGCUCACCCUCCUUCGCGAGGGACUGCUUACUGGAAUCCGGAACCUUUGUAGGCUCCGGCGCAGUAACCGGCUGGGAGCCAGACUUGCUGUGGCUCCCAUCAGCAUAAUCCAUGGGGUUCUCAUCCCCCAUGUGUCCGACGCCCGAGAUUUUGCCUUGGGGCAUCCCCGGAGCCAUCGCCUCCUGCUCUGGCAUCCUCCGGGAGAACACUUCGGUGUCGUCCAUAGGUCGUGGGGAGGUUGCCAUCGGGACCAAAUUCAUCUCCGAAUCGUUUAGAGACUCCUCCGAAGAGGACUCCUCGAGAUCGGACCCGGCCGGACUGCAUAAACAUGUCCGGCGUCAUUAUAAACCAUGAGGUCAAAGUCGCACGGAAAGUAUUAUGGAAUGCGAAUACUUACGACCUUGCCUGGGGCUUGCCCCUGGGCAGCCACUCCUCGUCGCUGAAAGCGGUGGUAGUGGAGUGAUCGGGAAGGGACGCUUUUCCCUUCUUCGGUGUCCCGGCCUCCCCUGAUGGGGCGGCCUUCCUUUUCUUCUCCUCCCUAGCAUGGGGAGGAGGCAUUUCUUCAUGUUCUCCCCCGUCUUCGGGGGGAGAAUCUUGUCAUCUUCGGAUGACGACUCUAUCACGGCCUUGCGCCGGGGACCUUUUCUGGUCCCCGCGGCCACCUUCUUGGACCCUUCGGCCCCCUCAGUUGAGGCGGCCUUCUUCUUCUUCCUCUCCUCCCCUUCAUGGGAGGAGUGCGCCUCGUCAUCUUCUGGCGAGGCGUCUGGUGCGGCUUCGCGCCGGAGACCCUUACGGGUCCCUGUGGCCUUCUUUUCGGCCUUUUUCUCCGGCACCUUGUAAGGCGCCGGAACCAGCAUCUCCGCUAGGAGUGCGCUCACUAGGCCCUCGGGCAAUGGAGCCGGAAAGUUAAUCCGCUCCGCCAUCUCCACCCAAUCCUGUUCGGUCAGUAUAGUGACCUAAGAAUCCUCCCACGAACAUACCAGGAAGGAAAUAUCAUACAAAUAACCAGAGGACUCACCGAACUGGCGAGGCAGCUUGCGCUGAGCCCCCGGUCCUCGGAAAGGGGAGGAGGAACUUUGCCGGUCUUGAGUAACACCUUCCAGAUUUCUUUGUGCGUUGUGCCGAAGAGCUCUAGCAGCAUCUGGUGUUCGUCCAGGUCUAACUCCCACAUAUCAAAUGCCCGUCUUUGACACGGGAGAAUCCGACGAAUGAGCAUGACCUGGACCAUGUUGACAAGCUUGAUCUUCUUGUCCAUCAUACUUCGGACGCAGGUCUCGAGUCCGGCCAGCUCUGUGGGUUCGCCCCAGACCAGGCCCUUCUUCUCCCAAGAAGUGAGCCGCGUGGGGAUUCCGGAUCUGAAUUUGGGGGCCGCCAUCCAGCUAGCGUCGCGCGACUCGGUGAUGUAGAACCACCCUGAUUGCCACCCCUUUACAGUCUCCACGAAUGAGCCGUCAAGCCAUGUGACAUUGGGCAUUUUGCCCACCAUGGCACCUCCGCACUCCGCCUGUUGGCCGCUCAUGAUCUUCGGCUUCACGCAGAAGAUCUUCAACCACACGCCGAAGUGGGGCUUGAUGCGGAGGAAUGCCUCGCACACGACGAUGAACGCCGAGAUGUUGAGGACGAAAUUCGGGGCCAGAUCGUGAAAAUCUAGCCCAUAGUAGUACAUAAGCCCACGGACAAACGGGUGGAGUGGAAAUCCUAGUCCGCGGACGAAAUGAGGGAGAAAUACUACUCUCUCCCGAGACUUCGGAGUGGGGGUAAUCUCUCCCUCUAUUGGAAGCCUGUGCGCGAUAUUCUCGGCCAGGUAUCCGGCUUCCCAAAGCUUGGUGAUAUUCUCCUCUGUGACAGAGGAGGCCAUCCACUUGCCUCCCGCUCCGGACAUGAUGCGAUCCUACGGAGAAGGUGAGAACUUGGGCGUUGGAGCUCAAGGGUGCGAGAACGGAUGAGCAAAGGAGGAAGAAGGCAUGGGUAAAAACGGGAGAUCUCUAUCCCUUUAUAAAGGCAAUGUAGAAUGUGCGCCUCCCCACUUGCCUCUUGAAAUCUCUUAUCUUUCCAAGCGCCUCGAUUGAUGGCACUGGUUGGGUUACCCAUACCCAUAUUAAUGGAGAUCCCGCGAUAAGGGGACACGAUCUCUGCUUUGACAGAAUUGUCAGCAGAUUAGAUUCGUGGAUUAUUAUUCUCUCUACGGCGAUAUAUGGAAUUUAUCUUGCAGAGACGGACAUGGUCCUUGUGUUCGGAAUUAAUUUUGGAGUAUUCGGAGGUGGAACCCGCCUCGCAAUGCCGAAGACAACCUACGCGCCGGACUCAUCGUCAUUGAAGCCUGGUUCAGGGGCUACUGAGGGAGUCCUGGAUAAGGGGGUAUCCGUACAACCGGACUAUAUACUUUGGCCGGCCUGUUGGACUAUGAAGAUACAAGACAGAAGACUCCGUCCCGUGUCCGGAUGGGACUCUCCUUGGCGUGGAAGGCAAGCUUCGCGAUUCGGAUGUAGAUCUCCUCCUCUGUAAACCGACUAUAUGUAACUCUAGCCCCCUUCAGUGUCUAUAUAAACUGGAGGGUUUAGUCCAUAGGACACGACAACAAUAACAAUCAUACCAUAGGCUAGCUUCUAGGGUUUAGCCUCUCUGAUCUCGUGGUAGAUCGACUCUUGUAAUACUCAUAUCAUCAAGAUCAAUCAAGCAGGCAGUAGGGUUUUACCUCCAUCGAGAGGGCCCGAACCUGGGUAAACAUCGUGUCCCCAGCCUCCUGUUACCAUUAGUAUUAGACGCACAGUUCGGGACCCCCUACCCGAGAUCCGCCGGUUUUGACACCGACAACCGCCAAGCUGCCGUCUAGACACCAGGCAGCCGGAAGGACACACCAUACCUCCAUGCGCCGCGCAUCCCACGACCAGAGCAGCCACCACGCCGGGCCGCUGCCCUACUCCGCGUCGCUCGCUGGGACCAAGCCGAAGGCUCGACACAGCAAGCAACCACCGGCCGCACCUCCGCCCGCCAACCCCGCCGCCAAAAGACGCGCCGCCGAGAGGUGGAGCGCCAUGAUAUGUCUCCAACGUAUCUAUAAUUUUUGAUUGUUCCAUGCUAUUAUAUUACCCCUUUUGGAUGUUUAUGGGCUUUAUUUUACACAUUGAUAUCAUUUUUGGGACUAACCUACUAACCGGAGGCCCAACCCGUAUUGCUGUUUUUUUUGCCUAUUUCAGUAUUUCGAAGAAAAGGAAUAUCAAACGGAGUCCAAACAUAAUGAAACCUUCGGGAGCGUGAUUUUUGGAACGAACGUUGACGGUGUCCUGGACUAGGGGGUAUUCAACGCGUUGUCUCCCGAUCAGUUGGAUUGGGCCGAGGACCCCCAUGGCCGUAUACUCAUGGGCCAGUCCGGACAGCUGCCGCAUACAAGGAAGAAUCAACAAGACUUGGUGAUCAAGACAAGGACUCCUCCCCCACCGGCGUAUUCGGCUAGGACUCUUGUUAUCCUAGGCCUCUGGUGCAUUAUAUAAACCAGGGCCAGGCUAGUCGAUAGACAUAUACAACAACCAUUACAAUCAUACCAUAGGCUAGCUUCUAGGGUUUAGCCUCCUUGAUCUCGUGGUAGAUCCACUCUUGUAAAUACCCACAUUAUCAAUAUCAAUCAAGCAGGACGUAGGAUUUUACCUCCAUCAAGAGGGCCCGAACCUGGGUAAAACAUCGUGUCCCUUGUCUCCUGUUACCAUUGAUCCUAAGAUGCAUAGUUCGGGACCCCCUACCCGAGAUCCGCCGGUUUUGACACCGACAUUGGUGCUUUCAUUGAGAGUUCCGCUGUGUGAUCGGCGAAAGGAUCAAUGGCUCGACUGCAGGUCAACUGCGACGUCGGCUUCUUCAUCACCAGUUCGACUGGUCACCUUGGCUUGACCAAGGACUGCACCCUACCUCCGAUCGUCAUGUUCGGAUGAGGGCCUUCGUCAACACCAACUCCGAUCUCUAUCAAGAUCAUGGAGGAGUCAUCCAUGGAGCCCGGGGGCUCGACGUCAACAUUGCCCUCAGGCGACCGUGCUGUUUUUCUAGACGGCAAACUUGUAUCCGCCGCCACCGCCUCCUCGAGUGUCGCUUAAACGAUUACUUCGGUGGAAUUGUGCGGAAUUAAGUCUACAACAACCCUGCAAAAAUUUCAUCGAGUUCCGAUGGAGGAAUCUCCGGUAAUCUCCGAUAUACCGGAGCCCUGUUGAAUCUGGACGAGAAUCCGGACGAGUUUAGGGCGUGGUAUCCAGCGUCUAGCUCGGAUGUCCUUUGGAGGAUCCAACCGUUGAUUUGCUGCGGAAUUCCCUUAUCUACCACCUGCCAAAAAUUUAGCUCAAUCCGGCCGUCCAAACUCCGGGAAACUUCCGAUUAGUGCAUCGCUUUUUGGAUCUGUUUUCUGCGUAAAAACGAAUCCAACCCGAGUUCGUCUUUUUUAUGAACGGGAUUUCGGACAUCCUUUUUGAAGGAAGUUUUGUAUGGGGUAUUGUGUUUUGUUCCCGAACACAUCCCACUAACUUUAAGAUCUUUUGAACAUGAUCUUCAACAUCAUGCUGGUGUCAAACUAGUCCGGCAAUAUUGCUCCACGGCUGCCGACCUGCGCCAGACACGUCGUCACUUUGUUGAGCCAAGCUCAACUUCUUCGGAUCAUCAUUUUGGCAAGCCGAACAAGAGUCCGGCAUCGCGAAGGAUAAAUUAUCACCAACAUCGCCGCCCCACGGAUUACACAGAGCGGACAUACCGGCAUCGCCGGACGGUCGCUUCAUCAAGCCGGCAUCGACCACGUCAUGACCUGUAUCGGCAGGGCCGCACUAUUGCUUCUUCAAGCUGGUGUCCAUCACGCCGACCUACUUCGACAUCUCAGCUGGACCGGGGGCUUCGCCAUCUCUUCAUCAACCUACUCCGGACACUUCGGCGUCACUAGCCGACCAGGCAAUGGGUGCGCGGAUCGAGUCCCAAUUUUGGGAAUCACCUUCCUUCGGAUUGCUACGACAAAUAAACCAGGUGCUAUUAAUCCUAGUAUUUCUUUUUGCUUGUUUGGGUUAAUUUUUUCCAAGGAAUUAUUACUCUGGUUUGUCCAUCAUAUGUACACAGGUCUAUCAGAUGGUGGCCGCAUUAUCGACGGUCGCAUGAUGGUUCGGUCAGUUUCCAUACAUAGUCCGGCGAACGCCGCAUCCGGAACUCGAAACCGACCUGUGAAUCCAGGCUUUGCCACGCCUUUAUUGCAUUACGCCGAUGACCUGCAUCGACAUCGACUUCGGCGCCAGGCCAUAUUUCUUUUAUUACUCACUUUGCAUAAAUUAUUUAUUACGCAACAUUUUUUUUAAUUCCUAUUAUUACUAUUAUCCCCGGUCUGCACUAUUUUUUGUGCACAGGAAAAUGAUCCAGCCGGACUAUAUCCUUUGACGUCACCUCGGCUGGACGGGGGGCUUCGUCAACACUUCAUUACCCCAUGCCAGGGACUUCGGCAUCACUCUGCCGUCUUGCAUUGACCAUGCUAUGUCACCACUUCACAGUGCCGAGCUCUUUGCUCCGCCACCUCGGGACCGGCUUGGGGGAUGGAACCUUGCCCCGCAUCAAGCUCGGACCACGUCGUCAAUACCAAACACAUUAACCAGCUAAGUUGCCUUCAUGCUCAAAGUUUUAAAUUUCUAACUUGUGUUCAGUUCGACCAAGAAUUAUACUUUUUUGUAAAAAAGUUGCUUGUAAAUUUUUUUUCUUGUCGAAACUUUGUUCGCACACACUUGACGCGCUACCCGCGCUCAUUAUACCUGGGGGCUUCUUUAACAGAAGCUUAUUAAUACGGGCUUUAUGCCCAACACAUGUGUCACACUUCCGCAUGUACCUUUUAUUCACCAUUAUAUGCAUCGAUGUGACUUAAGUUUUGGCCAAGCUGGGUUGCCUGGCUCCUGUGCUUACCCCUACGUUCCCGAUUGUUCGGCUAGGUGGUAAAGGGAGCACCUCUGCGAUUGUUACUGUCGGGUCAGCCGGAUGUGUACCUCAGACUGGGUGAAGCCGAAAGCUAGCGUUCUUAAGGGAAUACUCGGUCGGUGAACUAAAAGAUGAUUUCUUACCUAUUUAUUUACCUGCCCCCAGAUGUUUUUCUGCUCUUUUCGCAGUCCGGACAUGCACUUUAGGGCAUGCCUCCCAGGGAAAGGAACCCCUAACGGAACUAUUCUCCCUGGAAGAUGUUUCUUACUAACCAUGUAAUAUAACAUAACUAGUUGGGCACUUGUCUGAUAAAGCACUAAUGACCCCUACGCCUGGUCUCCACGCAUGCCCCGGUUUUUAUAACCGCGAGGGUAUUCGGACACACUCUGGACUAUUGGGUCCAGAGGUUGAAGCGAAAAGGUCUGCUACGACAAACGAUCUACAAUCCGGCUAGAAGGCAUUCUACAUGUCACCUUACAUUAUAUAGUCAACUUUUACCCAAGUCACUUGGGGGCUCUUAUGUUUAUUUGAGCCGUUUCAUACCAAGUGUUUCUCUUCCUAGCCGUUGCAAAGUUUUUAUUAUUUGUCACUCCUUUUUUCGACACAAGUGUGCGGUCACUAGCCGGGGAGUACUCCGCCUUCGGGAUAGGAGGUUGAAGCCGUAGGCUGACCCGCUUGAAGUUUUGAGAUAGGAUGUGUCAUGUUAAAGCACGGCAGAAGCACCUUUUUUUCUAAAGUCCAAUUUUUGGAUUGGCACCGAACACUUGAUCUAGUUCGGACAUUAAUCUUUUGAAUAAGUUUUUUGGCUUUUCGAGCCCAUGGCACUUUUAAACUAUUUGUGUGUUUUCAGCACAAGUCUCGCAGUGCAACGCCAGACACCUUUUGGGAUUCGGCAAAAACAUUCUCGGAUAUUGCUAUAUAUGCAUCAGUUUCGAAUUGUGUCUUCGGUCAAUAGUUGGGUUGCCCGGCUCCCGCGCUUGCCUCCUACGUUCCGCUUUGUUCGGCUAGGUGUGCAAAGGGAGAACCACUGCGACUGUGCUUCCAGCUCGUAUGGUCAAGCACCUCAGUGGAGAAAGCCAAAAACUGACUGUGACAAUAGGUGUAAACUGGUCAGCGAUCCGAUGACUAUAUUAAAUGACGGGCCAUUCAUUGGCCGAAGUGUUUCCGGCUUGACCUCGACUGUCGCCGAACACUAUCGGGGGCUAUUAACUGGCCUCCCAAACUAAAUCCUCGAUAUUUUGCUCUUACAUUGGAGUAGAGGUUUCAUGAUCAUGCUUAGCAUGACAACCCAAAGAAAGGAACCGAUAGCGGGACUAUUUUCUUUGGAAGACAUUUCUUAUGUUAAACAGUAAUAUAACAUGUCUCUCCGCGUACCUUUGUUUAUAAAACCAUAUGGCCAGAUUGCCUUGUUUGUUGUAAAUCUUUGCCCUCAUAAAGGCUUUAUAAAGUAGGACAAACACUCCUCGGCUAUUGGCCGAGGAGGUGGAAGCCGAUGGUCGGUCAACAAAGUUUUGUACAAUGCGGAUCCGAGCAUUAAUGACGUAAAGUACUUGGAUACAUAGAGUCAUUACACAUAAUUUGUGAUUUUACUAUGGAUAUCGAUCCUUAAUUCGGCCUCCCGUGCCCGCAUUAAGGCUCGGGGGCUACUGGGCUUUGGGCUUAUUAUUUACAAAUAUUAAAGGGGCACAUCAAUCCCCUGAUCUGGUGUUGCCACCCGACCAGUGUCUCGGGGGCUACUGCAUUGCUUGUUCUAUGCAGAAAAUCUUAAGUGCAAUACAGUUUCCGAGGAGAUUUUGAUCCUCAGGUUGGUCGGCCGCACCCAACCUGAGUCUCGAGGACUGAGCAUGCCGCUUUUUGUGUCCCGAAGUAUUCUGCCGAGUUAGGACUUGAUCCUCAGACCGAUUUUGCAAAUCAACUUGAGUCUCAGCGGCUACGGGGAUCAGCGGUCUUAUGUCAUCCUUCAGGUGCAUCUCGGGUUUUAGACCGAUACAUACCUUGAGGGCUACUGGCUAUAUAUCUCGUCACAGAAUAAAUUACAUCAAUAAAAAACAUUGACCAAAAAUCAGCCCAUGACCGAGGUGCUUAACCACCUCGGAAGCAGUUCGACAUAUAGCUCGGAUGCAAGUGGCUGGCUCCUUAGAGGGCAUUUCUGGCAUUAAGCUCAGUUAAACUCCUUCAAACUUCUUUGAACCAAGGUGAUUUGUGACACCUCGGAUAAAGUCCGGCGUUGGAGAUCGGAUACAUAGUCCGGCGUUGGAGCUCGGAUACAUAGUCCGGCGUUGGAGCUCGGAUACAUAGUCCGGCGUUAGAGCUGGGAAGCAGUCCGGCAUUGGUGCUCGACUGCAAAAGAUACCUCGAAUGCAGUCCGGCGUUGGAGCUCGGACGCAAGAGGACGUUGCCACCCGGGAACAACUUCAAACCCGAGGCAUGGCAUAAAAAUAACAAGGCAUUGAUAAAGGCUGUAAACUUAAAGGGGCUCCUCGGAUACCCAAUGCAUAAACUCGUCGAAUGCAUUUCGGCUAUCCUCAAGAUAGAAGAUGAGAAGAUUUGCUGAACCAGUUUUCAAGACCGGCAACCGAAGAUGAAGAACAGUUCGGAAGAAUCGAGGAGCGUCCCUAACUUGAAGACCGGUUCAGGGGGCUACUGACGGUGUCCUGGACUAGGGGGUACUCAACGCGUCGUCUCCCGAUCAGUUGGAUUGGGCCGAGGACCCCCAUGGCCGUAUACUCAUGGGCCAGUCCGGACAGCUGCCGCAUACAAGGAAGAAUCAACAAGACUUGGCGAUCAAGACAAGGACUCCUCCCCCACGGGCGUAUUCGGCUAGGACUCUUGUUAUCCUAGGUCUCUGGUGCAUUAUAUAAACCAGGGCCAGGCUAGUCGAUAGACAUAUAUAACAACCAUUACAAUCAUACCAUAGGCUAGCUUCUAGGGUUUAGCCUCCUUGAUCUCGUGGUAGAUCCACUCUUGUAAAUACCCACAUUAUCAAUAUCAAUCAAGCAGGACGUAGGGUUUUACCUCCAUCAAGAGGGCCCGAACCUGGGUAAAACAUCGUGUCCCUUGUCUCCUGUUACCAUUGAUCCUAAGAUGCAUAGUUCGGGACCCCCUACCCGAGAUCCGCCGGUUUUGACACCGACAAACGUGAUCCAGAGGACUUGGAGUGCAAGCCAAGAAGCAACCGAGGCUCCCACGAGAUAGGAGGGCGCCCCCCUAUAGGGCGAGCCCCCUGUCUCGUGGGCCCCUCGGGCGGCCACCGACGUACUUCUUCCUCCUAUAUAUACCUACGUACCCCGAAAACAUGCAGGGAGCAUCCAAAACACAAUUUCCACCGCCGUAACCUUCUGUAUCCGCGAGAUCCCAUCUUGGAGCCUUCGCCGAUGUUCUGCCGGAGGGGGAAUCAAGCACGGAGGGCCUCUACAUCAACAUCCUUGCCCCUCCGAUAAGUUGUGAGUAGUUUACCACAGACCUAUGGGUCCAUAGUUAUUAGCUAGAUGGCUUCUUCUCUCUUUUUGGAUCUCAAUACAAUGUUCUCCCCCUCACUUGUGGAGAUCUAUUCGAUAUAAACUCUUUUUGCGGUGUGUUUGUCGAGAUCCGAUGAAUUGUGGGUUUAUGAUCAAGUUUAUCUAUGAAUAAUAUUUGAAUCUUCUCUGAAUUCUUUUAUGUAUGAUUGAGUUAUCUUUGCAAGUCUCUUCGAAUUAUCGGUUUGUUUGGGCCUACUAGAUUGAUCUUUCUUGCCAUGGGAGAAGUGCUUAGCUUUGGGUUCAAUCUUGCGGUGUUCUUACCCAGUGACAGAAAGGGUUGCAAGACACGUAUUGUAUUGUUGCCAUCGAGGAUAACAAGAUGGGGUUUAUAUCAUAUUGCAUGAGUUUAUCCCUCUACAUCAUGUCAUCUUGCUUAAGGCGUUACUCUAUUCUUAUGAACUUAAUACUCUAGAUGCAGGCAGGAGUCGGUCGAUGUGUGGAGUAAAUAAAAGUUCUCGGAAUGACCUGAAACUCCACGGAAUGUCUUAGGAUAAUUAAGAAAAAUCCUCGCCAAAGAAGAAGACCAGGGGGCCCACACCCAGUCCACGAGGGUGGGGGGCGCGCCCCCCUACCUCGUGGGUCCCUGGUGGCCCUCCGACGCCAACUCCAAGUCCAUGUAUUGGCUUUCGGGGAGAAAAAAAUCAAGGAGAAGAAAUCAUCGCGUUUUACGAUACGGAGCCGCCGCCAAGCCCUAAUCUCUCUCGGGAGGGCUGAUCUGGAGUCCGUUCGGGGCUCCGGAGAGGGGGAUUCGUUGCCGUUGUCGUCAUCAACCAUCCUCCAUCACCAAUUUCAUGAUGCUCACCGCCGAGCGUGAGUAAUUCCAUCGUAGGCUUGCUGAACGGUGAUAGGUUGGAUGAGAUUUAUCAUGUAAUCGAGUUAGUUUUGUUAGGGUUUGAUCCCUAGUAUCCACUAUGUUCUGAGAAACAUGUUGCUAUGACUUUGCUAUGCUUAAUGCUUGUCACUAGGGCCCGAGUGCCAUGAUUUCAGAUCUGAACCUAUUAUGUUUUCAUGAAUAUAUGUGAGUUCUUGAUCCUAUCUUGCAAGUCUAUAGUCACCUACUAUGUGUUAUGAUCCGGCAACCCCGAAGUGACAAUAAUCGGAACCACUCCCGGUGAUGACCAUAGUUUGAGGAGUUCAUGUAUUCACUAUGUGCUAAUGCUUUGUUCCAGUUCUCUAUUAAAAGGAGGCCUUAAUAUCCCUUAGUUUCCAAUAGGACCCCGCUGCCACGGGAGGGUAGGACAAAAGAUGUCAUGCAAGUUCUUUUCCAUAAGCACGUAUGACUAUAUUCGGAAUACAUGCCUACAUUACAUUGAUGAACUGGAGCUAGUUCUGUGUCACCCUAUGUUAUGAUUGUUACAUGAUGAACCACAUCCCGCAUAAUUAUCCAUCAUUGAUCCGGUGCCUACGAGUUUUCUAUAUAUUGGUUCUCGCUUAUUUACUUUUCUGUUGUUACUGUUACAAUCACUACAAAAUACCAAAAACAUUACUUUUGUUGUCUUUACUUUUGUUACCAUUACCACCACUAUCAUAUUACUUUGCUACUAAACACCUUGCUGCAGAUACUAAGUUUCCGGGUGUGGUUGAAUUGACAACUCAGCUGCUAAUACUUGAGAAUAUUCUUUGGCUCCUCUUGUGUCGAAUCAACAAAUUUGGGUUGAAUACUCUACCCUCGAAAACUGCUGCGAUCCCCUAUACUUGUGGGUUAUCAAGACCUUUUUCUGGCGCCGUUGCCGGGGAUCAUAGCUCUAUUCUUUGAGUCACUUGGGAUUUAUAUCUGCUGGACACUAUGAAGAACUUGAAAGAUGCUAAGACCAAGAUUUUACACUCAACUACGAGGGGAGGUAAGGAACUGCCAUCUAGCUCUGCACCAGAUUCUCCUUCUAUUAUGAGUAAGCUUGCGACACCUAAACUUGCUACUGAUAUGAAUUCUGAUAUGUCGCAUGUUAUCGAUGAUGCCACUUCUUCUAUGCAUGAUACUUGUGAUGAAACCACUUCUAUGCUUGAUACUACUGUGCCCCUUGGUGAAUUUCUUGAUGAGAAAAUUGCUAGGUCUAGAGAAAGAGAAAUUAUUACACCUGAAUACAAUGAUGAGAGUGAUGUUGAAAAUAUGCCUCCUAUUCCUGAAGGUUAUCUUUUUGAUGCAGAAUCUUCUGCCGCUAUUUUUGCUUGCUAAGAUAGAUAUAAACUUAAGAGGUUGCUAGUUAAAUGGAGUAAAGAAUCUCUUAGAGAUAGAAUGAGACCCGACCCUGUUUUUGCUACUUCACCUAUUUGUGUUCCCGAUAAGGAUUAUUGUGAUUUUUCUGUUGAUCCAGAUAUAAUUACUUUGGUUGAAUCCGAUCCUUUCUAUGGCUAUGAAUCUGAAACUGUUGUGGCACAUCUUACUAAGUUGAAUGAUAUAGCUGCCCUGUUUACUAAUAAUGAGAGAUCGCGCUAUCUUUAUUUACUCAAAAAUUUUCCGUUCUCAUUAAAGGGUGAUGCUAAGAUAUGGUUUAAUUCUCUUGAUCCUGGUUGUGUGCAAAGUCCCCAGGAUAUGAUGUAUUACUUCUCUGCUAAAUAUUUCCCUGCUCGUAAGAAACAAGCAGCCUUGAGGGAAAUAUAUAACUUUGUGCAAAUUGAAGAAGAGAGUCUCCCACAAGCUUGGGGGAGGCUUCUCAAGUUACUUAAUGCUUUGCCUGAUCAUCCUCUUAAGAAACCUGAAAUACUUGAUAUCUUUUAUAAUGGACUAACAGAUGCUUCCAGAGAUUACCUGGAUAGUUGUGCUGGUUCUCUUUUCAGGGAAAGAACACCGGAUGAAGCGGAAAUUCUAUUGAACAAUAUGUUGACAAAUGAAAAUAAUUGGGCACCUCCUGAGCCAGCUCCUGAGCCAAUUUCUGAGCCAAUCAUUGAGCCUAUUCCUAAACCAACUCCAAAGAAGAGAGGUGUUCUAUUUCUCAGUCCUGAAGAUAUGCAAGAGGCAAAGAAAUCCAUGAAAGAGAAAGGUAUUAGAACUGAAGAUGUUAAGAAUUUACCUCCUAUUGAAGAAAUACACGGUCUUAGUUUACCACCUGUUGAAGAAGUAUAUGAUCUCAAUUACUUAUUUACUGAAGAACCUCCCGAUAUCCCGACACAAGUAGUGAAGGUAAAUUCUCUCUAUAAAUAUGAUAAAGCUGAAGUCCCUCCUACUAAAAUUGCUAGUCAGUGCUUGGAUGAGUUUGAUAACUUAAUGUUUAAGCAAGAUGACUUCAAUGCUUAUUUUGGUAGAUAAUUAAAACAAGAUGCCUAUAUGAUUAAACGCUUGGGUUAUUAUAUGGCUGAUAUUAGAGGUGAACUUAAACUUGUUAGCAAACAUGCUUCUAUGGUUACCACUCAAGUAGAACAAGUACUUAAAGCUCAAAAAGAAGCACUUGAUGAAAUGGAUAGUAAGAAAAAUGAUUAUGCUGUUAGAGUGGCUACUAGAACCGGUAGAAUGACUCAGGAACCUUUGUAUCCUGAAGGCCACCCUAAGAUAAUCGAGCAAGAUUCUCAGAGAAAUGAUAUUGAUGUGCCUAGUUUUUCUAAAAGGAAGAAAAAGAAAAAUGAUAGGACUUUGCAAACUUCUAGUGAACCUAUCGCUGAGCCACCUGAGAAUCCAAAUGAUACUUCUAUUUCUGAUGCUGAAACACAAUCAGGUGAUGAACGUGAACCCAGUGAUAAUAUUAAUGAUAAUGUUCAUGUUGAUGCUCAACCUAGUAAUGAUAAUGAUGUAGAAGCCGAACCUGCUGUUGAUCUGGAUAACCCACAAUCAAGGAAUCAACACUAUGAUAAAAGAGACUUCGUUGCUAGGAAACAUGGUAAAGAAAGGGAACCAUGGGUUCAAAAACCCAUGCCUUUUCCCCCGAAACCAUCCAAGAAAAAGGAUGAUGAGGAUUUUGAGCGCUUUGCUGAAAUGAUUAGACCUAUCUUUUUGCGUAUGCGAUUAACUGAUGUGCUCAAAAUAAAUCCUUAUUCUAAGUAUAUGAAGGAUAUUAUUACUAAUAAAAGAAAGAUACCUGAAGCUGAAAUUUUCACCAUGCUUGCUAAUUAUACUUUUAAGGGUGGAAUACCUAAGAAACUUGGAGAUCCCGGAGUACCUACUAUACCAUGCUCUAUUAAGAGAAAUUAUGUUAAAACCGCUUUGUGUGAUCUUGGAGCCGGUGUUAGUGUUAUGCCUCUCUCUUUAUAUCGUAGACUUGACUUGAAUAAGUUGACACCUACUAAAAUAUCUUUGCAAAUGGCUAAUAAUCAACUGCUAUACCUAUCGGUAUUUGUGAGGAUGUGCUUGUUGUGGUUGCAAAUGUUACUAUUUUAACGGACUUUGUUAUUCUUGAUAUUCCUGAGGAUGAUAGUAUGUCUAUUAUUCUUGGAAGACCAUUCCUUAAUACUGCAGGGGCUGUUAUUGAUUGCAACAAAGGCAAUGUCACUUUUCAUGUUAAUGGCAAUGAGCACACAGUACACUUUCCGAGGAAACAACCUCAGGUUCACAGUAUCAACUCUAUUGGAAAAAUUCCAUCGAUUAUAUUUGGAGGUUUUGAAUUUCCUCUCCCUACUGUCAAGAAAAAGUAUGAUAUACUUAUUGUUGGGGAUUUUCAUAUCACCGUUGAGGUAACUUAGUGCUAUUCGAAAUUUCUCCAGUUCUGUGUUAAUCGGAAUGAGCUCGAUUAACAAGACUUGAUCAACCUUAUUAGUGGAUUCAUUUUGAUGAUCACGAGAUGGAUGAAACUAGAAGCACAACCUGCUGUACCCUCUUUAUAUUUUCUGUUAUUUAGUAGAAAUAAAGUAAAAUAGUACUUGUCUAUCUGUCUCCCAACUUAUCCGUGCAAUAUAAUAAUUUCCCAAAAAUAAAAGUCCUCAGAAUUCCAUGCCAAUUUAAUAUGAUUUUUUCGGGAAUAUUUAAGAAUUUACUGUGCAAAAAUCACCGCAGGGGGAGCUGCCACCUGGCCACGAGGGUGGAGGGAGCGCCCUACCCCCCUCGGCGCCCCCCUGCCUCGUGGGCCCACAGUGGCCCUCCUCCACUUAUUCCUGCACCCAUCUUCUUCCUCUGUUUCACACAAACACGAAAAACCAACUCAAGCACGAGUUCCAGCCCCCGUUGUUGUGAUUUUCGAUCUUCUUGCUCAAAGCACCUCCCGCAAAACUGCUUGGGGAGAUUGUUCCUUGGUAUGUGACUCCUCCAUUGGUCCAAUUAGUUUUUGUUCUAGUGCUUUAUUCAUUACAAAUUUGUGCUGCAUAGGUGACCAUGUUCUUGAGCUUGCAUGUCAAAUUUAUAUGGUUCCAAGUAGUUCCAAUGCUUUAUAUAUGCUCUAGGCACUUGCAGGAGUUGUUGCUAUCAAUUUUAUUGAAGUUGGUUCACUUUUAUUUGAAGUUACUAAAAAUUUCAGAUUGUUUCAGAAUUAAUGAAGAGAUUUUUGAGGGGCUCGUCGAGCCGAAGUGCUAAGGAAAAACAAAAGGAAGAAGAACAGAAGCCCAAAUUUAAUUUGCCUCGCACCGCGGAGGUCCGGCCGUGUGAAUGGCCUUGCGAUGACUUCUUGAGGAGAGCCGGGAUUUAUGAAGACUUCUAUUUAUUAAUUGAGAAUGCUGGCAUCACCGACUUCCUCCGCGACCAACGUCAUUAGUAUCUCUUACUCACAAAUACUUUUGUGCAAAAUUUCUACUUUUUCCCUAAGAGUUCACCUCCAUCGGUAGAAUUUCAUUUAUAUGACGUUGUUAAGCGGAUGCCAUUAGCUGAAUUUUGCGAAGUUUGCAAAAUACCUUUUGAGGGCACCUUGGAUGAACCACACCGUAAUGAAGUAGAAGCUUUUAUUAACACUAUCACGGUGGGAGAAACCAGGAAGGUUUUUGAUGCAAGAAUCACUAGCAUACAUUUUCCUGUUUUACGCUACUUUGCCUUAUUUGCUAGUCGUUGCCUGAUAGGUCGCGGAAACUGUGGAAACCUUAGUAUUCCUGAUGUUAUCAUUUUGUUCCAUGGUUUAUAUUGAAGUAACUCUGUUAGUAUGGGUGGAAUUGUUGCUAGGCGGUUAAGUCUGAACCAUACUAGAGGCCCCAUCUUUGGAGGUAUUUAUGCCUCACGCCUAGCUGAACAUUUAGAAAUACCUAUUAGGCAUGAGGAGGAAGAGGAAACAUCGCUGCCUCGUGCUUAUUUAGAUUAUAGGAGUAUGCUAGCGCAUGAUUUUCUUAUUAAGAGUCGUGAAGGGGAACUCAAAUAUAAAUUGUACUUUGAUAAACAUCACCCUAAGAUUAUUACUUUGCCUGCUCCCUCUUUGUUUAACUUGUCUACAGGUCCUCACAUCGUUCCGUGGGCGGACAUUCAAGCCUAUCGAAAUCCUGCACCCGCCCCGAAAUCGGAGCCACAAGAUGAGCCUCCAUGACUAUCCGUUUAUUCUUGGGAUCCAGAGGAGGCUGCCAGCCAAUGGCAGCCGGAGCCUUCUUCGUUACAGUAUGACCCUAGCUUCACUUACGGGUAUCCGCCAGGCCAUCCCUGGCAAUGGACCAACUUAGGCUAAAAACCUAAGCUUGGGGGAGUAUGUAUUUCCCACCGACAUUACAUUCAUGUUCACACACACUCAUUGCUAGAUGUCGGUGUUCAUACUCUUUCACUGUAAUAUCCAUGCUAGUUUAUUUUCUUUUUCCUGCUUUCUUCUUGUGUGUUUAAUAAACCUUAAGAAAAACAAAAAAAAUUAGUAGUAGUUUAUUUCCUUGCUGUAGAAAUUAAAACGGAAAACCCAAAGAUAUUUCUCGUUCUUUUUUUGCUUGUUGGGAGCUUUCCCGUGUAAAUAGUUUUCCUUUUCUUUUCUUUGGAGGUCAGUAGGAGAAGACCAUGAUUAAAUUGUUGAAGUGGCUCUUAUGUGCAUGAUUGAUUAUUUAACUUAGAGCCCAUAUUACUUGUCUUCUCCUGGUUAUUCAAUGCUUGCAGAUUCCAGCUUAGUCCAAUGCACGUGCACUCUUAUUAUUAUUCACGUCGUUCAGUCGUGCAAGUGAAAGGCAAUAAUGAUGAUAUAUGAUGGACUUAUUGGGAUAAGUAAAGCUCGUAUGAACUCGACCUCUCUUGUUUUUGUAAAUAUGAUGAUUCAUCGUUCCUGGGUUGGCUAUUAUGAAGUAAGCAUAUUUGCAAUGACAUUUAGAGAUUAUAGUUGCUUGUGCCAUGCUUGAUUAGCUAUGAGUUAUAAUGGUUUACCUUGCAUGCCAACAUGCUAUUAGAAUGAUUAUGAUGUGGUAUGAUGGGAUGGUAUCCUCCUUUAAAUGAAUUGAGUGACUAGACUUGGCACAUGUUCACGCAUGUAGUUGAAUCAAAUCAACAUAGCCUUCAUGAUAUUCAUGUUCAUGGUGGAUUAUAUCCUACUCAUGCUGGUAUUUGGUGUAAAUUAAUUUUGAUGCAUGUUUACUACUGUUGUCACUCUCCCAGUUGGUCGCUUCCCAGUCUUUUGCUAGCCUUCACCUGUACUAAGCGGGAAUACUGCUUGUGCAUCCAAACUCCUUAAACCCCAAAGUUGUUCCAUAUGAGUCCACUAUACCUUCCUAUAUGCGGUAUUUACCUGCCGUUCCAAGUAAAUUUGUAUGUGCCAAACUCCAAACCUUCAAAUGAAAUUCUGUUUUCUAUGCUCGAGCAGCUCAUGUUUCAACUAGGGUUGCCCUUAUCUUCCAUGUUAGGCGGUUAUUCUCAAGAGGAGUGGACUCCGCUCCUCAUUCAAGAGAAAAAUGGCUGGUCUUCGGGAUGCCUAGUCCCAUGCUUUAUGCAAACUAAAUCAAAAUAAUUGCAAACAAAACUCCCCUUGGGACCCGUUGAAUGUUGGAGGCACUCGUUGUUUCGAGCAAGCCAUGGAUUGAUGCUUAUGGAGGAAGGGGAGUAUAAACUUUACCAUUCUGUUUGGGAACCUCCUAUAAUUUGUUUAGCAUGGAAGAUAUCGGCAUCUCGUAGUUGUUGCGUUGACAACAAAAGUAUGCCGCUCAAAAUGUUAUUCAAUCUCUAUUUUAAAAUUGAGCUCUGGCACCUCUACAAAUCCCUGCUUCCCUCUUUGAAGGGCCUAUCUAUUUACUUUUAUAUUAAGUCAUCAUCCUUCUUAUUAAAAAGGACCCACUAGAGAGCACACUGUCGUUUGCAUUCAUUAUAAUUGGUUUAUAUUGGGUAUCACUUGACUGGAUCUCUUUUACCAUGAAUUACUAUGUUUAGUCAGUCCUUGAUCUUUAAAGGUGCUCUGCAUUUAUGUUUUGCGGUCUCAGAAAGGGCUAGCGAGAUACCAUUUUGUUAUAUCAUGUUAUGAUUAUUUGGAGAAAGUGUUGUCAUCCGAGUUUUAUUAUUAUAGCUCGCUAGCUGAUUAUGCUAUUGAUAUGAGUAAUUGUGAGACCUUUGUGUUAUUGUUAGUAUGGUUAGUCCAUAAUAUUUGCUGAAACUUGAGUGCUGGCUUUUCAUGUUUACAACAACAAGAGCAAACAGAGUUUGUAAAAGUUUUUCUUUUUUCUCUUUCAGUUUGUCAACUGAAUUGCUUGAGGACAAGCAAGGGUUUAAGCUUGGGGGAGUUGAUACGUCUCCGCUGUAUCUACUUUUCCAAACACUUUUGCCCUUGUUUUGGACUCUAACUUGUAUGAUUUGAAUGGAACUAACCCAGACUGACGUUGUUUUCAGCAGAAUUGCCAUGGUGUUGUUUUUGUGCAGAAAAUAAAAGUUCUCGGAACGACCUGAAACUCCACGGAAUGUCUUAGGAUAAUUAAUAAAAAAAUCCUCGCCAAAGAAGAAGACAAGGGGCCCACACCCUGUCCACGAGGGUGGGCCCCCCUGGGCGCGCCCCCCUACCUCGUGGGCCUCCUGGUGGCCCUCUGACGCCAACUUCAACUCCAUAUAUUGGCUUUGGAGAAAAAAAUCAGGGAGAAGAAAUCAUCACAUUUUAUGAUACGGAGCCGCCGCCAAGCCCUAAUCUCUCUCGAGAGGGCUGAUCUGGAGUCCGUUCGGGGCUCCGGAGAGGGGGAUUCGUCGCCGUUGUCAUCAUCAACCAUCCUCCAUCACCAAUUUCAUGAUGCUCAUCGCCGAGCGUGAGUAAUUCCAUCGUAGGCUUGCUGGACGGUCAUGGGUUGGAUGAGAUUUAUCAUGUAAUCGAGUUAGUUUUGUUAGGGUUUGAUCCCUAGUAUCCACUAUGUUCUGAGAUUGAUUUUGCUAUGACUUUGCUAUGCUUAAUGCUUGUCCCUAGGGCCCGAGUUCCAUGAUUUUAGAUCUGAACCUAUUAUGUUUUCAUGAAUAUAUGUGAGUUCUUGAUCCUAUCAUUCAAGUCUAUAGUCACCUACUAUGUGUUAUGAUCCGGCAACCUCGAAGUGACAAUAAUCGGAACCACUCCCGGUGAUGACCAUAGUUUGAGGAGUUCAUGUAUUCAUUAUGUGCUAAUGCUUUGUUCCGGUUCUCUAUUAAAAGGAGGCCUUAAUAUCCCUUAGUUUCCAAUAGGACCCCGCUGCCACGGGAGGGUAGGACAAAAGAUGUCAUGCAAGUUAUUUUCCAUAAGCACGUAUGACUAUAUUCGGAAUACAUGCCUACAUUACAUUGAUGAACUGGAGCUAGUUCUGUGUCACCUUAUAUUAUGACUGUUACAUGAUGAACCACAUCCGGCAUAAUUAUCCAUCAUUGAUCCGGUGCCUAUGAGUUUUCUAUAUACUGGUUCUCGCUUAUUUACUUUUCCGUUGUUACUGUUACAAUCACUACAAAAUACCAAAAACAUUACUUUUGCUGUCUUUACUUUUGUUACCAUUACCACCACUAUCAUAUUACUUUGCUACUGAACACCUUGCUGCAGAUACUAAGUUUCCAGGUGUGGUUGAAUUGACAACUCAGCUGCUAAUACUUGAGAAUAUUCUUUGGCUCCCCUUGUGUCGAAUCAACAAAUUUGGGUUGAAUACUCUACCCUCGAAAACUGUUGCGAUCCCCUAUACUUGUGGGUUAUCACUUUGUUGAAUCUUGUCAUGAAAGAUCAAUUCGCCGGCCUUCCUAGUGAAGAUGUCGCUACUCAUCUAAACAACUUUGUUGAUUUGUGUGAUAUGUAAAAGAAGAAAGAUACGGAUAACAAUAUUGUCAAAUUGAAGUUAUUUCCGUUUUCACUUAGAGAUCAUGCUAAAGUUUGGUUUUUGUCUUUGCCUAAAAAUAGUAUUGAUUCUUGGAACAAGUGCAAAGAUACUUUUAUCUCUAAGUAUUUUCCUCCCGCUAAGAUUAUCACUCUUAGGAGCGAUAUUAUGAAUUUUAAACAACUUGAUCAUGAGCAUGUUGCCCAAUCUUGGGAAAUAAUGAAAUUUAUGCUUCGUAAUUGCCCUACUCAUGGUUUGAAUUCAUGGAUGAUUAUACAAAAAUUUUAUGCCGGGUUGAACUUUGCUUCUGGAAAUCUCUUAGAUUCGGCCGCGGGAGGCACGUUUAUGGAAAUCACGUUAGGAGAUGCUACAAAACUUCUUGAUAAUAUUAUGGCCAAUUAUUCUCAAUGGCACACCGAAAGAUCUUCUAGUAAAAAAAGUGCAUGCUAUAAAAGAAAUCAAUGUUUUGAGUGGAAAGAUGGAUGAACUCAUGAAAUUGUUUGCUACUAAAAAUACUCCUCUUGAUCCCAAUGAUAUGCCUUUGUCUUCUUUGAUUGAGAAUAAUAAUGAAUCUAUGGAUGUGAAUUUUGUUGGUAAGAAUAGUUUUGGAAACAAUGCUUGUAGAGGAAACUUUAAUGCUAGACCGUUCCCUAGUAAUUCCUCUAAUAAUUAUGGAAAUUCCUACAAUAAUUCUUAUGGUAAUUUCAAUAAGAUGCCCUCUGAUUUUGAGAAUAGUGUGAAAGAAUUUAUGCUUUCUCAAAAGAAUUUUAAUGCUUUGCUUGAAGAAAAAUUGCUCAAAGUUGAUGAUUUGGCUAGGAACGUUGAUAGACUUUUGCUUGAUGUUGAUUCUCUUAAACUUAGAUCUUCUCCUCCUAAGCAUGAUAUCAAUGAGUCUCUCAAAGUAAUGAUAAUUUCCAUUGAUGAGUGUAAGGAAAGAACCACUAGAUUGCGUGCUAAGAAAGAUAGCUUUAUAAAAGCGUGUUCUUCUAGUUUCCAUGAAAAUAAUGAUGAAGAUCUUAAAGUUAUUGAUGCGUCUCCUAUUAGAUCUAUGUUUUGCAAUAUGAAUUUUGAUGAUUAUGGGACUGAUGAUGAAUCAACUUUGCCUAGAAGGCGUCCCAAGAAUUUGGAGUCUUUAGAUCUUGAUGCUAAAAUUGGUAAAAGUAAGAUUGGAGAAGUCACAACCUCAAAUAUCAUUGAACCUACUAUUUCGGAUUUCAAGGAAUUUGAUUAUGAUAAUUGUUCUUUAAAAGGUUGUAUUUCCUUGUUGCAAUCCGUUGUUAAUUCUCCUCAUGCUUAUAGUCAAAAUAAAGCUUUUACCAAACAUAUCGUUGAUGCUUUGUUGCAAUCUUAUGAUGAAAAACUUAAUUUGGAAGUUUCUAUACCUAGAAAACUUAAUGAUGAGUGGGAACCUACUAUAAAGAUUAGAAUUAAAGAUUAUGAGUGUUUUGCUUUGUGUGAUUUGGGUGCUAGUGUUUCCACAAUUCCGAAAACUUUAUGUGAUAUUCUAGGUUUCCAUGAUCUUGAUGAUUGCUCGCUAAAUUUGCACCUUGAGUAUUCCACCAUUAAAAAGCCAAUGGGAAGGAUCAAUGAUGUUCUCAUUGUUGCAAAUAGAAAUUUGGUGCCCGUAGAUUUUAUCGUUCUUGAUAUAGAUUGCAAUCUUUCUUGCCCUAUUAUUCUUGGUAGACCUUUCCUUAGAACGAUUGGCGUGAUUAUUGAUAUGAAGGAAGAGAAUAUUAGAUUUCAAUUUCCAUUAAAGAAAGGCAUGGAGCACUUUCCAAGAAAGAAAGUCAAAUUACCUUAUGAAUCUAUCAUGCGAGCUACAUAUGAAUCGAGUGCCAAAGAUGGCACUACUUAGAUCUAUCUUCGCUUUUAUGCCUAGCUAGGGGCGUUAAACGAUAGCGCUAGUUGGGAGGCAACCCAAUUUUUCUUUUUGUUUUUUGUUUUUGCUCCUGUUUAGUAAUAAAUCUUGCAUCUAACUUCUGUUUAUAUGUGUUUUUAUCUUUUAAUUCGUGUUUGUGCCAAGUAGAACCUAUAGGAUAAACUAUGAUGAUAGUUGAUUUGAUUCUGCUGAAAAACAGAAACUUUGCGCUCACGAUAAAAAAAUCAAUAAAUCGCAGAAACGUGAUUUUUCAUUGAUUCUUUUUGCUGCUGAUCAAUAAACAAAUUUUCCAGUACUUACUAUUUUGGUAGGAUUUUUAGGAUUCCAGAAGUUUGUGUUAGUUACAGAUUUCUACAGACUGUUCUGUUUUUGACAGAUUCUGUUUUCGUGUGUUGUUUGCUUAUUUUGAUGCAUCUAUGGCUAGUAAAAUAGUUUAUAAACCAUAAGAAGUUGGAAUACGUUAGGUUUAACACUAAAAUAAAUAAAGAAUGAGUUCAUUGCAGCACCUUAUGUGGUGGUUUUGUUUUCUUUCACUAAUGGAGUUUAUAAGAUUUCCUGUUGAGUUUUGUGUUGUGAAGUUUUCAAGUUUGGGUAAAGCUUUUAUGGACUAUGGAAUAAAGGGUGGCAAGACCCUAAGCUUGGGUAUGCCCAAGGCACCCCAAGAUAUUCAAGAAUAGCCAAAUGGCCUAAGCUUGGGGAUGCCCCGGGAAGGCAUCCUCUCUUUCAUCUUCGUUCAUUGAUAACUUUACUUGGAGCGUCGUGUAUUAUAUUAGUCUUUGAUUUUUAGUUUACCACAAUCAUACUUGUUGUACACACCUUUUUGGAGAAGCCUAUUUGAUUAGAAUUUUCUAGAAUACUCUAUGUGCUUCACCUAUAUCUUUUGAGCUUGAUAGUUUUUGCUCUAGUGCUUCACUUAUAUCUUUUAGAGCACGGUGGUGUCUUAAUUUUGAAGAAAUUGAUAGUCUCUCAUGCUUCACUUAUAUUAUUUUGAGAGUCUUUUAGAACAUCAUGGUAUUUGCUAUGGUUACAAAGUUGGUCUCAGAAUGACGAGCAUCCAAGUUGGGUAUAAUAAAAACUAUCAUAAGAAGUGAAUUGGAUGCUAUGAUCAAUUUGUUACUUGAUAACUGUUUUGAGAUAUGGAGGUAUUGAUAUUAAAGUCAUGAUAGUUGGGUGAUUGUGAAUUUAAAGAAUGCUUGUGUUGAAGUUAGCAAGUCCCAUAUCAUGCACGUAUGGUUAAAGUUGUGUAACAAAUUUGAAACAUGAAGUGUACCUCGCUUGUGCAUCCUUAUGAGUGGCGGUCGGGGACGAGCGAUGGUCUUUUCCUACCAAUCUAUCCCCCUAGAAGCAUGCUCGUAGUGCUUGAUUUUUGAUGACUUCUAAAUUUUUGCAAUAAGUAUAUGAGUUCUUUUGACUAAUGUUGAGUCCAUGGAUUAUACGCACUUUUACCUUUCCGCCAUUACUAGCCUCUUCGGUGUCGUGCAUUGCCCUUUCUCACCUUGAGAGUUGGUGCAAACUUCGCCGGUGCAUCCAAACCCCGUGAUACGAUACGCUCUAUCACACAUAAACCUCCUUAUAUCUUCCUCAAAACAGCCACCAUACCUACCUAUUAUUGCAUUUCCAUAGCCAUUCCGAGAUCUAUUGCCAUGUAACUUUCCACCGUUCCGUUUAUCAUCAUCAUGACAUACAUUACUUUUAUCAUAUUGCCAUUGCAUGAUCAUGUAGUUGACAUCGUAUUUGUGGCAAAGCCACCAUGCAUUAUUUUUCAUACAUGUCACUCUUGAUUCAUUGCACCAUCCCGAUACACCGCCGGAGGCAUUCAUAUAGAGUCAUAUCUUGUUCUAGUUUUGAGUUGUAAUUCAUAUGUUGUAAUCAAUAUAAGUGUGAUGAUCAUCAUUAUUAGAGCAUUGCCCAAAGAAAAGAAAAAAGGAAGAAAGGCCAAAAAGAAAAAAAAUACCCAAAAAAAUAAAAGAAAAAUAAAAAAGAAAGAAAAAGAAAUAAAAAGGGCAAUGUUACUAUCUCUUUUCCCACACUUGUGCUUCAAAAUAGCACCUUGUUCUUCAUGUAGUGAGUCUCAUAUGUUGUGCUUCAAAGUAGCACCAUGUUUUUCAUAUGGUGAGUCUCAUAAGUUGUCUUUUUCAUAUUAGUGGAAAUUUUUCAUUAUAGAACUUGGCUUCUAUAUUUCUACGAUGGGCUUCCUCAAAUGCCCUAGGUCUUCGUGAGAAAGCAAGUUGGAUGCACACCCACUAGUUUUCUUUUGUUGAGCAUUCAUUUAUAGCUCUAGUGCAUCUGUUGCAUGGCAAUCCCUACUCCUCAUGUUGACAUCAAUUUAUGGACAUCUCCAUAGCUCGCUGAUUAUCCUCGUCAAUGUGAGACUUUCUCCUUUUUUGUCUUCUCCGCACAAUCCCCAUAAUCAUAUUCUAUUCCACCCAUAGUGCUAUAUCCAUGGCUCACGCUCAUGUAUUGCGUGAAGGUUGAAAAAGUUUGAGAUUAUUUAAGUAUGAAACAAUUGCUUGGCUUGUCAUCGGGGGUAUAGAAGUUGGGAACAUCUUUGUGUGACGAAAAUGAAGCAUAGCCUAACUAUAUGAUUUUGUAGGGAUGAACUUUCUUUUGCCAUAUUAUUUUGAGAAGACAUGAUUACUUUGAUUAGUAUGCUUGAAGUAUUACUAUUUCUUUUGUCAAUAUGAACUUUUAUUUUGAAUCAUUUGGAUCUGAACAUUCAUGCCACAAUAAAGAAAAUUACAUUGAGAAUUAUUCUAGGUAGCAUUCCACAUCAAAAAUAUCUUUUUUAUCAUUUACCUACUCGAGGACGAGCAGGAAUUAAGCUUGGGGAUGCUUGAUACGUCUCCAACGUAUCUAUAAUUUUUGAUUGUUCCAUGCUAUUAUAUUACCCCUUUUGGAUGUUUAUGAGCUUUACUUUACACAUUUAUAUCAUUUUUGGGACUAACCUACUAACCGGAGGCCCAGCUCGCAUUGCUGUUUUUUUGCCUAUUUCAGUAUUUCGAAGAAAAGAAAUAUCAAACGGAGUCCAAACGGAAUGAAACCUUUGGGAGCGUGAUUUUUGGAACGAACGUGAUCCAGAGGACUUGGAGUGCAAGCCAAGGAGCAGCCGAGGCUCCCAUGAGAUAGGAGGGCGCACCCUCCCUGUAGGGCGCCCCCUGUCUCGUGGGCCCCUCGGGCGGCCACCGACGUACUUCUUCCUCCUAUAUAUACCUACGUACCCCGAAAACAUGCAGGGAGCAUCCGAAACACAAUUUCCACCGCCGUAACCUUAUGUAUCCGCGAGAUCCCAUCUUGGAGCCUUCGCCGAGGUUCUGCCGGAGGGGGAAUCAAGCACGGAGGGCCUCUACAUCAACAUCCUUGCCCCUCCGAUAAGUUGUGAGUAGUUAACCACGGACCUACGGGUCCGUAGUUAUUAGCUAGAUGGCUUCUUCUCUCUUUUUGGAUCUCAAUACAAUGUUCUCCUCCUCUCUUGUGGAGAUCUAUUCGAUGUAUACUCUUUUUGCGGUGUGUUUGUCGAGAUCCGAUGAAUUGUGGGUUUAUGAUCAAGUUUAUCUAUGAAUAAAAUUUGAAUCUUCUCUGAAUUCUUUUACGUAUGAUUGAGUUAUCUUUGCAAGCCUCUUUAAAUUAUCGGUUUGGUUUGGCCUACUAGAUUGAUCUUUCUUGCCAUGGGAGAAGUGCUUAGCUUUGGGUUCAAUCUUGCGGUGUUCUUACCCAGUGACAGAAAGGGUUGCAAGACACAUAUUGUAUUGUUGCCAUCGAGGAUAACAAGAUGGGGUUUAUAUCAUAUUGCAUGAGUUUAUCCCUCUACAUCAUGGCAUCUUGCUUAAGGCGUUACUCUGUUCUUAUGAACUUAAUACUCUAGAUGCAGGCAGGAGUCGGUCGAUAUGUGGAGUAAUAGUAGUAGAUGCAGGCAGGAGUCGGUCUACUUGUUAUAGACGUGUUGCCUAUAUACAUGAUCAUGCCUAGAUAAUUUCAUAAUUAUUCGCUUUUCUAUCAAUUGCUCGACAGUAAUUUAUUCACCCACUGUAAUACUUAUGCUAUCUCGAGAGAAACCUCUAGUGAAACCUAUGGCCCCCGGGUCUAUCUCUUAUCAUAUUUGCUUCCAAUCUACUUUUAUUUGCAUCUUUACUUUUUGCAUCUAUAUUAUAAAAUACCAAAAAUAUAUUUAUCUUAUCAUAUUAUCUCUAUCAGAUCUCACUUUCGCAAGUGGCCGUGAAGGGAUUGACAACCCCUUUAUUGCGUUGGUUGCGAGUUCUCAGUGUGUUUGUGUAGGUGCGUGGGACUUUUGAGGAGCCUCCUACUGGAUUGAUACCUUGGUUCUUAAAAACUGAGGGAAAUACUUACGCUACUAUUCCUGCAUCACCCUCUCCUCUUCGAGGAAAACCAACGCAAACUCAAGACGUAGCACCCCACGGGACCUGCCUGGAGCCUGCACGCCGCCACCUUGGCUGCACCAGCGCCUGGCCAAGGGCAGCCAACCCCGCCCAGCCGCAUCGCAGCCGCCGCCGCCACCAGAUCCGCCCGCCGCCGCCCGAAGGCCCCUGCACCUGCUGCUCGUAGCCCCGCCNNNNNNNNNNNNNNNNNNNNNNNNNNNNNNNNNNNNNNNNNNNNNNNNNNNNNNNNNNNNNNNNNNNNNNNNNNNNNNNNNNNNNNNNNNNNNNNNNNNNNNNNNNNNNNNNNNNNNNNNNNNNNNNNNNNNNNNNNNNNNNNNNNNNNNNNNNNNNNNNNNNNNNNNNNNNNNNNNNNNNNNNNNNNNNNNNNNNNNNNNNNNNNNNNNNNNNNNNNNNNNNNNNNNNNNNNNNNNNNNNNNNNNNNNNNNNNNNNNNNNNNNNNNNNNNNNNNNNNNNNNNNNNNNNNNNNNNNNNNNNNNNNNNNNNNNNNNNNNNNNNNNNNNNNNNNNNNNNNNNNNNNNNNNNNNNNNNNNNNNNNNNNNNNNNNNNNNNNNNNNNNNNNNNNNNNNNNNNNNNNNNNNNNNNNNNNNNNNNNNNNNNNNNNNNNNNNNNNNNNNNNNNNNNNNNNNNNNNNNNNNNNNNNNNNCGGCCGUCCGCAGCGCAGCCGCCGCGCCCCGCGCGAGCGCCGCCUCCCAAGGAGGUCGUCACAUCCUGCGCUGCAGGACCGCUGAAGGAGGAAAGAGAUCCCCGCCGCCGCCUACGUCGACCGGGCUUUGCCCGGCGGCGCGCUCCGGCGACGGCGAGGGAGGGGGUCGUGAGGAGGAGGACGGCGGCGGAUUUAGGGUUCGUCCCUCCCGCUCGAGGGAACGGGACGGGACGAGGGGGGAAAAGUCAGAGCUCACUUUAUUUUUAUUAUGGUCUCUUUAUGUGUAAAUCGGUAAUUGGAAAAUCAUGCUUUCAUCCGGCUGCUGCAAAUUACCUUUCUUUUCAGAGUUGCUAAUUCUCAUCUAAUUGGGAAUUUGUCAUCUAACUUCCUCGCCGGCCGACCUAUAAUCUCAGGAUUCGUGUUUUUCAGCGGAGGCUCUCUUUUUUUUUUUCCUUUUUCAGAAGAAUCAGCGCAAGCUCUCAGUGUCCUAGUCCACGCACAGGUCGGGAGAUAGUCUGCAAUCGUGUUUUUCGGCGCGUCCUUUGGGCCGGCUCAUUACGGGGUGGGGCGCUCCUAUUGAUUUCAUUUUUUCCUCUCUAUUUUUCCUUUAAAAAUUGUUCGGGACUUCAAAAUUAGUUCUGAAUUUCAAAAUAGUAUUCAUGCAUUCGAAAAAAUGUUCUUGAAUUUAAAAAAAAUCAUAAAAUGUUGUCAUAUUUCAAAAAAUGGUCACAAUCUCAAAAAGUUUCAAGAAUUUAAGAAUUGAUCAUUAUUUGAACAAAUGUUAAAAUUGAAAUUUUAGCAGUUCUGUAAAACAUUCACAAACUCAAAAAUUGUUCGCAGUUUUUAGAAAAAUCACAAUAUAAAAAAAUCACGAAUUCAAAAAAUGUUCAGAACUUCGAAAAUAUUUAAAAUUUUAAUAAUCUUAACAAAUUCAAAAAAGUUCACGAAUAUUAAAGAUGACCGCAAAAUGAAAAUAAAUAAAAAUGAAAAAGAGAAAAAGAGAAGAAAACCCAAAAUGAUUUUUUUAAAAACCGGUGUGAAAAGGCUCUAGAACCUUCCCAAAAUCGAAACAUGGAGUAUACCGGACAUGAGAACUUUGGUCGACCCAAUGUUGUGCGUAGUGAUCACACGGGGAUGCGAUUGCUCGCUACCCAGCGACCUGCGUCGGCGAUGGGGUUCGACCCAGUCGGGGGCGCCUCUAUGUGCGGCCCCUACAAUUUGCCGCAAUGUGCGACAAAUUUGGUUUUCCUUAGAGGCAUAUUGGAGAUUUUUUUGGCCAGUCUAUUAGGAGACAAGGCCGAGCACAAGGAACUGCAGGAAGAUGUUGUUGUGUCCAACUUUCACGGCAGGUUUCGUAAACCCAUCACCUCCCUGUUCCAAGGCCGACGGUGAAGCGUGCCACGAAGAAGCACACUCGUCGAACAAAUGUUCACCGCAGUGCAAGGUUGCGGGGCAGGUUCAUAAGUGCACUAUUGUUUCGGCCUGUGAUAGGUUAAGAUAAUAUAUUAUUGAUUUAAAAGUAAUAGUUCAUACAGACAAUCAAGCUCUAAAGUAUCUACUUACUAAGAAACAUGUAAAACCCGGCUUCAUUCAUUAGGUUUUAUUACUUCACAAGUUUGAUUUGCAUAUUAUCAAUAACAAGGGCGAAUAUAACCAUGUUUGGUUUAAUCUUAUAUUGCUCAACCACAACAUAAUUUUGUGCAAUAGGUGCAUAUAAUCAUUUUUGGGAGAAGUAAACUCCCAAGCUUCUUGGUAGCCAUAAUGGUAAAUUACCGAGUUUUCCUAACUUGCGAAAAAUAGGCUAAUGACAAAAACAUAUUAUAGCUAAAGCGAAAAUAGAUAACAAGUACUCUAGUAACCUUACUAGGGAAAUAUACUUCCUUGGCAAUGGCGCAAAAAAAGGGUUGAUUGCCGUCGAUCAAGUUUCGGAUGUAAAUAUAGCCUUCUUCCCUAGAGAUCCUACAAUUUAUCGAAUCCAGAAAGUGAUGAUGCUUGAUACGAAAAUAUCUACAAGUACUUGUUAUUUCAAGACGUUUGAGUUCACCUAACAAUUCGCAGAAGCGAUGAGAACACUAAUAAAGAUAUAUGCCAGGGCUUAAGAUUUCAUCUACAGUCGUGUACAUGUGCUCGGGAUACAAACUAGAUAAAUCAACAUCGCACCGGUAAACAUUGUUAUAUAUGUAGUACAUGAACUAUGUGUGAGAUGCGUCCAAAUAACCCCUGGACCGACUGCCGCCGAAUAGGUGUCCAACCAAGACCCUAUCCGACUCAUGGGGUUAUCUCGGUUAUUAUGGAUAACCAUACCAACACAUUGGGCAUUUAUUGACUACACCAUAAUUUCCACCAGAGAUGUGAUUACGACUAUCAUACUAAUCCUAAUACUACCGACGUUUGACAUAGCUUUCAUCUCCUCUCAAUACUUUAACUCUAUGUGUUCUGAUCUUCAGUAUCUCGGAUACCAGCGCACCCUAGGAUUGAGGUAGAGACAAAAUAGUUGGACAACACAUAUACAUAAUGUUCUCUCAAAGUCAACCAACAAUCCCUUAAUGCGCAUACAUGGGGCUAUGAAGCUACGCAUCAGACCUUAGGCCGGUGGAACUACUAGCACAUCGCGAAUAAAUAACGAACAAUAGACAUUGUAAACAAAGUUACUUGAAGAUAAAUGAUUGAAAGUCCUACAAUGCUGAUGAGCGUGAUGUAAUCUCGAUUGGAAGUAAUUAAACUAAUUUAGAUGGAGGCUACGGUGGAAGAGAUGGCGGUGGUGGUUGCGCAAACGCGGUGUAAAUGGGAAUGGUGACAGCUGGAAAGGUAAACUGGCGAACUCCAAAACUCUCGGGACUCCUCGAGUUGAAGGGUUUUCCUCUCCUUUAUAUAGUACAUAUGGAUGGACUAGGAUUUUGGGGUGCCUCUACUAUGAAUUGGAACCGGGUCCUUUUGCGAAAGUCGUCAGGAUGGUGCCAUCGACGCGGCGGUAGGCAGCACGAGUAGCAGUAUGACCAGUGGUGGUCGUACCAUGCACAAUCUUCUUGUUUGGAGACUCUAGUGCAUGCCGAGUCGAAUGGCAAUGAUCUUCACGCUCAGUAUAUUCAAUAUAUGACUUGAGUUUUCAUGUAAAAUCACCCAUUUCUGCAAGGAACAAUAUAUACGAGAUUUGUAAUCCUUUGAACUUAUUAGUCAUUAGCAGGCAAAUCGAUGUGAUCAUUACAAAAUAAUUCAAGAAAAUUCAGUUUAAAUACGAGUGAAAAUGAGUGAAAAAUCCACUCAUCAUCAUGCAGCGCUAGAGUUUCACUGUCGCCACGUCAAGUUUAGUCGCCGGUUUUGGGGCAGGCAUGUUCGAUGGAAUUGAUAGCAAUUGACUACUAGUAUCUUAGAUGCGAAAGUAGGCAACAUUGCAGAGACGAGCACACACGACUGCCUAAAGGAUCGGCCAUGGCGAUCAGAAUCCUGGUAACAAAUUGUAUAGCAGCAACGAGCUCUCCUGAGAGAGGAGGAGCUCAAAUGAGCGUUGCGUGCGAAAACUCUUAAGGUUGUCCAAGGGGACGACAACACACAGUUCUUCCAUAUGGUUGCAAAUGGUAAACAUAGGAAGAAGAAGAUCAUUCAGCUUGAACAGGAUGAAGGAACCAUUGAGGGCCAUGACAAUCUGAAAGCGUAUAUUUCCAAAUAUUAUAAAAACCUCUUUGGACCUCCCAAUACUUCCAUGGUAUCUCUUGAUGAGUCUGUGAUCGAUGAUAUAUCUCAAUUGCAGGCAGCAGAGAACGAUGUUCUCUCUGCACCGUUUACUGAAAAGGAAGUGCAUCUGGCCAUAACCCAAAUGAAGCAGAAUAAAGCACCGGGACCAGAUGGGUUCCCAGUUGAAUUCUAUAAGAAAUGUUGGCAUAUCAUUAAAGAUGAUCUUAUGCCUAUGUUUCACGAUUUUUUCGAUGGCCAUUUGGAGUUGUUUCACCUCAACUUUGGUACGAUAACGUUGUUACCUAAGAAGAAUGAGGCGGUUCGGGUCGAACAAUUCCGACCCAUUUCCCUGCUGAAUGUGAGUUCUAAAAUUUUCACAAAGGUAGGGACCAGUAGAUUGACACAAAUUGCUCACUCAGUGGUUCAACCUAAUCAAACAGCUUUCAUGCCGAGACGACACAUACUAGAAGGCGUGGUCGUCUUGCAUGAAACUCUUCAUGAGAUUCACUCGAAGAAACUAGACGGGGUUAUCUUCAAAGUGAAUUUCAAGAAGGCUUAUGAUAAAGUAAAAUGGCCGUUUCUUCAACGGGCAAUGCAUAUGAAGGGUUUUAGUGAAACCUGGAGGAACCAAGAGGAUACUCAAGUCCAGAAGGGUAGUGUCGGAAUUAAGGUGAACGAUGACAUCGGUCACUACUUCCAGACGCAUAAGGGGUUGAGACAAGGGGAUUCCAUGUCACCUCUUCUGUUCAAUAUUGUGGCAGAUAUGUUGGCCGUCAUUAUUGGCAGGGCUAAUGGUCAUGUAGAGGGUCUAGUUCCUCAUCUAGUGGAUGGAGGGGUGUCCAUUCUAUAAUAUGCUGAUGAUACUAUUCUUUUCAUGGAACAUGACUUGGCUAAGGCACAAAACAUGAAACUUAUUUUAUAUUUAUUCGAACAAUUGUCUGGCUUAAAAAUCAAUUUUCAUAAGAGCGAGGUGUUCUGCUUUGGGAAGGCCAAAGACGAGGAACAUACAUACAGACAAUUGUUUGGAUGCGAUUUAGGUGCUUUACCAUUCAGUUAUUUGGGUAUUCCGAUUCAUCACCGUAAGCUGUCCAAUGAAGAAUGGAAAUGUAUUGAAGAACGAAUUGAAAAAAAACUCAGCUGCUGGAAGGGCAAGCUGAUGUCAUAUGGCGGUCGGCUAGUUUUGAUUAACUCAGUUCUGACCAGCAUGCCAAUGUUUUUACUUUCAUUCUUCGAAAUUUCGAAAGGGGUCCGGAAGCGACUUGAUUUCUUUAGAUCUUGUUUCUUUUGGCAGCCUGAUGAGGCCAAGAGGAAAUACCGCCUCGCGCGAUGGGAUAUCCUGUGUAGACCAAAAGAUCAAGGGGGGCUUGGUAUUGAGAACUUAGAAAUUAAGAAUAAAUGCCUUAUGAGCAAAAGGUUAUACAGGUUAGAGACAGAGCCGGAGGGCAUGUGGUCUCAAAUCUUGCGUAAUAAGUAUUUGCACACGAAAAAGCUUGCCUAGGUUACCAUCAAACCCACUGACUCGUCCUUCUGGAAGGGACUUAUGAGAGCGAAGGACAUGUUCUUUCGUAGGGUCAAAUUCUUGGUUGGCAACGGGAUGUCAACAAGAUUUUGGGAGGAUACGUGGCUAGGAGAGACGCCUCUGGCCUUACAAUAUCCUACCCUCUACAAUAUUGUGCAACGAAGGAGGAGUACGUAUGUAUAAUCCUUCAAACUAUCCCCUUAAACAUCCAGUUCAGACGUACGUUAGUGGGUGAGAGGUGGACAACCUGGAUGCACUUGGUUCGGAGGUUGAUUGAAGUUCGUCUCUCCGACAUGCCGGAUUCAACAAAAUGGAAGUUAACUAAAAAUGGGAUAUUUACUGUGAAAUCUUUUUAUACGGAUUUGAUUAAUUCUGGCCCCCUCUCAAGGUCUUUGCAUAUUUGGAAGGUUAGAGUUCCUUUGCGGAUCAAAAUCUUUAUAUAGUUUGUUCACAAGCAAGUUAUUCUCACAAAGAACAACCUUCUUAAGAGGCGAUGGAUAGGAAACUCGCGGUGUUGUUUUUGUGCUCAGGAUGAGAUAAUACAACAUUUAUUUAUUGAUUGCCCACUUGCCAAGUUACUUUGGAGAACGAUUCAUACAGCCUUUAAUAUCAAUGCUCCGGUAGAUAUUGCGUCUAUGUUUGGGACGUGGUUAGCUGGGAUUGAACAGAACAUGGCAGCUCGUAUUUGGAUUGGAAUAUGCGCGCUAUUAUGGGCCAUAUGGAACUGCAGAAACGAUAUGAUUUUUAACAGACGACACAACUUAACUUUUUUGCAGGUUAUCUUGAGAGCUACAGCUAGGAUCCGUACGUGGUCCUUACUCACUCCUAUGGACUCCAGGGAGCCUUUGGUUACUGGGUGCAACCAAUGGGAGAUGGUGGCUCGGGGUAUAUUCAACCGGUUCGGAUGGCGUUCGCAUAAUAGGAUAGGAGUCUAGAGAGCUUAUCCUUAUUUUUACCGCUCCGGUUAGCUUGUAUCUUUCCAGUUUUUUUUUUGCUCCGUUUGCGAGCUGUAAGACAAUCAUGACGCUACUUUCUGGAUUUUUAAUAAGAAAGCCGUAUGCAUCAUCAUGAUGCAGAGGCCGGGGGCAUGCCUCCAUUUCCAAAAAAACAUAUAUUGCAAAGGAUAACUUUGAUGCUUGUUUUGAUUGAAGACAAUCUAAGGAACCACGGGUGUUGUUAUCCGUGGCAAGAAAGGAAAGUUCAUUGUCGCAAAGAAUUCAAGUAUAGAGCUUGUCCAUGAUAUCCUACAGCCGAAGUAAUUGUAGCCAAGGAAGGUUUGUUACUUUUUUUUUUUUUGCGGAGAAGGAAGGUUUGUUAUUUGGAGUGCGGCGUUUUGGUGUCCAGACUCAUCUGCACCCGGUCAUGAAGAAAACAAAACAAAUACUAAAAAAAUUCAAAAACUUUCAAUUUUUUUGUGUGUGGUAGAUAAUUUGAUGCGUGAGGUUCGCUCUCAUUUUUAGAUCAUUUGAACAUCUGAGCUGCUCUCGGCAAAAAAGACAAAUCGGAUCAGAACAAUGCACGAACAAUUAAUAUUUUUACAGACCUCGAAUUUGUCUUUUUUUAGAGAGCUACUUAGAUGUCCAAAUGAUAUGAAAAUUGAAGCGAAACUCACGCAUUAAAUUAUCUAUCACCCAAAAAAAUUGGAUUUUUUAAUUUGUUUAGUAUUUGUUUUGAUUUUUUUUUGUCAGGGCGGGUGCAGCUGAGCCUAGGCUCAGAAGCGGAUUACCGUGUUACUUGCUGAAUCUUUAGAAUGUAGUAGAAUUGGCGUCAGUCCGAACAACAUGAACCUUAUCAACAUAUUGAAUGAAGAUACCUUUGCAGCAGGAAUUGCAGCGGCAGUGUUUAACGAUUUCUACUAUAUAUCGAGAGAGUUUGUCAAAGUAAGUUCCAUACUUGAGUUCAAAUAGGCCAACCCUGUCUUUGGGCUCCAGGCCGCCGGGUUCGACCCGGGUGUGAAUAUCUAAUGUGUCCGUUUAGGACAAAUCUAGUUGUGACAUAAGCUGAUGUUCAUUUUGUUUGUGGUCUAUAUUUUUUGUCCUAAUUUUUUUUAUUUUUCGUGGCUGCAUUAUAUAUUUGUGGAAGCUUACAUGUAACAUCCUUAAAAAACAAAUCUAAUUAUGUUUCUCAUUCUUGUAUAAAAAUAUGCUGAGGGGGUGCUUGCCCCUCUAGUCUCGGCUUUUAUUUUUGGCAUUGCAAAAUACAAGACAUCCAUAUACUUGGUUAGAUGAUCCUCCUCCACCUAUCAUGUACCUCUACUGGUGAAAGAUGUAACCUUAAAUUUUAAUGAAUAAAGAAAAUAGGUACUUUGAUCAGGGGGAGGUCUAUCCACGACAACUUCAUGCUUGUGCAGUGCAUGGCACGACGUCUACAUGCCCUAAGAGAGACCGCAAUCAUGCUCAAGCUCGACAUAUCCAAAGCGUUUGAUUAUGUGAAGUGGCCAUUCUUAGUGGAGGUGCUCAAACACAUGGGGUUUGGCAAUAGAUGGAUUUCAUGGGUGUGCGGCAUCCUAGCAAACUCAAGCACAAGAAUCAUGGUGAAUGGCACUCCCGGGAUGCCGAUAUACUACAGGAAAGGGCUCCGCCAAGGAGACCCAGUUUCGCCAAUGCUCUUCCUACUGAUAAUGGAGCCUUUACAAAGUUUUUUUGAGCUGGCGGUGGAGCGUGGAUCACUUACCCCCCUUGCAAGAUCAGGUAUGAAGCAGUGUGUCUCGAUGUUCGCGGAUGACGUGAUGAUUUUCCUCAAGCCGGAUGAUAUGGACUUGCAUGUUUGUGCAUCGCUGCUGCAAGUGUUUGGAGAUGCUUCGGGGCUGCGUGUCAACUUGGCGAAGAGUGCCGCCUUGCCUAUCCACUGCUCGGAAGACAUAUUGAACAGAGUGGUGCGGAUCCUUGGCUGUCCAGCGGGUAGAUACCCUAGUAAGUACCUUGGCCUCCCUCUGACUUUACGGAAACAAACUGCGGCACAGCUCGGUGGCCUCGUGGACAAGCUUGCAGGACAAUUGCCGAAGUGGAAGGCGACAUACAUGCCCAAAAGUGGGCGUCUAACUCUGGUGCAAUCCGUCUUGUGCGCUAUCCCGAUCCAUGCAAUGAUGGCGCUCGACCUGCCACAAAAAACAAUAAUAGCCAUGAACAAGAUAUGUCAAGGAUUUCUAUGGUGUGCAAAGGAGCAAGCGAAUGGUGGUCAUUGUGCAGUGGCAUGGAAGCAGGUGUGCACACCAAAGUGGGCAGGAGGGCUUGGUAUCCCUAACUUGAGAUGGCUGAAUGUUAUUGUGCAGUCACGGUGGCCAUGGUUACAAAGAUCCGACCCUAGCAAACCAUGGGCUGAGUUCUCCAUCCCGGUGCCUGAACAGUCCACGCACCUUUUCCGUGCGGCAACUAGAGUAUCUGUGGGAGAUGGAAGAACUACUCUCUUCUGGGAGGAUCGGUGGCUGAACGGAAUGUGAAUACAAGAGCUUGCGCCAGCUCUUCACAACAUGGUGGCCAAACGGACCCGCUACUCGUGUACAGUGGAACAAGCUUUGGAGGAAGGCAUCUGGGCACGGGACAUUGGCCCCGAACUCACUGAGCCGAUGCUACAAGAGUACCUUCAAUUAUGGUCAAGGGUUCAGACCACACAUCUAUAGCCGGGAUGCGCUGACGUAAUCAGAUGGUCCUGGGAGCACAAUGGACAGCAUUCCACGCGCUCAGCUUAUGAGGCCAUGUUUUGGGGACGUGAAGGAAUCUCGACAUCUGCAUUCACUUGGAACUCUGGGGCGCCAAUGCGGUGCCGUUUCUUUACAUGGUUGGCGCUUAGGAAUCGCUGCUGGACCUCCGACAGAUUAGCCCGACGUGGGUUGGACCACCAAGAGACUUGCCCUUUUUGCGACCAAGAAGAAGAAUCCAUUCAACACAUUCUGUUGCACUGUGUCUUCGGCAGAGAGGCGUGGACGGUGCUCUGCCGGGCUUUGGGGAAAUCUGAGUGGGUGAUGAUACGACCCAGCUCGCUGCAAGACUGGUGCACUGACAAGGUCAAGAACAAAUCAGCCCGAAAAGACGUCAGAACUCUCUUCACACUUGUGAUGUGGGAGUUGUGGAAGCACAGAAACGCAAUCGUCUUCGACGGGGCAACUCCAUCCAUAAGGCGAGUGUUGCAACGUUUGCAGGAGGAGGGGAGGACAUGGAAAAAGGCAGGACUCUUCAAGUGCGACACGACGGCGUUCUUUGGGGAGUUAGAUAGGUGGGCAUGUGUGAGGAGUUAGUUCGUGUGUGGGUACACCGGCCUAGCUGGGUGAAACAAGCGUGCAAACACUUUGUAAUUAACAGUUGUACGAGUUCUUUUUACCCCUCUUUCUUCUUUAAUAUAUAAUAUGCACACUCGUGCAUAUUCUAGAAAAAUAAAUGCUGGAAAUAUUCCUGACCCUCUCAUAGAACGGUUCUCCAGCUUGUCGACCUGUGGCAGGAUCUGCAGUCGGUGUCGUUUCGCACCGAUGUGGCAGUAGCUGCUAAUGUAUCAUUGGUUUUGUGUCGCAGAUUCUUCAUGGCAGCCACGUAGGAGAGCAGCUAUCGUAAAAAUGACUUCGAGUUGGAUUAGUAGCCGGGAAAGGAAGGCGUAAUUAAGUGCUGCUGGCGAGGGCUUCCGAGAUGGCCUCAAACUCAUUAAACUUGGCACUUAAGCUUCAAAUGCACGCACGCAAAUCCGGUUUUCGGACGGAUCACAUCACAUACGCAUCCACGGUUUGGAAUCGGCGUCACACCUGGCCUGAGCUCAUCAAUAAAAGGCAGCCAACCUGCUUCCAAUCUUCACCAAUCACCAAUCACCAGCCCUUACCCAGCGAAGCGACCGGCGUCCCCUGUUCCCUUCCCAUGGAGAUUGCCUACCCCUACGGCGGGGAGCUCACCAGGAAGCACGGCUCCGUGACAGGCCAGCCGUUUGCCGCCAAGAUCGACAUCAUGUCCGGCCAGAAGCGCGCGAGGGAGAUGCAGAUCCUUCGGCAGCGGUUCCAAGCAGAGCUCGUCGCCGUCCGUGGCCUCCUCCACAAGGCGGCCGCCGUGCUAAUUCCCGCCUCGUCCCCGUUGGCUCCCCGCGUUAAGGAGAGUCGUCCAGGGUUCUUGGCCGAGGAGCCGCCGGCCAAGAAGAGGAAGGCGUCUCCUCCCGUUCCUGUGAUCAAUCGCAAGAAGGCGCCAACGAAGAAGAAGAUGACGGCCUCUGAGAGGGAGAUGCUCGCGGAAGACCUGGAGCUGUUCGUUGCGGAAAUCCCCGAUCACAUCGUCCAGCUCUUGCAGAAGCACAGCUGCGCCACCCGCCCCGGCGAAAUCGAGAUGGACCUCCACGCGUUGGACGACGCUGCUGCUGUCGAGUUACAGGAGCAGGUUGACAAGUUCGCUCGAGAGAGGAGGUCGGCGAAUCCGUCGCCCCAAGAACGCCACCAAGACGGCCCUGAGGCGAUGAACGAAGAGGAGGACGAAGAAGUUGACAUCUGUGGCGGCGUCUCCCCCUUGGUGAUCGUGCCGCAACCUCUGCUGCAAGAACGCCACCAAGACGGCCCUGAGGUGAUGGCCGAAGAGGAAGAGGAGGAAGAAGUUGACAUCUGCGGUGGCGUCUCCCCAUUACCGAUCGUGCCGGCACCUCUGCUGCUCGUCGAAGAUGAAACAGCCAGCGGCAGCCCAAGCUCCAGCAGCAGCAGCAGCAGUUCAGAUACUGAUUCCAGCGACAGCGAUUCAGACACUGAUUCCGGCAGCAGCGACUCGGGUUCAGAGCACUCCGGCGGCAGUGACUCAGAUUCUGAUUCUGACGAGAUCGUCGACAGUCCAGCACCGGCCAUCACGCCUCCAACAUGUGAGCAGCUCGCCCGUGCUCUGGAAAGGCAGCGAAAGGAGGCCACGUCCCGGGCGAGGGAGAAGGCCCGUCAGGAGCUGCUCCACAUGGAGAAGACGGCAAUGCCCGACGAUACCCUACACCGAGAGGAUCUGAAGAGGCUCGGCAUUGAUGAGUACAACACGGCGAAGCCCAGCAACUUGCUGCGGCAGAUUGGGCUCUACCUCAAGGUUGACGAAGACUGGAAGCAGCAACGCCGUCAAAGCUUCCACGAGGAUUUAGAGGAAGGCGAGAUUCGGUAGUGAUCGUCGUUGCUAGCAAGGUCCUAUAACAAGUGAUGCUGUUGCUGAUGGCUUGAUGCCUCACAGAAAACUUGUAGCUCUCUUCUGUAGAUUGUAUGUGUGCUGAACAUGAUUGGAUAUACGAAAGUACAUGAUCAAUUACACUGAGUAUCAACUAAAUUAGUGAUGUCUUCUUUGUAAACAUGUUUAACAGAUAUGUCCAUUUCCAAUAUCAAUCAUACUGAAUAUUUAACAUGAACCGCAAGCAUAUAUAAUAAUGGCAUAUAAGGACCACUAAAUUUAGAAAAAAAAUUGAGAAUAGGACCACGAAAUUUCAAUCAAGCCACAUAUAUAAAAGAGAGUUUUUAUAACUCGGAGGCUCAGUAUUUCUGAAAAGACAUCUUCACAUACAUAUGGAGAUUAAUAUCACGAUGUAUGAUUGAUGCCUCAAGACCCUGAAUGAUAGCAUCACCUUAUACAUUCAAUAUAUAAAAAAGAUACAUAUCAAGGAGGCUUGUUCCAGUGGCACCGAGAUUCGAGCCUUUUCAGUUUUCGUUUUGUGCCUGAAUUUCCUACUAAUGAAUAUGCUAACUAGUUCCUCCUUGACAUUCUCAUUCUUUAUACAACCCGCUUGCACCAUUCUCAUUCCCAACUGCGAACCAUACAGUUCUUCAGUUAAGCAUCCAACAACCUUCAGCUUAAUCUUCAUGGUUGUUUUCGCCUUCAGAAUCUGUUUAAUAGCAGGGGUAGCUUAUAACAAAUCCAUAAGAGUAUGCUGCCGAGAAAGAAAAUAAAUCUAACACCAAGGAAAUGAGCAAGAAAAGAAUCACUGACCGGAUCGAACAUCCUCACCAACAUGACCUCUGGACUGAAUUUGUUUGACAAGCAUCCGGUAAAUCAGUACCCACCAAUAUAUGUGAAAGACUAGAAGUGAAAACAAGAGAGUGUUGAAAAGAUAGUAGUAUGAGGUUCUGUAGAUUUUUUUGUUCUCCUUGUCCAAGAUCAUAGCUAUUUCAUAACUGAAAAAGACACAAGACCAUUGAAUUGAUCAACAAAUGCUCUAAAAAAACUAAGUAGAGUAAUGCUGCUUCCUAAUCAGGUAAAGUAGCACCACAUGCCAGAACAACCAAGAAUGUUACCUUGUGCUUCUUAGAAUCCAGAAAGGAAACACUAUUAGCCGAAGAAAGAUCCACGGAGCCACAAAAAGUAGAAAUGCUACAACAGCUAGCCACUCACAGCUACUGUACUUCGCCAUCUUUCCGAUCUCUAGGAAUAUAUCACUUGCAUCAUGGAGGGGUAAAAUGACCGAGCCAGGACGAGAUAAUCUGUUUGGAAGUAGCAACAACUUCAAGUUUGACUAUGCUGUAUAUUGUUAUGGUAUACAAGGGCGAUUACACUCAUCUGCAUACCUGCAAAUAUAGGACACAACAAUCAGAACAACAAUUGCCACACGGUGAGACAUCAUGACUCCGAAGUCCUUGCGUCUUGUUUCCCAGAACAGAAGAUCAAAGAUAGAAUAUACGUAAAAUCCAGCGGCAUACAUGUAUACAGACUUAAGCUUCAGCCUGGAGAGAAAAACAAACAAUGUUGAAAGCAGCAGCACCGACAAAGCUUCCAAGAGGAUAUAGAGGAAGGCGAGAUUCGUCGUGAUCGUCGUUGCUAGCAAGGUGCUAUAAGAAAGUGAUGCUGUUGUUGAUGACUUAUUGCCUAACAGAAAGCUUGUAGCUCUCUUCUGCAAAAUGUAUGUGUGCUGAACAUGAUUGGAUAUAUGAAAGUAGAUGAUCGAUUAUGAAGACUAUUAUGUUAUGCUCCAAAUUCAAGUAUAAAGAGGGCGGCUAACUUCUGACGAGCGAGCGGAGCGAGGCCCGAUCAAUAUUGACCUAGGUUACCUGUGUUAUAUAUACCUCUUGUAAGCCGCCACACCGGAUAAGUUGAUCAGUUGUAAAUCCCCGGCGUUUGUAACCUCCCCGAUAUAGUGAAGUUCGGCUGGCUGGCGUCUGUGGUUUUUUCCCCUUCGUGUUGGAGGGGUUUGUAACCUCAUUUUCGAAAAUACAUGAAAUAUUUUACUUAAAACUCAUGAGGAUUUGAAAAAUUCACGAAUAUCUUUUAUUAAAUAAGUCAUUUUAUUAAAAUCGUUAACCAACCUCUUACAAUCUAAUCACACCCCCUCCCUCCUCCCUCCUCCCGCGACGCCCUCGCGGGCGCACCGGAGGCUAACCCUAGCUGCCGUCGGGGCUCCCGUCUUCCAUUCAUCCCCUCCCUCGCCGCCGCCAGGGGCGCGACUUGGCGAAGUCCUGCCGGCGGCGGGGUGCUCUUCCUCCCCUCGCGCGGGUGGCGAGACGGGGGGCAACUCAUCAGGGCCUGGGUGUCGCGCUAGGUGCCGGGCGCGACGCAGCGAUGGUGCGUUGGGCAGCGCGGGUGGUAGCGGACGCGCCUUGGUCGCCAGGGUCGGCGACGUCGAGGCCAGAUCUGGGGCCUGUCGACGCGGCUUCAGGUCUUUGCCCCUGCCAUGGCCACAGCAGGUGGUGGUGCGACGCAGCAGUGGCUGGUUGGUCGGCGGGCUGGCCGGGAUCCAGGGGCUUCGACGGCUGGACAACGGCAGGCAGCGCAGAUCGGCUCCUCGAUGAGCCUCUUCACAAUUGGCGGCGGUCCUUGGGAUCUCUCCUUUCCGGUGGGCGAGUGUGUGUUGGUGGCCUCGCGUGGAGUUGCAUUCAUCGCCGAGGUGGGGCGACACAAGAGGUGUCCGGUGGGAAGGCAGGCUGGAGGGAUGGGAGGCGCCGACGAACUCAGGCCACCUGUCACGGGCACAUGGAUGUGCCGACCUGGAUGCGCCCGCUCCCCCUCCUCCCCCGUUCCUUGGUUGUGUGUGGGCUACGGGGCUCCUGCUUUGUUCGAGGCGGGACGUAUGUUGCGGUCUCUUCGGUCGGGUGCGCCCUUUGGCCCAAAGCCGAUCACUUUGGUCGGUCUUGGGGGUGUCUCGAUGCAGAGUGGCAGCCCUGGGGGCGGGAGGCACAGAGUUUGUGGGCAGAACUUGCACCUGGGGUGCGAGCGAGUGGCCAUGGCCACGUGGGUGGGUGGUCGCUGGUGGUUGGCGGAGCUAGGAUGCGUCGGAGGGGUGGUCGUGCCGGGACUUGCCCAAUCUUGUAUUGGCCAUUCGUGGACACUGUAUACCUUCAUGAAGGCUCUGUCGCCGUGUCCUUACUCUUUCGAGUUGCACCGGGUGAAAACUCGAUCUUUGGGAUCAAAUGAUGGCGGCUAUAAGUGGUCGUUCCCUUCUAGGAGGCACCAUCUUGGAGUCCUUGUUCCGUUGUUUCCCGUCUCAACUCUCCUCGGACGAGGUCUCUAUUGGCUUCAAGCGGUUCGUCCUCGCGCAUUUGUAGUGGCACGGUAGUCGUUGGGGGUGGUGCGGCGGUGCUCGGCACCUUUAUAUCUUGCCUUGGGUGUGUGUGUCGUGUGCGGUGGUGGCGUGAGUUUGUAUCGUGGUGCUUGUGGAUCGGUGUUUUAUAUAUAUAGCAGGACGAAAGCAUUUUUCAGUAAAAAAUUGUUAAACAUUUUUAAUUGAAAAACACAUAAAAUAUAAAAAUGUUGGCUACAAACAGUUGCUCAUUUUAGAGACUUGGCUGCAUUUUAUGGAUCAACAAUGUUGAGAGGAGCGAACCAACCUGUGAUUGGAUGGUUAGAGGGACAGUGGUAUCCCCAAUCCACCAAGGUUCUCAAGAUAACAUGCCGGCUGAGUCUCUCAGAGGAGCUUAUCUCUACUCCUAAUGGAGCAGUUGGUAGUCUCCGCGGUCAAUUUUCGUCCCACCAGAGACGGGUUUUUCUCGUCCGUUUUUUUUUCGCUGGUUUUUUUGUCACCUCCCCACCCCACCUCACCCCACCCCACGCACGCACCCUAUGAAAACCACCCCGCAGGCCGUUCCUCUCGAUCCCCUCCCGUCGCCGCCGCCUUUCCUCUCGAUCCCCUCCCGUCGCCGCCGCUGUCCUCUUGAUCCCCUCGAGUAAGCGGCGCCGCCGUUGGCUCCCGAUCUCCUCCAUGGCGGAUUCCCACGGACGCCGCGGCAGGGCAUGGUCGCGAUAAUCGCAUGGAGGGUCGCGUCGAGGAAAGCGACGACCUCGCAGGCAUCGGGUCAAGCGGCUGGCCCUUCUUACGCGAUUGCGCCGUUUUUUUCUUCCGCGGCAGAGGUUGGUGCCGCCACGGCCGCAUCAUGGAUUGCGUCUGUUUUUUUUUUGCGCUGGAUCCUGAUUUGGCGGGAUUUUUUUCCCAGGCAUUGAGCGCGCGCUGGACGGCGGGAACUGUCGCGUCAAGGAGGACGCUAUGGACGGUGGAUCCAGGGCGCUGCACGUCGCUGUCGGCCACGGGAGGAUGUCAUACCCUUUGGGCGCAACAAACUCUUGGCCAUAGCCUCUUCGGCUUUUCACAACAAGUUAAUACUCUCUACACUAGCAUUAGUACUAUUCAGUAAUCACCGCUUUAGCUUCUGAAUAAAUUUUUAUAUGAGAUCUAGCCGGUAAUCGUGCAGGCUUUUGUCUAAAGUUUUUUCUUUUGCAAUUUGAAAUAUAUAGUAAGUGUGAAUAUCACAUAAAUGGUUGGCAUCUAAUUUUCCAUCAUGUUACUUACGCAUAAGACUUGUAUCUCCUUUCUACUGACUAAUGGUGAAUAGACUCCUUUUGUGAAUUAAGAUCAUUCAGAGAUGAUAAUGAUUGUAGCUUGCAUUGCAUGUACGGUGGUGUACCUCUUGAGUUGGAGAAUAUCUUAGAAUUUAUUGACUUGCAGCUAUGGCAAUGACCAACACAGUUUUUGCGUUUUCUUUUUUGUUCCCACGUUUCUUGUUGGUGCUGGUGUAGGUUUUCUUCUUCAAUAAAAUACAUAGAAGCAAAUCAGACUGGUUGCAAAUAUCAUGCUACUUCACCAGAAAUUAUGUUUUCCAACUGAAAUCAUUUUUGUUUACUAGGCGCUAGCUAUCCCUGACAACAAGGUAAGAGACAUGUUGUUUCCAACUCACCCUUAAUUACAGUUGAGAUACUUGCACAAAAGACGUCUGCAAAUGUUUUAUUUUCUUAACAUUGUUUUAUCAUAUCCUUUCAUAAUUUCAUCAGGAAAGAGAUGCAUAUGAGAGGAAGAGAGCCUCCCCCAAGCUCUGUCUAGGCGAUGCACGGGAAAUUUGGAAACUAUCAAGGAGAUGUCGAAUGAUGAAUAUACUCAGACACUGAGACACAUUCUAAAACGUGUUUACGCAGGUUAGUCCUGAUCAUCCUUAUUUUUAAACCUGAAACAUUCUUUAUUAUUGUAGGGUUCUCUAUAAUCCCAUGUUUGUGAAGUCAAUUGCUUAGUUUGAUUGAGAGUACUUAAGUUAAUGCGCAUGUAUACUUUUCUAGAUCAUAUAUUAAUUGGUUGGACUCUUCAUGUACACUAAAUGUGAAACUCAUUAUGAUUCGGAAGUCCUGGUAGCUUGUGACAUAAUUGAUGUAUUUUAUAAGUCAUGGAAUUUGUUGUUAGCAACAUGUACCUGCAGAUUUGGGGUAAUUUCCAUUUCAACAUUGUUUUUGUUCUUGGACAUUCUGGAUCAUACUAAGAUACUUCGGAGAGAUGUUCCAGAUUUAUUCUUUUGAAUUUCACUAAUUUCUUUCCAUGGCUUCAGAUUCACCAGUGCGUUCGUUACUGCCAUUUUGAGUCACUAUUGGUGCCUAUGAUUUGGAUCAUUAACAGUUCAAUUUGUUUAGGUGAUGGGGCUGCCGCCAACCUGGGCCCGCUCAAGAAUGGUGACUCUACAGGAGGGGGAUGGAGUCGCGGAAGCUUCCGUGCUAUUGGGAGCGACAGUUCCACAAUGAGCCGGUCUUUCGUCACCUCUGAGUUGGAGGAUGUCCAAGGCCGGAAGUGUUCGUCACCACUAAGCCGUGGUAAGGAAUUUUUUGCCCAAAAAUAUAUUGGUUCUUAGCUUCCUAAAACUCAGGAAUAUUUUAUCUUUCUCAUAUAUUUUAGUUCAUUUUAUGUAGGCUGAGAUAAUACUGGCGCGAUGUCCAGAUUUGGAUCUCUCAUGUCUGAACAUUUGAAACGCCGAGUACUCCAUGAAAGCUUGCCUAGCCGCUUUUGUGCAAUAUUAUAUCUUUGGACGUUUGCACUUCCGCGGCUCUAGACAUGAGCUUCCUUAUAUGGUAAAAAAAUGAUGGUCGAGAGCUCCAUUCAGCUUGUGGAAAUAAAUAAUCUCCCAUAUUUAUUAAAUUUGCUUGCUUUGGCAUGUUACUUUAUCUAUAUUUGAAAUAGGAUAUUCUUUGAUAUGUAAUUUUAGGAAAUAGUUGGUUUUCAAUCUUUUUGCUUGAGAUUCAGAAGAUCCAAAACUGCCUAAUACAAUGGCUACUCUAAUCAAUAAAAUGAGUUACAUAUAUAUUCAGAAACUAUGUUGAUCAGGCUACUUAUAUGCAUUGGAAAACCAUUAGAUUCCUUGUUGCAUUAACAUUGACAUCCACAGUUACUUCUCUGUACAUAUUUAAAAUGUAGAUAAAAUGUAUAUCCUCUAGCUCUCAUGUGUUUUAGUCUCUCUUUUCUCUUUAUGUUGUAUCACCAAUGAUGAGAGAGAGACCGGGCCAUGGAGAGGGAGAGAGAGAGGUCUAAAUGAUUGUAGCCAUACCAGUUUCAUGUUUCCAUGUAUGACAUUAUACUAGAUAGAAAACAGUAACUUUGUGUGGGUUGAUUAUACUAAAUACUUCUAACAUAAUAAUCUACAUGUAUCAAUUGUUUAUGCCCAUUACUUGCGUACACACUAUACCAUAGUAUUUUAGUAGUGCACCCUAUAAAAAAGCAUCAAUGCACAUUAUAUCUCACUUCUUGCUUUACAUGUGAUUUUCUACCUUCAAAAGGUAACAUGAGCACCUUGAUUUCCUAUCUGUUUAGACACAUAUUUCUUUCAGGGGUUAUUUUUCAAACAUCCACAACUCCUGCCUCUUACUUAAUACACUACAUUCCUAAAGCUUCCCAAAGAUAGUACAUGUUUAAAACAGUUUAUGUCUUUUAGUUUUACAAGCUCCCUAAAACUAAACCGAUGUGGAAUAGGUGUGCCUGCCUGCUUUAAAAUGUGAGCUACUUAUAUAGAUAUUUUUUUCCUCAUCAUUCUUAAGUAUUUCCCCUAAAACUGGGUUAUGCAUAGAUGAUGACUGCUACAACUCAAAGUAAAUAUUCUGAACCUAACUAAAGGAUUCUGGUGAUGGUGGCACACGCACUAGCAAGUAUCUAAUGCAUAUACAUGACUUCAUAUUAUUUAUCUUAUUCACAUUCACAUACUAAUAUAUUCAUGAUUUUCUUUUGCAUUGUAGAGUGCUAGCGUGCUACAUUGCAGAGAAAGCUUUGAGAAAAUGCUUUGUUGGGAUGAUAGACAAGAAUAAUCAAUCCUCAUUCCAAGGUUAGAUUUGUACUUCCUUCCCAGUUCUUCUUUACAAAGGACCAAUCCUCUUACUUUAUCCAUUCAUGUUGUCUUAAUUUUGUUCCUUCAUAGAAAAACAUUUUCUCAUUUCAAUCUUUCUCCAUUUGGUAUGAGUGUGGCACAUGCUCUUAAUUUUUUGACUAUUCUUGGUUGAUUAAUGGUUGGUGUAUUGCCUUCCACUUUGGAUUAUUCUCAAUCCUCUUGCUUAGGCUAUGUGUACCAUUCUGUCACAUGCCGCCAUCAAUCUGAGCAAAAAUUAGUGUAGAUGAACCGAGCUAUUUUAUUGUAAGCUGUGUAUAGACCUUCAUGGGAAAAUAAUCAUGUAGUUAAUGUUUUAUGCCAUAUCUAUCCAGAUAGGUGAAUCCUCGCAAGUUGGUCCCGGUAUCUAAAUAGGAUUGUGCCAACCUAGAGCCUUUUCAGAUUGUAGCAACUCUGUUUGGGGUUUCCUUCUACCUAAUCAAGGCUCAUUCCCGUUUGCUUUGUCCUUAUCUCCUUUUCUGUCAUAAAUUCUUCACCUAUUCAAGAAGCUCAUUUUUUGUUAGUUGGAACAACUAAAAAAAUCAGUGUGCUUUAUCAGGAGUUGUGUAAGUACUAAUUAUGCCAACCUGGGGCAACACUCUAAUGGUUUCUCCACAAAGGAUGCCUCCUGGAGCUCUACUUCUCUCCCACCCCCAACACCGGUAAUAGUAUGAAAAUCCUAUUACUAAAUAGCUUAUUGUUUGAUGCUUAUGUUUGUUGGUGUAGUAAUCAUUUUUGAAGGUCCAGUCCUGGAGGAUGUUACUCGAGGCUUCCGUAUAGUCGAGUGAUUUUGCUUUUGCAUGCUAAUAAUACAAUAUAGAUGGAUAUAAUUGGCAGUUAUUAGUGCAUAUUAUUUUGUCUCAAUACCAUAAAUUCAAUGUAAAGGUUUGCAUUAUUAUUGUCGAAUCUAAAUUACAUUAAAGACUUGAACAGGGAAUGAUGCCUCUUUUAACUGAUUGGUGUGCUUUUUUAACUCUCUUUAAUGAGAAAAUCAUAGUGUAGUUGCAUCUUAUAUUUUGAUUGGGCAUGUAGGUGUGUGCUUCCUCACGAACCCAACUUGGACUUAUCUUCCUUGUUCAAGUCACAAUAAGGGAGUGAGACAGUCUCCCCCCUGCCCCUCCCCUGCCAUGGCGGACUCCGGUGCUGACCCUGUCGACCGCCGCGCGACCCUCUCCGGCGAGCGCGUGUCCUCUGGUGACCGCUGGCUCAGCUCAGAGAGCGAGUCCCCGGCGCGCUCGUACAGCGAAGUCGCCCGCACUCCGUCGCCCCCGGCCCCGCAGAGGCAGGCUCCUCCGCGCGCCCACCGCUCCUCGGCGGCGCGCCCCAGGCUGCCGGCCAGAAACCGCCUUGGCCCCCGCUCGGAGGUACACCGCGUCUCUGGCGGAGAUGUGGUGGACGAGGACGGAUACCAGCUCCCUCGGUGUCGGAACCGCCGCCGUCGCCCGCGGCAGGCGGCCACCCCCAGCCCUCCGGCGCCCCGCCGCCGGAGCCCCUCGCCUGAGGAAGUCGCCGGGCUCUGCUUUCGUUGCCUGGACCAUCGCCACCGGGUGCGCGACUGCACCAACGACAUCCGGUGCCGCACAUGCCUGCAGUCUGGGCAUGACUCCCGCUCCUGCGACCCAUCGCGCCGGGACGUGGUGCCGCAUCGUCAACAGCACGGCAACCCGGCUGGCCGGGCACGCGUGCAGCCGUCGUCCGCGCUCAUCCCCCUGUCGCCCCCCGCAACAACUGCCACGGCGACACCUACGGUCGACGCGCACCCGCCAGAGCCUGUGCGGAUCAUCAUGGCACGCACCGUCGAGAUGGAGGACGCGGAGACGGUUCUGUCCCGCGCGAUGGUCGCGUCCAUCACCGGCAAUCGACCGUCCGUCUCCGCCGAUGAGGUGGCUGCGCUGCUCUGGGACUCAUUCGACCUCGUCGACGGUGACUUCACCGUCCACCGUCACCACCCGGAGGACUUUCUGAUCCUGUUCAGCUCGCUGGCCAUCAAGGAGCGGCUCGCCGGCGACCACUUCAUCCGCUCGCCACGCUUCUCCCUUUCGAUGCGGCCUUGGUGUAAGCUCGCGCACGCCGGCUGCAGCGAGUUCGAAUUUCACGUCGAACUCGAGCUGCGCGGUGUCCCCACUCAAGCAUGGCACCUCUCCACCGCCGAGCAUAUCCUCGGGCAAAGCUGCUGGAUCGAACGCCUCCACCCCCACACCCGUUCCCGCGCCGACCUCGCCACCUUCCGGCUAUCUGGGCGCACACAUGACCCUGACAAGAUCCAUCGCGCUGCCAUUCUUGAGGUGGUCAAGCAGGUGCCGGCGGCCUUGGACUCCGACACGCCCACCAUCAGGAUCCUGACUUACCCCAUCUCCAUCGCGCUAGCCUGCUCUAUCAUGAUCAGACCGCCGACGACUACAAGGCCCUCGGGCGAAGGGCCAGACCAUGAGCGCGGCACCGACGGGAACCGCGACCACGCCCCUGACCGCGGCCCAGGUCGCGCGCGCCGCCGCGGACGCAAGCGCAGACGCACGGACGCGCCCGCCACCGGUCGGGCCGACGGCAUGGCCAUGGACGACCUGGGCUGGCGCGUCGCUAGGCUGGCAAGGUCAGAUGGCCUAUCCUCGUCGCCGACGUGGCCUUCCGGCGCCGGCUCCGGCGCGGCGCCGUCCGCGAAUCCACUGCGUACGGGCAUGAUGCCCUGGCCUGGACAACGAGGGGGCCACCGCCCGCGUCACCACGCCAGAAGAGGAAAAGGCAGAGGAAAGCAAAAGGAGCAGUCUGCAGAGGGCCCGUCUGGCUGCACUGACGCGGUCGCCACAGACGCCCAGCUGGGCCUGGUCGGGCCGCGUGUCGACCCACAACAGGCCGCGAGUUCAAAUCUGGUGGCUGGCAACGAUCCCAAUGACGAUUUUGUGGGGCAUAGACCGGCCCCCCCCUGACGCACCGGCUUGUCGGGAUCUGGCCCAUGGUUGUUGCGCGCCUGUCGCCUCGCAGGAGAGAUCUGCAGCGCUAGAGACCCGGUCGGGACAAAGUGGAGAUACCGCCUUACCCGAGCCAGAGGAGGGGCUGGAUUCCGCUGACCAGUCCGCCGCCACCAAUCCCUCUCGCGAUGCCUCGGGCGGGGAAACGCCCCCUCUCGGCGCCAACCCUCCCGCCCUUGCUGCUGGGCCGUCUCCACCUGCUGCCGCGCGGCCGGCCCGCAGCCCAGCUGGCCCGAUUGCGAUUCUGCAGCGGCCCACGCCUACACCUCCCCUCCUGCUGCCCACCGAAGACCAGCUACCCCGAAACGCUGGGGCCGCGACAAACCAAGGCCCAAGUGGCCGCACGUCGAGCCGCUUCGCAUCGCCUCCAAUUACACUGCGGCGAUCCCGAAGCCGCACUACGCCACAGCCAUGGACCCUUGGAGAGUUUCUGGCCACCGCCACGAAACACCUCAACGCCGCCCUGCCGGCCCCUGGAAAGAAGCCACGCCGACCACUCAACUUCGCCCCUCGCCGUGGACGAUCUGCAACUACGACUUGCCAACCGAGCGCCCCUCCCACGGCGGAGCGGCGCGCCCACGUGCAAAUCCUACGCACCCUUGGGAUCAUAAGGAUCGAUCAGAAGAUCACUGCCGCUGAGAUGAAAGCCUAUGACGGCAUGUUCGCGGCACCGCUACCCCUGACGGUACUCAAGGCCAUUGCCACACUGGUUGACCGGGAGAUCCCAGUCUGCAUGGCAUCGGCUGUGACCGGCAGCGUCGACGUUGCAUGUGAAGGCUAGACCAGUAUACGGGCGCCCGCCCGUCGAUCCCGUUCCCAUGGAUCACGGCCUUAAGAUCGCUAUCUGGAAUGUGCGCGGCAUGAACGCACGGGCUCGGCGACAUGCUAUCCGGUCGCUGCUGGACACCACCGGGGCCUCCAUUGUUUGCAUUCAAGAAACGAAAAUGGAGUUGAUCUACUCGGCUAUUGUCCUUGAUGCGCUUGGUUCCGAGUUCGAUGACUACACGUACCUCCCAGCCGAUGGCACGUGGGGCGGCAUCUUGCUGGCGUGGAAGAGCAGGGCCGUGACCAUCACGGACCCAAUGUUCACCACUAAUGCGAUCACUACUAAGGUGACCACGGUCACUGGCCCUCCUUGGUGGCUAACGGUGGUAUACGGACCCCAGGAAGAUGCAGACAAGGUUGCAUUCCUGCAGGAGCUUCGCGACAUCCGAGCCGCCUGCCCAGGCCCGUGGAUGGUUUGCGGCGACUUCAAUCUUAUCCUCCGCGACGAUGACAAAAACACGGGCACCGUCAACCGGCGCAUGAUGGGCAAAUUCCGCCGUCUCACAAAUGACCUCGCGCUCAAGGAGAUCUACCUCAACGGGCGGCGCUACACACGGUCCAACGAGCAAACACCGCUGACGCUUGUGCAGCUCGACCGUGUUCUUUGCACCGCUGAUUGGGAGGACACGCACAGCGGAUGCCACCUUCGAUGUAUUGCGGCUGUGGUGUCGGACCACGCCCCGUUGCUGCUGGAUUGCUCGCCCACGCCCACCUCACAUCGGAGGUUCCAUUUUGAGGAAUACUGGCUACGCUUGGACGGAUUCCAUGACGUGGUGACCGCAGCCUGGGGCUCUACACAUCACGUCGAUCCCUUCCACCGGCUCAUGCUCCGGCUACAGGCAACGGCGGCUAGCCUCACUAGCUGGAGUUCCAGGUCUACGGGCAACAUCAAGGCCAAGCUGGCGAUAUCACGGGAGCUCAUCUCGCGCUUCGACCAAGCCCAGGAAUCGCGCAACCUCUCGCCACCAGAGGCCUGGCUCCGCAAGCAGCUCAAGAUAUCCUACCUUGGGCUCGCUUCCAUGGAGCGCACGAUCGCCCGGCAACGCUCUCGCAUCGCCAACCUCAAGGACGGCGACGCCAGCACCAGUUUCUUCCACCGGCAAUGCUCAUUCCGUCGGCAGAAGAACCACAUCUACAGCCUGGCCGUGGAAGACAGGGUGCUCACGGACCACUCUGACAUGGCCGAGGCAGCCUUCGCCCAUUUCGAGGCCUUGCUGGGCACGGCGACCGCCCGGGAGCACUCGCUGGACCUGUCCCAGCUCAUUGAGCCGACCGACCUCGCCGACCUUGAUGCACCGUUCAGCACCGAGGAGAUUUGGGAGGCUGUCAAGCGCCUCCCCGCCCGUAAGGCGCCAGGCCCAGAUGGGUUCACAGCAGAAUUCCUACACGCAUGCUGGACUACCAUCAGGCAGGAUUUCCUUGACGUGUUCCAGCAACUUUAUGACAUGCGAGGAAGGGGGUUCUACAAGCUGAACCAAGCAUUGCUGACGCUGCUGCCAAAGAAAGCCGACACCCAUGGGCUGCGCGACUACCGGCCGAUCUGCCUAAUUCACCUUGUGGCCAAAAUCUUCGCCAAGGUGCUCUCGAUCCGCCUCGGUGCCAAGCUGGACAACCUAGUUAGCCGCAACCAAAAUGCUUCCAUCUCGGGAAGGAGCUUGCACGACAACUACGUCCUCGUCAAGCAGUCACUCAAGCUGCUGCACCAAUUGGGAGCUCCGAGAGUCAUGCUCAAGCUCGACCUCACGCGCGCCUUUGAUUCCCUGUCAUGGCCAUUCCUCUUUGAGGUUCUAUGCCAGUAUGGAUUCGGGAACAGAUUCUUGGAGUGGACGGCCAUCCUCCUGUCUUCUGCGAGCACACGCAUCCUCCUGAACGGCGAGCCCGGCCCACCCAUAUGGCACCGGCAAGGGCUCCGGCAGGGCGACUCCAUGUCCCCGCAGCUCUUCGUGCUCGCGGUCGACACCCUGGGAUGGCUCCUACGACGCGCUCACUGCCUGGGCAUCCUGCAGCCACUACACCCACGGCGCCACAUCCCGGCGAUCUCCCUCUACGCCGACGACGUCAUGGUCUUCUGCCACGCCACGGCGGAUGAUACCACUGCGAUCAGGGAGAUCCUCGCCUUGUUCGGCAGGGCCUCCGGCCUGAAGGUGAACUUCACCAAGAGCUUCGCCACCAUCCUGCACGGCGACCAAGCAGCCACGGAGAUGAUCGCGCACCUCGGCUGCCCGGUGGCGACUCUCCCCAUCACCUACCUCGGCAUCCUCAUGUCCACGCGCCGCCCAUCUGUCGCCCAGCUACAACCCAUGGUUGAUGCGGUUGCAGCGCGCCUACCGACCUGGAAGGCCUGGCUGAUGACUAAAACCGAGCGCCUCGCGCUAGUUAAGUCGGUCUUGAGUGCCAUCCCAGUGCACCAACUGCUUGCGUUCGCGCCCCCCAAAAAAACUCUCAAGCAGAUCGAGAAGAUUCAGCGUGGUUUUCUUUGGGCUGGACGCGCCGCUGCCAAUGGCGGACACUGCCACGUGAACUGGAACAGAGUUUGCCGCCCCAUCGAGCUUGGGGGCCUGGGAGUGCGAGACCUCGAGCGCGCCAGUCUCGCCCUGCGACUACGCUGGUUAUGGUUCUCCAGAACGGACCUGGGGCGAGCAUGGCAGGGGUUGGACCUUCAAUUCUCGCCCACGGAACGUGCCCUGUUCUGGGCAUCCACGCUCACGCUCAUUGGGAAUGGGCAGACCGCCCUGCUCUGGGAGGACCGAUGGAUAGGUGGCCAAUCUGUGCGCGAGCUCAUGCCUAACCUCUACGGCUGCAUCCCCAAGCAACGACGGAAGACGAGAACCAUGUCGGACGGACUCAAUGGCAACUCUUGGGCACACGACAUCCAAGGCAACCUCGGCCUCCACGAGAUUGGUCAGUAUCUGCAGCUCUGGCAGAUCAUGCAGCGCACUGAGCUCUCCACCACACCGGACAGGUUGAUCUGGAGAUGGACGGCGAGUGGCACCUACUCCGCGCAGUCCUGCUACACGGCCACCUUCCAUGGAUCAAUGAGCUGUCAUUCCUGGAAGCUAAUCUGGAAGUGUUGGGCGCCGCCGCGGGUCAAGUUUUUCCACUGGUUAGCCAACCAGGACCGCUGCUGGACGGCAGAGAGGCUGGCGCGCCACGGUCUCCAGUAUCAUCCCCGCUGCCUCCUAUGUGACCAGCAACCGGAGACGAUGCGACAUCUGCUGCUAGAAUGCCCCCUAGCCCGACAGGCAUGGCACGAGACCCUGGCCUGGCUACGCAUACCGGCCCCGAUCCCAACACAGGAACUGUCGCUUACGGAUUGGUGGAACCAUGCCAAGGAAGACACGCCGCCGAUCCUUCGCAAGGCCCUGAAAUCUGUCACGCUGCUCGUGCCUUGGAUGGUCUGGAAACACAGGAACAGCUGCGUCUUCGACAACACGGCUCCAUCCCUUAACACGCUCCUAGAUAGCAUUCAGGACGAGGCCCGCUCAUGGGCGGCAGCUGGGGCACCUGGUCUCCGACUUGUGCUGCCCCAAACCUGGGAUGUGCAUUAAUCGACCUGCUGUAAUCCACACAUCCUCAGAUGUCUGUAACUGAACCUCCCCCUUUUCAAUGAAAAGAAACGCAAGGCUUUUGCGUUUUCUCGAAAAAAAGGUGUGUGCUUCCUCGCUUUUCCCUUUCUUAUAAGUUGUCCUCAUUUUGUUGCUUCUAUUUAGGUUUGGAUUUUCUUCAACCCGCAAGGCCCAUCCAGUUGUGAGCUACAAUGAAUUUGUAAAGAGUUGGAGGAGACAACAUUGCACAUCAGAGGUACGCUGAAUGUAGCGAGGCAACCAUGAAUUGGGUAUGUUCACACGAGGGAUGGGAGAGGAGAGGAACAUUAACAUUUUUCAUGUUUUGGAUGAAAAUUUCAAUUCAUAGUUUCUCUGUAUGUGCCAACACACUAGCGGUACUGAUGGGCUUAGGAUGAAAGUAGCGCCAACAGAAUCAGUAGGUUGGAUGGGAAGGCGGUUGUUGCCCUUGUCCCUUGGUUUGUCCCUUCGUGCUAGCCUACCGUGGCGGCCUCACUAACUUGCUCACUACGAAUACGAGUUCGUGGGGUCGCGAGUUGCUGCAGAUUUGUUUUUAUCACUUUUUACAAUAUUUUUUUAUGUAUCCCUAACUUAAUGAGUCAUUUUUAUCUUUGAUUUUCCAUAUACGCCAGCUUAUAUUGAUUGCAACAUCGUGUUAGUCAUCCAUGAUCUUCAAAAGGAUUUUCUACUAACAACAGAAUAAUUAGUACCACCAGUAACCCUUCUAUUUAGCCACCUUCAGGAUAAUUGUAAAUGGAAUUUGGUUAUUCAUGUAUACCACCAGUAGGACUCGAUAUUUAUGGAUUGUCAAUAGCCUCAUCUGAUUGCUUGAUGUACUUAUAUCGUGUUCUUUUCAGUCUCCAUUUCAUCUGAGCAGGGUGGUGAGGGACAGAACUGGUCAUGUUGGAAGUCAGUUUAGUGCAUCAAGGAUGGGAGGUUCAGAGAUUUGCAAGAGGUGAUGGAGGAUGGUUAGUUAUUAUGGCUCAUCAUAUAGUAGUGAAAGACGAGUACAAGCACAAGCUUAUUCAAAAAUUGCAGUUCUUGACUACAUGGGACAUAUAUUUUAUAAUCUUUUUCAUUUCUUCUAAGAGGAUCAAAUAUGUAUUUUGUUCUUCCCAAUGUUCUGAAGGACGAUGUUGGCAUUGAUAUAGUAUAACAUACAUUUACAAUUAUGAGUGCUCUCGAUACUUGGUUCAAGACUUCUCGAGGAAAGAUUAGUUCGUGAACUUUGCAUCUUUAGCUCUUCAAUUAAAACCAUUAAUGAUUAACAAGAUCAACAUUUAUCAAGAAGAGUCUGGAAAUGCCGAGUGGAGGAGAAGCAAUGCAGGGGGUUGGUGGGUUCAACUAUGGGUUGCAGGGGUCAUCAAAUUAGGCACGCUAUACGUCCGUGGGUGUGUCCCGGACAAUGACAGGUCACCCCUCGAACCGUCACGUCCAUAGCCUCGAUCUUCAUAUAUGAUACCCCAAAUCCAUACUAUGCAUGCAACAUGAAACAAACUACUUUGACCAUCAAGGAAACAAACAGACAUAUAAAUCUACAUAAUCGGGACAUAGAUAUCCACAUAAUCUGACAUAGAUCAAAAGAGCACCACAAUUAGCCGAUGAACAUAGUUCUAAACAAAUGUUACUAAAAAUUGUAACAAAGUCGAAGAGAAGGACGCACUUCUUCGCCACUUCCUCGUUGCUACGGAUGUAGCUGUCAAUGUAGGCGUCCAUGGUAGGAGAGGGGGGCCUCGCAGCCGUCGAUGAUAUUGGGGGAGUCAAUCUAGCCAACCAUCCUUCGAACGACGCGGUUUUGCUGCCUCACGAGCUUCGCCGCUUUUGCAUCCGCUGCCGCCCUCUUCUCCGCCUCGCGCACCGACUUCUCGAGCUCGAGGCGGAGGGCCUUGGUGUUCUUCUGAUGGAUCCGACGGGCGUCUAUCUCUGUCGUCAUCAGGGAGCUGUUUGUAGAUAUCUGUGAGGAGCUACUUCUCAUCGGUCAUCACUGACAAUCGGCAACGACAUCGAGAGGACUAUGCGACCGCAUCCUACGCUGGCAGCCUCUCCCUUGCACGUUGCCUCUCACGGCGGGCUGCUGGUGCCUCUUUUUCGGACAUCCGCGUGCGUGUCGCCGGUGGGGCGAGAAUGAGCACCCACGGAUAACCUUUAGGAGCUAUGAAGAUGAGAGUUAGGAGGUCGGCGGUCCAGUGGCGCAGAGCCGGAUGAGCGCGCGAAGCUCUGCGCGGUGCCCAACGGGCCCGUGCUGGCAUCCACGCUAAAAUGGCGGGUAACAGGUGAUGGAGUUGAGCCCGAGCUGUGUCCAUGUCGCUCUCCUCUCAUGAAUGAAGGCGUUCCCAGUCGUCCUCUUUGGCAGAUCUAUCGCCUCCAAUACUGCCGAUGCUCGACAUUAGGAAGGACAACGGAAUGUACAUGGGCUGGAGGGGAAUCAAUGGAGUGUGGAUCGAAAGUGAAGUGGAACUAGGAUUGUUCCGGGUGGGGAUUUUAGUGGGACGGAGGAGUCGGUGUGGGCCAACGUGGACUGGGCUGAUGUGGUGUACACGUCUGGGUGCGCCCAGGCCUCCCUAUAUUUUUCCCAGAUUUGGGUUGGAUAUGAUGGAUGCGGGACUGCCAGGCAUAUAGGGUUGUUAUGAGGCAUCGGUCAGCGUCUUUUUUUGACCCGUUAGUGACCGAGCCAUGCAACCAGUCUUAUAAGGGCGGUUUGGGGUGCUCGGGAUGUAGAUACUCUCAGAUGGGGUGUAGUGGAGGUGGUUGGAUCAACGGAUGAAGAAAGAAGGAAAACAUUUGAAGGAAGAACAACGGCAAGCGAGUUUGACUAAAACAUAAAUUUCUUUUUAGUUCGCUUAGGCACUUCUUUCGAAUUUCCAUGCAUUGGGACCAUACUAAUACAUUUUAUUUGUAUUAUCAGUAUAUUCAAGAUAACAUUAAUUUAUAAAUGAGAUUUGUCUGGCUCCUUUUUUAUGCUCACAUGGAAUGGUAAAGAAUUAGUAAACCCAAUUUGUACGACGAGUAUUCUCUAUUAUACAUUUCAAGACCUUCGACUUGAAUUAUUCGUGCCAACUGCAUAUAUUGCUUGUGCAUGACAUGUAUGAGUUGAGGAAGACGUUUUUAUUAUACUUGGUCAAAUAUUGUGCCAAUGAAUAAAGUCAACAUUUCUGAUAUUGUGCAAGAAUUUCUUCAGAGCAUCAAAUAGAUCUUAAUUUGUAACCGAUUUUUAAUUGGAUCAUCAUUCUAUAUUGUAUUCUUUGUCAAAUUGCCUUUUUGCUAUCAAUUUACGUUGCAAGGGAAGUGGUUUAAACUCUUAUACAAUUGUGGUUGUACUAUCUUUUCUCUACAUGUGAAAUUGUACAUAAUAAUUGUUUACAUAACUCCCUAAAAUAUUUGAAAAGCCCAUGGCAACGCACGGGCAUUCUACUAGUCGGGAUAGGGUGUGUGUGUGUUCAUAGGGAUGAGUGUAUGCGCGUAUGUAUAAGCGCUUGCGUCUGUACUGAUGUUAAAAAAACAAUGUCCAGAGAAACUGUUACAAGAUCAUGUGGCGCAGCAAGCCGAACAUGACGUCCAAAAUUUAAAUCGAGAGAGUAUUUCGCUAGACUUCAGCUUCAUGAUCUCUAUCUUGACUGUCAUAGAUGAAGUUGCAUUCCUCGAAAUUACACGAGCAUUGAUUGGGUAUUGUUCCAUGAUGCGCCCUGCUUUAUCCGAGAUAUCCUUUACAACUUUGACACAAUCCAAAGCUAUUAGAAUCCGCAUGACUAGUAGAUCAUCGGCAAUGUCUUGGUUCUUGGGCUGCCCGACAUGCUAGGUCUUCUAAAGUCGGUAUAUCAAUUAUGUCACUAAAUGCAACUGAAGAUGAGUCAAUAUAGAGGUUGCUUUGGUCUCAUCAAAUAGCCUCAAUAGCUUCCAUUUAAAUACAUUAUAACUGAGCACUUUUCCUGCUCUCUCAUGCCAUUAAUAUUUUUAACCGUUGGAUGUGCUGUUUUGACGAUUCCUGGCCACUGGAUGUCGUUCUAAUCCCGCUGGGUUACGUACGCUGGUCACCGAGCGCUUAACACUGGUGGGCCGCUGCUCCCGGAACUAAUUCCGAUGUUUCCUAUGACUUGGGCCAAAUGGGCUAGGUUCAUGUCUGGAGGGAGAGGCCGCUACUCCGGAGACAAAAAAUCCAAAGUCGCUCGUUCACCACGACCUUGACCUUGCCUAAUAAAAGAAAAAAAAAACUCAACCUUGACCUUACCACGAAAAAAAAAACCUCGACCUUGACCUCUCCUCUCAAUCCACCUCGACCUAUCCUCUCCGGAAACCCUACACACGCCGCCACGCCGCCAUUCCCUCCGGCUCUUCGGACCUCGCCCCAUGCAGCCGUCCCUGAAGUGAAACAACGCCUCCGCCAUCGCCCAGCCACCGUCGUAGUCCUCCUUUUCCUGUCUUUCCCCAAAAGGCCAAGACGAGUGCAUCAGGGAGGGGUCACCGCCCCGGCGAUGCCUACUCUGGCCAAUAUCACCUCCGCUCACCCAAUCAUGUGUGAAGCACAAGCUUCCGAUGCCUCUGCUACCUUCCCUAUUCCCGCGCGCCUCCUACUACACCCGCCAUCCCAACGACCUCUCGAAUACGCAGGUAUUCCACCUCCACUCACCGAUCUAUCUGCGUCCGGAUUUAACAUAUUACCUGCUCGUAUGUUUGUGUGAUGUUUGCCAUGUCAUUUUGUUGUGCAGGUAGCAAGGUGAAACUCGACCGCGAAGUACAUGGAAUUUUUGUUUCGGAUAUAUGUUCACAAUACUACUCCAUCACUUCUCAUGUUUGGAGAUGCCAGUUUUAUAUAACUGUUCGUUCAUGCAGAGGUAGAAUUGUUUUGAACAUGAAAAUAAGAUCAAAAUCGUAUAUAGUUGAAUGGAUAAAUGACACUAUAAAACUCUUCAAAUUUUCUGCAAUGACGACCCUUUGUUCAGCGAAAUAAGUUAACAUGUAAUACUGCUUUUGGUUUCUUAACAAUGACUUUAAAUAGUUUUAGAUUGGUGAGUAAGUUGUUGUUGAUUUCUGUUAUUUAUUUCUACAGAUUUUUGUAAUAGUCGACACUCAAUUCUUUCUUUGUGCACACAUCAUGUGCCUGAAGUUGUGCAAGCAACUAGAACGAUAACCAACUAUCUAGAUUAAUGGAGCAUUUCACACCACAGUUUUGCAAUGUUUCUGCUUUACAAAGAGCAAUAAACAAAGACGCAGAAGGGUAAACCUGGCAUGGCCACUGACCACUAAUUUCCUGCCCAGGUGAUUUUUAAUAUGUUUGUUAACUCAGUGCUAAAUUUAUGAAUGUAGACUCGAAACUACUUUAUCCUGCUCAUGCAUGCAUUGACCAAUUUCCGGAAGAGGAGAUUAAUAAGAUGACAUUGUGUAAAAAAAAACAUGAUAGCUCUUUGAAUCGAUAUAAGUAACCAACAUUUUUAAGAAUAACAAUUAAGUUGAAGCAAAAUAACUAGGAAUAUUUCAGAUUAUUUUUUUAUCAAAAUGGGAGAGAUAUUUGAAUCAACAAUUGUAGUACAACUCUUAGAUAGAGGAAAAUGAUGAGGUAAAGUUUUGGUUCCUGCUUUGAUAUAUUACUCAAUGCCCGUAUUAUUUAUUUCUCUAUGAAAUUUGACAUAUUAAGGACACUGAUUUUACACCUUCGCUUGUUUGUUCCAAACCGUCAGACUUGGGAACCAUGUUAUUACUUGUUAGUGAUUAUACUGUGGAACUGUAUCCAAUGACUAUUUUUUCUCCGUGUGUAAAUAUGUCUUUGAAACAUCUUUUCUUUUCACAAUGCAGACUUGGAAAAAUAUGUGUUCCUUUUAAUUUACAUAUGUUCUGCUAGAUUCCUUAAUUAUCACUACUCAUCUUAGAAAAUACAAGAAAUAUCUGUAAUUCUACAUUUGGAUUACCUGGAGCUAAAACACGUAUGUGACAUGCAGGUAUUGUGAGAACAUUUCCGUUUUUUGUGCAAAGGAGAUGUGUGGGCUGAAGUAAGUAGUACCAUCUAUUUCCUUCAAUUUGUAGAGUCUGAUGCGUUGCAGGAAUUGUAAAAAAGAAUGGUUGCCAUUUCUUCAUUUUUUACUAUAAUACGGCAACAACAGAAUUACAUAAAGCCUCGCCUCAGGAUUUUGAUAUUUGUUUUUAGGGAGAACAAUUAGCUUUGGUCUGACAACGAAUAGAUAUGUAAAUUCAAUGUGAUUCGCCUUAGAAUGAACAUUCCCUUGCGAUUCUUAAGAUCUUUGGAUGAAUGGGUCUUGAUAGUGGUCUUUAGGUGUUCACAUUAUAUAUGCUUUUGUUCUUCGGCACCUAACAAGUAUGAACAUAGGCAUGCAUCUUCCAACUAUUACUUUGUCAUACGCUUAUUAUGAUGUGUACAAAUUACAUCAUUGUUUAGGACCCAAUAAGUAUGAACAUAGGGCAUGCCUCAAUAGGUUUAUGUCAAGUCUUCAGUUUAGUCUGCACAUCUGUUCAGUUUUUUGUUCAUCAGAUUGAUGAUGUAGAUUUAAGUGCUUGUGAUCGCUAUGCAUCUACUUAAAAAAUUAAAAGUACCAUUAACUCUGCAAGUUGUUGUCAUCAUAUCAUUAUUUUCUGCAGUUUCUUUCAGCCUUUCACGUAAUUAAGUUUGUAAUGUACACUGCGAGUUGAGGCUUUUAUUUUCCUUCCUCAAUCCCUUUUGCACUUUCAUGGCUUAUUAAAUGCUGAUUUUAUAGAGUAAUGAUCAAACUUAUGAGAUGCUAGAAAAAUCUUUAUAGCUGGUAGGGGUCGGAUACUAUUGGAUGUAUUAACAGCAGAAGCUUUGGUUCUAAGAUUCGGCCUAUCCCUUGCACAGAAGGCGGGAUCGAUGCAAUCGUCUUGUCGUUAACUCUGACAAUAUGGAGGUGAUUGACACAAUGAAAAAUGAAGGACAUUCGGCGGCAGCGGCGACAACAGUGUUCGAUGAUUGCUAUUUCUUAGCUGGUGAUUUUCCUCUUUUAGGUUCGAACAUUGUAAUUGGGAAGCUAAUAAGGUGGCUCAUGAACUUGCUAGGCUAGCGAAAUUUUCCAUCACUAGGGAUUGGUUUGAGGAAUGUAUGAGUGUUAUUAUACCUUUCCUAAUCGAGAUGUAACAAUUACUUCUAAUUAAUAAAAUUGAUGUUUAUCAAAAAAAGAUAACCUUACCAAUAUAGAAGAUGUUGCGUAAAAAAGAUCAAUAUUUUGUUUGUGUGUACGAGAAUUGGAUCAGAGUUUCAAUUGGUGUUUCACUUACUGAUAGGAGUUCAGUUCUUUCUUGCCUUUGUAUAUUAACCACAAUUCUUAUUAUUCCAUUGGAAAAAUGGACGGGCGCAGCAACGCGCGCAGUCAUGGUCUAGUCGUUUCUUAAAACUGUACCAUCAACAUUGAACUUUUUUUUUUUAACAUUAAUACAGACGCAAACGCUCAUACAUACACGCAUACACUCAUUACACUCAUUCUUAUAAACGCACACAUACACACCAAAAAAAAACAUUGAACUUCCAAAACCAACCGCUGAGGCAAACACUGGGUUCUGGACAUGUUAACCUGCGAGAGCUAUGUGUGAGAGACAUAUAACUCCGACUCGCAGUAGGCGAGCGCAAGAUGGUCCGGCCCAAUAGCGGUUUCUGGGAGCAGGUUUCAGUGUUUUUUUUCUUUUCCAUUUGGUUUUUUUGUCUUCUUUUUUAUUUUCGGUUUUCUAUGGUAUUUUCAUUUUUCGGUUUUAUUUUGUUUUCGUUGUUCUUUUCUCGGUUUUCUGGUUUCUGUUUUCUCUUUUUGAUUCAUCGUUUUUUUAUUUUUCUUUUUUCUUUUUAUUUUUCCUUUUCCUACACGUAUCUACUUUUUCACGCACAAUAUAGAUUUUCUGUCUACAUUAGGGAUAUUUUUAUUCAUGUUUAGCAUUUUUGAAAUAAGUUAUUAACACUUCUCCAAUAUAUAUGUUUUAAUGACUACUUUUUUCAUACACACUAUAUAUUGUUUGCAUACAUCAGUAACAUUUUUAUACACUUUUAACAUUUUUUAAAUAAAUUAUUAACACUUCCCAAUAUAUAUGUUUAGUUGACUACUUUUUCAUACAUGUUGUACAUUUUCUGCAUACACCAGGAACAUUUUUUGUACACCUUUAAAUUUUCAAAUAAAUAAUUACAUUUGAAUAUAUGUUUUGAUCUCUAUUUUUUUCCCUGUACGCCUUAGAUUUUCGUAUACAUCAGUAGCAUACUUAACAAUACAUGAUUACAUUUUCUCAAUAUAUGUUUUAUAUGUCUUUGCGUUCAGAAAACUGCACAAUCUUGCAGCAAAAGUUGUGUUUAAUAUUUUUCAUAUACAGAGGCGAGCCGAGGCUUUUCGGACGAUCAAAACUUAAGAUUGUCCUUUUCUGACGAGAGGGCCCCUGGUACCUGAUCUUGCAGCAAAAGUUGUGUGCACGUUAGGGACCACAAGACUGAACUCAACUUUGAUAUUGCGGGGCGGGACACUCCUAUUUUUUUUAAAUGUUUAGGAUUUCUAAAAUAGUUCUCUAUUUCACAGGUUUGGAAAAAUAUUCCCAAAUUAAAAAUUCUUGAAUUUCAAAAGUAAUUCAGAAAUUACAGAAAAUGUUCAUAUAUUUUAAAAAUGUUUACAAUCUCAAAAGGUGUUCAUGGAUUUAUGAAAUGGUCAUGAUUUGAACAAAUGUUCAAAUUAAAAUGUUAGCAGAUUUGUAAAAUGUUUGCAAUUUCAAAAAAUUCACAAUUUAAAAAAAACAUGAAUUCAAAAAUGUUCCUGAUUAAAAAAAAUGUUCAUGAAUUUGCAAAAAUGUGUUCACGAUUUUAAAAAAAUGUUCACAAAUUCAGAAAAUAUUCACGAUUUCAACAAUGUUCACGUAUUGAAAAAAUGUUCAGGAAUUUGAAAGAUGGUCGCAAAAUGAAAAAAGAGAAAAGGGAAAGAGAAAACCCAAAAUAAAAAGAACAUGCAAAAAA
rnacentral:lncRNA from 1 species